AAGGACAACGAGCUACCGCUGGAGGCCGCCGGCGACUACACUCGGGAGUACGGCGCCCUCAACUUCUCGGACUACACCGUGGGACAGAGCAACCCGGCGCUAUCAGCGAACCUCCUCAACAGCAUCUGGUACCAGCCGGAGGAGAUCUUCCCCAAGUCCGGCGAGCCGGAGGUGCGGCAGCACGCGUUCUGGGUGCCCGCUAGCAAGCGGUACUACGCGCUGGCGAAGAAGCUGGAGGGCAUGGAGCUGCCGGCGUGCGUGAACGCCACGACGUGCCUGCCCCGCGCGCCGCGGGUCACCCGAGUCAGCAAGGGCUGCAGCGCCAACGUGUUCCUGGACAACGCCGAGUACCGCCAGUUCCUCCGCAAGCAGUUCGGGUGCACCCCCGUGGAGAUGGAGAGCGCUGCCGUGGCCCUCGUGGCGCACACGCAGGGGGUGCCGUUCCUCACCAUCCGCUCGCUCUCCGACCUCGCCGGGGGAGGCUCCGCGCUCGGGAACGAGGCCAGCACCUUCAUCGACAUCGCCGCCAAGAACGCCGUCCAAGUCAUGCUCAAGUUCGUGCCGCUGCUCGGGAAGAGCGCCGAGGAGAUGGACGACGGCGCGGCCGCGGACAUCUGAUGUGAGCCAGCAGCCACUUGUCCAUGCACGAAUAAUCUGACGCCCGUGCGUCGUGUAUCUCCAUCGUUGUUCCGCUUUCCCAUUUUUCCUUGCGUUGCGCGACUUUGCGAGCCUAGAUCAAAUCACAGUUGAUGAGCCCACGAGUUGCAGAGAUGAAUUAAAUUAACAAAUCAAAUAAUCAAGCGCAAUGCCGUUUAUCCGGACUUCCAACUACUAUGUGGAAUUUAAUUAGACGCACUCAAUUCACUCACGCGAGUAAUGUACGUAUGUGCUUACGAUCUUAGAGUAACUUUUUUUUUUGGUGAAACUUUGCACUAUUACUCAAGUGGAGGUACUACAGUCUGCAUUACAAAGUUCAAUAAUCUCUGAUAAACCAGAGUUGAGCCAACCAAUUGUUCUACACCUCAUUCUAGCAUACUUUGUCAAAAAAUUACUAACAUUAUUUUGACUACGAUGAACAUAACUAAAAGUAGUGCUACGUAGGGAGAUGAUUGAUCUGUCAAUUAAGUCACUCAUGAUCAUGUUCAAAGCCUCCCGUGAGUCCAUCUCUACCUGAAUAGGUAGGUUUGUCAUCUGAAUAGCCAGCGAAAGACCCUUGAUACAUGAACUUAAUUCAGCUUCCAAUGCAUUUCUACAGAAAAAGAGCUCCAUGCAUGAUGUGUAAAUGAUCUGACCUGUACUAUCACGAGGAACCAUACCUGCACCUGCUCGCCCAUCGGCUGUCCAAGAGCCAUCGAUGUUGAGCUUAGCCCAGCCCUCCGUAGGCAAAACCCACUUAAUGUUUGGAGUAGGAGGCGGAACCAAUCGUGAUCUAGAUAACUGACCAUAAGCAACCACUUGCUUCCCCUUCCGCAGUUCCUCCUCUGAAUAAUUUAGUGAUAGUAGUGAAUCCAGGUAUCUCAUCAGAAAACGUUUAGAUGCCUCCAUUGGAGGGGGUUCUUUCUAGUGAGUAACCUCAUUCCGAUUAUGCCACACCCUCCAUAAGCUCAUCACUAGCAUGCCUCUCUCUAACACAGAAAGAGGGUGAAGUGUAUCCAGCAACCAUUCAGUGCCUGAAUUCUUCAAAUCCGCACGCUUGGGCAAACGCCAAACUAAAUCCAUACAAUCCUAGAGCUGCACUACUAGCGGGCACUUGCAUAGAGCAUGGAAGGUAUAUUCAUCUUCCCUCUCGCAGAUUGGGCAUAAUCCAGUCGUUUCUAGGGUGCAUUUGAAUUUGUUCUGCCAAGUUUGAAGGGAAUUCAUGGCAACGCACCAUGCAAAUUUUUUGACCGUAGGAGGCACAAAACUUCCCCAAAUAAGCUUCCAGCACGUGCGGCGACCAUCUGAAGCAGCACUUGAAGAUUCUGUUGUUGUUCUAUAUGUUUCCUCGAAGGCAAAUUCAUAAACUUAUUUCACCGAGAAGACUCCAGAUUUCGCCGGUCCCCAUGCCAGCACAUCCUCCUCUAGCCUAGGAGAUGCUCGGAUUUUCAGAAUCUCCUGAACGUCACAAGACAGAAAUGUUUCUUGGAGCAGAUUGUAAUUCCAUGCACCAUUAUGUUGGAGUAGGUGAGACACAUAUCGAAUUAUGCAAGUACCUUGAGAUGAUAUGGACCUGUAAGAGAAGGAUCUAGGGAUCCAAGGAUCCCUCCAGAUUCUGAUGUUGUUCCCAUUCCCUACUCUCCAUAUAAGCCCUUUCUUGAGAAGAUCUAGGCCAUGGCUGGUUGCAGUCCAAGUUGAAGAGGCAUUUCCUGAGAAGACCGUAUCCUCCAGUUUAUCACUGGGAUAGUAUUUGCUCUUAAGCAAUCUUGCAGACAGGCUAUCAGGCCGAUUCAAUAAUCUUCACGCCUGCCUAGCCAGCAGCGCCUGAUUAAAGAGGCGAUAGUCCCUAAAUCUGGCACCACCUUUGCACUUCGGACGUUGCAACUUUUGCCAAGAUUUCCAGUGAGCUUUGCGAUGCCCCUUGGUCGAUCUCAAAUAAAGUUUCUGACCAUCUCAGUGAGAUCAUCGCAGACCGAAAAGGGCAUCUUGAAAACACCCAUGAUGAAAACUAGUAGUGCCUCUGCAACUGACUUACUGAGAAUUUCCCUGCCGGGUUGGGCUAGAUGCCCACCGCCCCAUUGAACUAGCCUCUCCAUAAGCUAAGCUUGAAGAUUUUGAAACCGACCUUUCGUCAUUCUUCCGUUAGAGGUUGACAGCCCUAAGUACUUCUCUUCAAACCCUGUGGCAGAAAUAUUCAGAACAUCCUGAACGUCCUCCUGUGCAGUGACUGGGCAAGCUUCUCCAAACAUAAUCGACCAUUUCUCAUAAUUAAGAAGUUGACAAGUAGAUUUGCAUAAAGAUCAAGACAAUCCUUAACUUGUUCAGCUUGAGCUCUUGAGGCCUCAAAGAAAAGGAGUGUAUCAUCUGCAAACAAAAGAUGGGAGAUGCCCGGGGCGCGUCGACAAUUCUUUACAGGUAACAGAGAUCCCAUGUACACACGUUGUCGAAGGAGUGCAGAGAGACCAUCAGAAAAAAAACAGAAACAAGAAGGGGGGGAGUGGAUCAUCUUGUCGCGGACCACACGACAGUGCAAAUGAAUCCAAGAGGGUCCCAUUAAAUCUUACCGAAUAUCUCACCGAUGUGACACAAGUCAUAAUCCCCGCCCUUCUUGGGCGCCACCCUUCCCAUAUUUGUGUUGGGGAACGUCGCAGGGGAAACAAAAAUUUUCCUACGCGCACGAAGACCUAUCAUGGUGAUGUCCAUCUACGAGAGGGGAUGAGUGAUCUACGUACCCUUGUAGACCGUACAGCAGAAGCGUUAGAGAACGCGGUUGAUGUAGUGGAACGUCCUCACGUCCCUCGAUCCGCCCCGCGANNNNNNNNNNNNNNNNNNNNNNNNNNNNNNNNNNNNNNNNNNNNNNNNNNNNNNNNNNNNNNNNNNNNNNNNNNNNNNNNNNNNNNNNNNNNNNNNNNNNGCAAUGAUUAUAUCUAUAGGCAUCACGUCCAAAACAAGUAGACCGAUAUUUUCUGCAUCUACUACUAUUACUCCACACGUCGACUGCUAUCCAGCAUGCAUCUAGUGUAUUAAGUCCAAAAGAACAGAGUAACGCCUUAACCAAGAUGACAUGAUGUAGAUGGACAAUCUCAUAUCUACGAUAAAAGCCCAUCUUGUUACCCUUGAUGGCAACUACACGAUGCGUUCCUUGCUGCCCCUACUGUCACUGGGAAAGGUCACCACAUGGUAUGAACCCAAAACCAAGCACUUCUCCCAUUGCAAGAAUCAUAGAUCUAGUUGGCCAAACAAAACCCAAGACUCGGAGAGACUUACAAGGAUAUCAAAUCAUGCAUAUAAUAAAUCAUCAAAGACUCAAAUAUAUAUCGUAGAUAAUCUGAUCACAAAUCCACAAUUCAUCGGAUCUCGACAAACACACCGCCAAAGAGGAUUACAUCGGAUAGAUCUCCAUGAAGAUCAUGGAGAACUUUGUAUUGAAGAUCCAAGAGAGAGAAGAAGUCAUCUAGAUACUAACUACGGACCCGUAGGUCUGAAGUAAACUACUCACGAGUCAUUGGAGGGGCGAUGAUGUUGAUGAAGAAGCCCUCCAACUCCAAAGUCCCCUUCGGCAGGGCACCGGGAAGGGUCUCCAGAUGAGAUCUCGCGGAAACGGAAGCUUGCGGUCGCGGAAAAGUGUUUUCGUGGAUGCCCUGAUUUUUUCUGGAUUUUUAGGGAAUUUAUAGGCCAAAGACCUAGGGCAGGGGAGCGCCAGGGGGGCACAAGCUUGGUUGCCGCGGCCUCCCCCCUAGCCGCAGCAAUAGGGCUUGUGGGACCCCUGUGGGCCCACUUGCUUGGACCUCAAGCCUCCUGAUCUUCUUCCAUUGUGGAAAAAAUUAUUUCGGGGAUUUUAUUCCGUUUGGACUCCAUUCCAAAAUCAGAUCUAAAAAGAGUCAAAAACACAGAAAAAACAGGAACUGGCGCUUGGCACUGAAUUAAUAAGUUAGUCCCAAAAAAGAUAUCAAAGGUAAAAAAAACAUCCAAAGUUGACAAGAUAACAGCGUGAAACCAUCAAAAAUUAUAGAUACGUUUGAGACGUAUCAAGCAUCCCCAAGCUUAACUCCUGCUGGUCCUCAAGUAGGGAAGUGAUAAAGAAUGAAUUUUUGAUGCUUUCAUGCUACCUAGCAUAGAUGUCCUUUGUAACUCCUCUUAUGUGACGUGAAUGUUCAGAUCCAUUAGAUUCAAAACAAUAGUUUGCUAUUGACGUGGAAACGAUAAUACUUCAAGCAAACUAGCAAAGUAAUCAUGAACUUUCAAAAUAACAAGGCCAAAAGAAAGUUAUCCCUACAAAAUCAUAUAGUCUCGCUAUGCUCUAUCAUCAUUGCACAACGAAUUUAAAUCAUGCACAACCCCGAUAUUGGCCAAGUAAUUGUUUUCACACCUUUACUUUCUCAAACUUUUUCAACUCUCACGCAAUACAUGAGCGUGAGCCAUGGUUUUAGCACUAAAAGUGGUGUGGAGUGUGGUGGAGGUUGCAAGACAAACAAGGAGAAGAUGGUCACAUUGACUAGGCAUAUCAAUGAGCUAUGGAGAUGCUCAUCAAUAGAUAUCAACGUGAAUGAGUAGGGAUUGCCAUACAAAUGAUGCACUAGAGCUAAGAGUAUGUGAAAGCUCUUAAAGAAAACUAGUGGGUGUGCAUCCAACUUGCUUGCUCGCGAAGACCUAAGGCAAAUUUGAGGAAGCCUAUCAUUGGAAUAUACAAGCCAAGUUAUAUAAGGAAAAUUUCCCACUAGCUAUAUGGUGGUGAUAAAACGAGAGACUCUCAAUCAUGAAGAUCAUGGUGCUUAAUAUGCACAAGUGUUGAAAGGUGGUAACAUUGUCCCUUCUCUCUUUUUCUCUCAUUUUUUUGGCACUUUGGCCUCUUUUUUUUUGGUGGGCAUCUUUGGCCUAUUUUAUUUCCUCACAUGGGACAAUGCUCCAUCAAUGAUGAUCAUCACACUUACAACUCAAAACUUAGAGCAAUGAUGACUCUAUAUGGAAUGCCUUCGGUAGCGUACCGUGACAAUGAUCUAGCAUGGCAUAGACAUUAAUGGAAACAUCAUGCUAGCUAUCUUACGAUCAUGCAAUGGCAAUGUAGACGUGGUGGCACAUGUCAUGGUGGUAGUUGCAUGGCAAUAUAUCUCGGAAUGACUUGAAAAAGGCAUAUUAGGUAGGUAUGGUGGCUGUUUUGAGGGAGGCUAAUGGUGGGUUUUGUGCACCGGCAAAAGUUGCACGACACUAAAGAAGAUAGUGAUGGUGGAAGGUGAAAGUGCAUCUAAACCAUGGACUCAACAUUAGUCAUGAAGAACUCAUAUACUUGUUGCAAAAGUUUUAUUAGUAAUCGAAACAAAGCAUUCAACGCAUACUCCUAGGGGAAGGGUUGGUAGGUAUAAACCAUCGCGCGAUCCCGACCGCCACACAAAGGAUGACAAUCAAUAGACUAAUCAUGCUCAGACUUCAUCACAUAACGGUUCACCAUACGUGCAUGCUACGGGAAUCACUAACUUCAACACAAGUAUUUCUAGAUCCACAACACCUUACUAAUAUAACUUCAGUAUUACCAUAACCACAACUCAAAACUAGUUGAGAUGAAUCAAACUUCUCUAACUAUUCAAUGCACAUGAAGGUGGAAGUUUUUGUAUCCCUUUCGAUACCUACCCCUUUUGAGACUACUUUAAUAGCAAGAUCAACUACCAAGCCACGCACCACCGUGCUCUAAAAGAUAUAAGUGAAGCACAUAGAGCAAAAUCAACUAGCUCAAAAGAUAUAAGUGAAGCACAUGUGAGCUGAAUUGUCUACCAAAGGAUAUAAGUGAAGCUCGACAAAAUCACGGUGAGUGCAUGUCUCUCUCUCUAGGUGUGCAGCAAGGAUGAUUAUGACACAACAAAAAUAAAAGACUCCUACGAUACAAGACGCUCCAAGCAAAACACAAAACAUGUGGUGAAUAAAAAUAUAGCCCCAAGUAACGUUACCGGUGGAUUGAAGACGAAAGAGGGGAUGCCUUCCCGGGGCAUCCCCAAGCUUAGGCUUUUACGACAUCCUUGAAUCAUCUUGGGGUGCCUUGGGCAUCCCCAAGCUUGAGCUCUUGCCACUCUUUAUCUUUUUGUCCAUAAGAACUUCACCCAAAACUUGAAAACUUCACAACACGAAACUUAAACAGAAACUCGUGAUAACAUUAGUAUAAGAAAGCAAACCACCACUUCCUUAGGUACUGUAGCAAACUUAAAUUCUACUUAUGUUGAUGUUGGGUUACUGUAUUUUCAAUCUUCCAUGGCUAAUACCCCCCGAUACUAUCCGUAGUUUCAUCAAAAUAAGCAACCAACACAACAAAAAGAAUAUGUUAAUAGCAGACCAGUCUGUAGCAAUCUGUAUACUUCGUAUACUUCUGGUACUUCAAAAAUUCUGAAAAAUUACGAGAUUUUGAAGAAUUUGUGUAUCAAUCAGCAGAAAAAAUAAUCAACUCAAAAUCGCUUACAGAAAAAAAAGAAAAUUCUAUUCGUGAGCAGAAAGUUUUUUGUCUUUUCCAGCAUGACCAAACGAUCAUCCCCAAGACUAAUCAUAACGGUUUUGCUUGGCACAAAGGCAAAAAGAAACACAAAAAACACAAUCAGAACAGAAUUAUGAAAGUGUGCAAAACACAAAACAGAAAUAAAAAGGAUAGAUUCGUUGGGUUGCCUCCCAACAAGCGCUAUUGUUUAACGCCCUUAGCUAGGCAAAUGGUGAUGGAAUCACGUAUAGUCAUCUUUGGUGCUUAAACCAUAAGUAGUGUGAUCAUUUAUCAUCUUAAGAUCUUCAUCUUUAUUGGAUGACUCACCACUAGCUUUAGGAACAAAAACAGACUUGACGGUCUUUUUGAGAGUGAUAUUUGGAGUAUUUUGCACAGCGGCAAAAGCGGAACCCAAGUUGGUUAUGACAUCUUCUAGUUUGUCAAUUCUAGAAGAAUCAUUAACUAUAGGUUCCUUCUCCCUUAAUUUUUUCAAAACAUUUCCCACUUUGGAUUCGUACUGAGUAAUUUGAUUGUGGAUCUUUCUAUCCAAACCCUCAAUAAGUUCAACUGUGGCAAUUUUGUUUUCAAUAGCGUCAAGCCUUUGCAUCACAUGUUCCAAGGUUAAGGUAGUUCCAUUUACCAUGAGCGGGGGUGAGCCUACCAAAUUCAUGAUAGCUCCAUAGGAGUCAACAGUAUGGCUCCCCAAAAAAUUCCCGCCUACGAUGGUAUCAAGGAUAUACCUAUUCCAAGGAGAGAUUCCAACAUAAAAACUACGAAGAAGAACGGUAGUGGACUGCUUACGAAUAGAUCUACGUGAGCAUUGCAAAUCCGGUACCAAGCGUCCUUUAAAUUUUCUUCCUCAUUUUGCCUGAAAUUGAGAACUUCAUUCUUAGGGGUAUCGUUUGGAGUAGUGGGUCUAGCUAUUGAUGGACUAUCCCACACACAAACGAGCAGGAAGUAAGAGAGUGAAGCGGGCAAAAGAGAAUGGCAAAGGAAGAUGGCAAAAAGGCAAAAGGCAAAAGAAAACGACAAAGGAGAAAGGCAAAUGGCAAAAAAGUAAAUGCAAUAGAUGAGUUUGUGAGACCUACUUGGAUAGAUCUCUCCUUCCCCGGAAACGGCACCAGAAAUGCUUCUGCUACUGCAACAAAAGACCUUCCAACGGUGCCAGAAACAAGCGUGCUGACGGGAGACUAGUCUUGUCUUGAUACUCCUCAGCAACGACACCAGGAAUCCUUCUACUACGGCUACGCCUUUAGGGACUUCCUUGGCAAAUAUGCAAAGGAUUCCCCCAUGGCCUUGAAGCCUUGCAUUGGUGUUCCCUCGAAGCGGAAAGGGUGAUAUAGCACAGCGGCGGUAAGUAUUUCCCUCAGUUUUGACCAAGGUAUCAAUCCAGUGAAGGAUUAUCACAAGUACCUGCACAAACACAAAGAGCUUGCACCCAACGCUAUGAAGGGGUUGUCAAUCCCUUAUAGAUUGUUUGCCAAGUGAGAACUGAAAGCAAAAAAGAAACAAAGCAAAGUAAAAGCAAAAGUGGAAACGGUAGGUGUGAAUAGACCCGGGGGCCGUAGUGUUCACUAGUGGCUUCUCUCAUGAAAGCAAGUAGACAGUGGGUGAACGAAUUACUGUCGAGCAAUUAAUAGAACCGCGCAAAGUUGUGACGUUAUCUAUGGCAAUGAUUAUAUCUAUAGGCAUCACGUCCAAAACAAGUAGACCGAUACUUUCUGCAUCUACUACUAUUAGUCCACACGUCGACCGCUAUCCAACAUGCAUCUAGUCUAUUAAGUCCAAAAGAACAGAGUAACGCCUUAAGCAAGAUGACAUGAUGUAGAUGGACAAUCUCAUAUCUACGAUAAAAGCCCAUCUUGUUUCCCUUGAUGGCAACAACACGAUGCGUGCCUUGCUGCCCCUACUGUCACUAGGAAAGGUCACCGCACGGUAUGAACCCAAAACCAAGCACUUCUCCAUUGCAAGAAUCAUAGAUCUAGUUGGCCAAACAAAGCCCAAGACCCGGAGAGACUUACAAGGAUACCAAAUCAUGCAUAUAAGAAAUCAGCAAAGACUCAAAUAUAUAUCAUAGAUAAUUUGAUCACAAAUCCACAAUUCAUCGGAUCUCGACAAACACACCGCCAAACAGGAUUACAUCGGAUAGAUCUCCAUGAAGAUCAUGGAGAACUUUGUAUNNNNNNNNNNNNNNNNNNNNNNNNNNNNNNNNNNNNNNNNNNNNNNNNNNNNNNNNNNNNNNNNNNNNNNNNNNNNNNNNNNNNNNNNNNNNNNNNNNNNAUCAAUAUCCAAUAGCGGGACCUGGAUGCCCAUAUUGGAUCCUACAUAUUCUAUGAAGAUCUUAUCGUUUGAACCUCAGUGCCAAGGAUUCAUAUAAUCCCGUAUGUCAUUCCCUUUGUCCUUCGGUAUGUUACUUGCCCGAGAUUCGAUCGUCAGUAUCCGUAUACCUAUUUCAAUCUCGUUUACUAGCAAGUCUCUUUACUCGUUCCGUAAUACAAGAUCCCGCAACUUACACUAAGUUACAUUGCUUGCAAGGCUUGUGUGUGAUGUUGUAUUACCGAGUGGGCCCCGAGAUACCUCUCCGCUCACACGGAGUGACAAAUCCCAGUCUUGAUCCAUACUAACUCAACUAACACCUUCGGAGAUACCUGUAGAGCAUCUUUAUAGUCACCCAGUUACGUUGCGACGUUUGAUACACACAAAGCAUUCCUCCGGUGUCAGUGAGUUAUAUGAUCUCAUGGUCAUAGGAAUAAAUACUUGACACGCAGAAAACAGUAGCAACAAAAUGACACGAUCAACAUGCUACGUCUAUUAGUUUGGGUCUAGUCCAUCACGUGAUUCUCCUAAUGACGUGAUCCAGUUAUCAAUCAACAACACCUUGUUCAUAAUCAGAAGACACUAACUAUCUUUGAUCAACUGGCUAGUCAACUAGAGGCUUGCUAGGGACAGUGUUUUGUCUAUGUAUCCACACAUGUAAAUGAGUCUUCAUUCAAUACAAUUAUAGCAUGGAUAAUAAACGAUUAUCUUGAUACAGGAAUUAUAAUAAUAACUAUAUUUAUUAUUGCCUCUAGGGCAUAAUUCCAACAGUCUCCCACUUGCACUAGAGUCAAUAAUGUAGCCCUCACAUCACUAUGUGAAUUACAUUGUAAUAAAUCUAACACCCAUACAGUUCUGGUGUUGAUCAUGCUUUGGCCGUGGAAGAGUUUAGUUAGCGGGUCCGCUACAUUCAGAUCCGUGUGCACUUUGCAUAUAUUCACGUCCUCUCCCUCGACGUAGUCGCGGAUGAGGUUGAAGCGUCGUUUGAUGUGUCUGGUCUUCUUGUGAAACCGUGGUUCCUUUGCUAAGGCAAUGGCACCAGUGUUGUCACAGAACAAGGUUAUUGGAUUCAGUGCGCUUGGCACCACUCCAAGAUCCGUCAUGAACUGCUUCAUCCAGACACCCUCCUUAGCCGCCUCCGAGGCAGCCAUGUACUCCGCUUCACAUGUAGAAUCUGCUACGACGCUUUGCUUGGAACUGCACCAGCUUACUGCACCCCCAUUAAGAAUAAAUACGUAUCCGGUUUGCGACUUAGAGUCGUCCGGAUCUGUGUCAAAACUUGCAUCGACGUAACCUUUUACGGCGAGCUCUUCGUCACCUCCAUAUACGAGAAACAUCUCCUUAGUCCUUUUCAGGUACUUCAGGAUAUUCUUGACCGCUGUCCAGUGAUCCACUCCUGGAUUACUCUGGAACCUACCUGCCAUACUUAUGGCCAGGCUAACAUCCGGUCUAGUGCACAGCAUCGCAUACAUGAUAGAACCUAUGGCUGAAGCAUAGGGGACGGAGCGCAUAUGCUCUCUAUCUUCAUCAGUUGCUGGGCACUGAGUCUUAAUCAAUCUCGUACCUUGUAGAACUGGCAAGAACCCUUUCUUGGACUAUUCCAUUUUGAACCUCUUCAAAACUUUAUCAAGGUAUGUGCUUUGUGAAAGUCCUAUCAGGCGUUUUGAUCUAUCCCUAUAGAUCUUAAUGCCUAGAAUGUAAGCAGCUUCUCCUAGGUCCUUCAUAGAGAAACUUUUAUUCAAGUAACCUUUUAUGCUCUCCAAAAACUCUACGUUGUUUCCAAUCAGUAAUAUGUCAUCCACAUAUAAUAUUAGAAACGCCACAGAGCUCCCACUCACUUUCUUGUAAAUACAAGAUUCUCCAACCACUUGUAUAAACCCAAAUGCUUUGAUCACCUCAUCAAAGCGUUUGUUCCAACUCCGAGAUGCUUGCACCAGUCCAUAAAUGGAUCGCUGGAGCUUGCAUACCUUGUUAGCAUUCUUAGGAUUUACAAAACCUUUGGGUUGUAUCAUAUACAACUCUUCCUUAAGGAAACCGUUAAGGAACGCCGUUUUGACAUCCAUCUGCCAGAUUUCAUAAUCGAAAAAUGUAGCUAUUGCUAACAUGAUUCUGACGGACUUAAGCAUCGCUACAGGUGAGAAAGUCUCAUCAUAGUCAACUCCUGGAACUUGUGAAAAACCCUUUGCCACAAGUCGAGCUUUAUAAACGGUCACAUUGCCGUCAGCGUCCGUCUUCUUCUUAAAGAUCCAUUUGUUCUGAAUAGCCUUGCGGCCCUCAGGUAGUAUCUCCAAAGUCCACACUUUGUUCUCAUACAUGGAUCCUAUCUCGGAUUUCAUGGCUUCUAGCCAUUUGUUGGAAUCUGGCCCCACCAUUGCUUCUUCAUAAUUUGCAGGUUCAUUGUUGUCUAACAACAUGAUUGACAAGACGGGAUUACCGUACCACUCUGGAGCAGCACAUGAUCUCGUCGACCUGCGUGGUUCAACAGAAACUUGAACUGGAGUUUCAUGAUUAUCAUCAUUAACUUCCUCCUCAACUGGCGUCGCAAUGACAGAGGUUUCCCCCUGCCCUGCGCCACCAUCCAGAGGGAUGAGAGGUUCGACAACCUCGUCAAGUUCUAUCUUCCUCCCACUCAAUUCUCUCGAGAGAAACUCCUUCUCGAGAAAAGCUACGUUUUAAGCAACAAACACUUUGCCCUCGGAUUUGAGAUAGAAGGUGUACCCAACUGUCUCUUUUGGGUAACCUAUGAAGACACACUUUUCCGCUUUGGGUUCCAGCUUUUCAGGCUGAAGCUUUUUGACAUAAGCAUCACAUCCCCAAACUUUAAGAAACGACAAUUUUUGCCUUUUUAGCCAUACCACAGUUCGUAUGGUGUCGUCUCAACGGAUUUUGAUGGUGCCCUAUUUAAACUGAAUGCAGCUGUUUCUAAUGCAUAGCCCCAAAAUGAUAAUGGUAAAUCAGUAAGAGACAUCAUAGAUCGCACCAUCUCUAAUAGAGUACGAUUACGACGUUCGGACACACCAUUACGCUGUGGUGUUCCAGGCGGUGUUAACUGUGAAACAAUUCCACAUUGUCUUAAGUGAGCACCAAACUCGAAACUCAGAUAUUCACCCCCACGAUCAGACCGCAGGAACUUGAUCUUCUUGUUACGAUGAUUUUCCACUUCACUCUGAAAUUGCUUGAACUUUUCAAAUGUUUCAGACUUGUGCUUCAUCAAGUAGACAUAACCAUAUCUACUUAAAUCGUUAGUGAAGGUGAGAAAAUAACGAUAUCCACCGCGUGCCUCCACGCUCAUCGGACCACACACAUCGGUAUGUAUGAUUUCCAACAAGUCACUUGCACGCUCCAUUGUUCCUGAGAACGGAGUCUUAGUCAUCUUGCCCAUGAGGCAUGGUUCGCACGUGUCAAGAGAAUCAAAGUCAAGUGACUCCAAAAGUCCAUCAGCAUGGAGUUUCUUCAUGCGCUUUACACCAAUAUGACCUAAGCGGCAGUGCCACAAAAAUAUGGCGCUAUCAUUGUUAACUCUAACUCUUUUGGUCUCAAUGUUAUGUAUAUGCGUAUCGCUAUCAAGAUUCAAUAUGAACAAUCCUCUCACAUUCGGUGCAUGACCAUAAAAGAUGGUACUCAUAGAAAUAGAACAACCAUUAUUCUCUGACUUAAAAGAGUAACCGUCUCGCAAUAAACAAGAUCCAGAUAUAAUGUUCAUGCUCAACGCAGGCACUAAAUAACAAUGAUUUAAGUUCAUCACUAAUCCUGACGGUAACUGAAGUGACACUGUGUCGACGGCGAUUGCAUCAACCUUGGAACCAUUUCCUACGCGCAUCGUCACUUCAUCUUUCGCCAGCCUUCGCCUAUUCCGCAGUUCCUGUUUCGAGUUGCAAAUAUGAGCAACAGAACCGGUAUCGAAUACCCAGGCACUACUACGAGAGCCGGUUAAGUACACAUCAAUAACAUGUAUAUCAAAUAUACCUAAUUUUCUUUGCCCGCCUUCUUAUCUGCCAGAUACUUGGGGCAAUUGCGCUUCCAGUGACCCAUACCCUUGCAAUAGUAACACUCCGUUUCCGGCUUAGGUCCAGCUUUGGGUUUCUUCGUCGGAUUGGCAACAGGCUUGCCGCUCUUCUUCGAAUUGCCCUUCUUGCCUUUGCCGUUUCUCUUGAAACUAGUGGUCUUAUUCACCAUCAACACUUGAUGCUCUUUACGGAGUUCAGACUCUGCGACUUUCAGCAUCGCAAACAACUCGCCGGGAGACUUGUUCAUCCCUUGCAUGUUGUAGUUCAACACAAAGCCUUUAUAGCUUGGCGGCAGUGAUUGAAGGAUUCUGUCAGUGAUAGAUUCUUGCGGGAGUUCAAUCCCCAGCUCAGCUAGACGGUUUGAGUACCCAGACAUUUUGAGCACAUGUUCACUGACAGAUGAGUUUUCCUCCAUCUUGCAAGCAUAGAAUUUGUCGGAGGUCUCAUACCUCUCGAUCCGGGCGUUCUUCUGAAAGAUAAACUCCAACUCCUGGAACAUCUCAAAUGCUCCAUGACGCUCAAAGCGACGUUGAAGUCCCGGUUCUAAGCCAUACAAGACUGCACAUUGAACUAUUGAGUAGUCCUCCUUACGUGCUAACCAAGCGUUCUUAACAUCCUGAUCAGCCGUAGCGGGUGGUUCAUCUCCUAACGCAGCAUUAAGGACAUAAUCCUUCUUCCCAGCUUGUAAGAUUAGCUUAAGAUUACGAGCCCAGUCUACAAAGUUGCUUCCAUCAUCUUUCAACUUAGCUUUCUCUAGGAACGUAUUAAAAUUCAGGAUGACUGUUGCGUGAGCCAUGAUCUACAACACAAAUAUAUUCAAAGUGGACUUAGACUAUGUUCAAGAUAAUUAGAGUUUAACUUAAUCAAAUUAUACGCUAAACUCCCACUCAGAAAGUACAUCUCUCUAGUCAUUUGAGUGGUUCAUGAUCCACUUACACUAGCUCAAGUCCGAUCAUCACGUGAGUUGAGUAUAGUUUCAGUGGUAAGCAUCCCUAUGCUAAUCAUAUCAUCUAUAUGAUUCAUGAUCCACCUUUCGGUCUCAUGUGUUCCGAGGCCAUGUCUGCACAUGCUAGGCUCGUCAAGCUUAACCCGAGUGUUCCGCGUGCACAACUGUUUUGCACCCGUUGUAUGUGAACGUUGAGUCUAUCACACACGAUCAUCACGUGGUGUCUCGAAACGACGAACUGUAGUAACCGUGCACAGUCGGGGAGAACACAAUUUCGUCUUGAAAUUUUAGUGAGAGAUCACCUCAUAAUGCUACCGUCGUUCUAAGCAAAAUAAGGUGCAUAAAAGGAUUAACAUCACAUGCAAUUCAUAAGUGACAUGAUAUGGCCAUCAUCACGUGCUUCUUGAUCUCCAUCACCAAAGCACCUGGCACGAUCUUCUUUUCACCGGCGCCACACCAUGAUCAUCCAUCAACGUGUUGCCAUCGGGGUUGUCGUGAUACUCAUGCUAUUACUACUAAAGCUACAUCCUAGCAAAAUAGUAAACGCAUCUCCAAGCACAAACGCUAGUAUAAAGACAACCCUAUGGCUCCUGCCGGUUGCCGUACCAUCGACGUGCAAGUCGAUAUUUCUAUUACAACAUGAUCAUCUCAUACAUCCAAUAUAUCACAUCACAUCGUUGGCCAUAUCACAUCACAAGCAUACCCUGCAAAAACAAGUUAGACGUCCUCUAAUUUUGUUGUUGCAUGUUUUACGUGGUGACCAAGGGUAUCUAGUAGGAUCGCAUCUUACUUACGCAAACACCACAAAGGAGAUAUAUGAGUUGCUAUUUAACAUCAUCCAAGCACCUCCUUGGUCAAAUCCGAUUCAACUAAAGUUGGAGAAACCGACACUUGCCAGUCAUCUUUGAGCAAAGGGGGUUACUCGUAACGAUGAAACCAGUCUCUCGUAAGCGUACGAGUAAUGUCGGUCCAAGCCGCUUCAAUCCAACAAUACCACGGAAUCAAGAAAAGACUAAGGAGGGCAGCAAAGCGCACAUCAUCGCCCACAAAAACUUUUGUGUUCUACUCGAGAAGACAUCUACGCAUGAACCUAGCUCAUGAUGCCACUGUUGGGGAACGUCGCGUGGGAAACAAAAAUUUUCCUACGCGCACGAAGACCUAUCAUGGUGAUGUCCAUCUACGAGAGGGGAUGAGUGAUCUACGUACCCUUGUAGACCGUACAGCAGAAGCGUUAGAGAACGCGGUUGAUGUAGUGGAAUGUCCUCACGUCCCUCGAUCCGCCCCGCGAACAAUCCCGCGAUCAGUCCCACGAUCUAGUACCGAACGGACGGCACCUCCGCGUUCAACACACGUACAGCUCGACGAUGAUCUCGGCCUUCUUGAUCCAGCAAGAGAGACGGAGAGGUAGAAGAGUUCUCCGGCAGCGUGACGGUGCUCCGAAGGUUGGUGAUGACCUUGUCUCAGCAGGGCUCCGCCCGAGCUCCGCCCGAGCUCCGCAGAAACGCGAUCUAGAGGAAAAACUGUGGAGGUAUGUGGUCGGGCUGCCGUGGAAAAGUCGUCUCAAAUCAGCCCUAAAACCUCCGUAUAUAUAGGUGGGAGGGAGGGGACCUUGCCUUGGGGCUCAAGGAGCCCCAAGGGGGUCGGCCGACUCCAAGGGGGAGGACUCUCCCCCCCCCCAAACCGAGUUGGACUAGGUUUGGUGGGAGGGAGUCCCCCUUCCUUCCCACCUCCUCCUUUAUUUUUCUUUCUCUCUUGAUUUUCUUCUCCUUGGCGCAUAGAGCCUUUCGGGCUGUUCCACCAGCCCACUAAGGGCUGGUGUGCCACCCUCAAGGCCUAUGGGCUUCCCCGGGGUCGGGUUGACCCCCCCCCCCCCGGUGAACUCCCGGAACCCAUUCAUCAUUCCCGGUACAUUCCCGGUAACUCCGAAAACCUUCCGGUAAUCAAAUGAGGUCAUCCUAUAUAUCAAUCUUUGUUUCCGGACCAUUCCAGAAACCCUCGUGACGUCCAUGAUCUCAUCCGGGACUCCGAACAACAUUCGGUAACCAACCAUAUAACUCUAAUACGCAUAAAACAACGUCGAACCUUAAGUGUGCAGACCCUGCGGGUUCGAGAACUAUGUAGACAUGACCCGAGAGACUCCUCGGUCAAUAUCCAAUAGCGGGACCUGGAUGCCCAUAUUGGAUCCUACAUAUUCUACGAAGAUCUUAUCGUUUGAACCUCAGUGCCAAGGAUUCAUAUAAUCCCGUAUGUCAUUCCCUUUGUCCUUCGGUAUGUUACUUGCCCGAGAUUCGAUCGUCAGUAUCCGUAUACCUNNNNNNNNNNNNNNNNNNNNNNNNNNNNNNNNNNNNNNNNNNNNNNNNNNNNNNNNNNNNNNNNNNNNNNNNNNNNNNNNNNNNNNNNNNNNNNNNNNNNCGUCGACUGCUAUCCAGCAUGCAUCUAGUGAUUUAAGUCCAAAAGAACAGAGUAACGCCUUAACCAAGAUGACAUGAUGUAGAUGGACAAUCUCAUAUCUACGAUAAAAGCCCAUCUUGUUUCCCUUGAUGGCAACAACACGAUGCGUGCCUUGCUGCCCCUACUGUCACUAGGAAAGGUCACCGCACGGUAUGAACCCAAAACCAAGCACUUCUCCAUUGCAAGAAUCAUAGAUCUAGUUGGCCAAACAAAGCCCAAGACCCGGAGAGACUUACAAGGAUACCAAAUCAUGCAUAUAAGAAAUCAGCAAAGACUCAAAUAUAUAUCAUAGAUAAUUUGAUCACAAAUCCACAAUUCAUCGGAUCUCGACAAACACACCGCCAAACAGGAUUACAUCGGAUAGAUCUCCAUGAAGAUCAUGGAGAACUUUGUAUUGAAGAUCCAAGAGAGAGAAGAAGUCAUCUAGAUACUAACUACGGACCCGUAGGUCUGAAGUAAACUACUCACGAGUCAUUGGGAGGGGCGAUGAUGUUGAUGAAGAACGCCCUCCAACUACCAAACGUCCCCUUCGGCGAGGGCACCGGGAAGGGUCUCCAGAUGAGAUCUCGACGGAAACGGAAGCUUGCGGUCGACGGAAAAGUUGUUUUCGUGGAUCGCCCUGUUAUUUUUUUCKUGGUUAGUUUUUAAGGGUAAKUUUAGUACGGACCAAACGACCGUAGGGCGAGGGGAGCCGCCGAGGGGGGCACAAGCUUGGUUGCCGCGGCCUCCCCCCUAGCCGCAGCAAUAGGGCUUGUGGGACCCCUGUGGGCCCACUUGCUUGGACCUCAAGCCUCCUGAUCUUCUUCCAUUAGUGGAAAAAUUAUUUCGGGGAUUUUAUUCCGUUUGGACUCCAUUCCAAAAUCAGAUCUAAAAAGAGUCAAAAACACAGAAAAAACAGGAACUGGCGCUUGGCACUGAAUUAAUAAGUUAGUCCCAAAAAAGAUAUCAAAGGUAAAAAAACAUCCAAAGUUGACAAGAUAACAGCGUGAAACCAUCAAAAAUUAUAGAUACGUUUGAGACGUAUCAAGCAUCCCCAAGCUUAACUCCUGCUGGUCCUCAAGUAGGGAAGUGAUAAAGAAUGAAUUUUUGAUGCUUUCAUGCUACCUAGCAUAGAUGUCCUUUGUAACUCCUCUUAUGUGACGUGAAUGUUCAGAUCCAUUAGAUUCAAAACAAUAGUUUGCUAUUGACGUGGAAACGAUAAUACUUCAAGCAAACUAGCAAAGUAAUCAUGAACUUUCAAAAUAACAAGGCCAAAAGAAAGUUAUCCCUACAAAAUCAUAUAGUCUCGCUAUGCUCUAUCAUCAUUGCACAACGAAUUUAAAUCAUGCACAACCCCGAUAUUGGCCAAGUAAUUGUUUUCACACCUUUACUUUCUCAAACUUUUUCAACUCUCACGCAAUACAUGAGCGUGAGCCAUGGUUUUAGCACUAAAAGUGGUGUGGAGUGUGGUGGAGGUUGCAAGACAAACAAGGAGAAGAUGGUCACAUUGACUAGGCAUAUCAAUGAGCUAUGGAGAUGCUCAUCAAUAGAUAUCAACGUGAAUGAGUAGGGAUUGCCAUACAAAUGAUGCACUAGAGCUAAGAGUAUGUGAAAGCUCUUAAAGAAAACUAGUGGGUGUGCAUCCAACUUGCUUGCUCGCGAAGACCUAAGGCAAAUUUGAGGAAGCCUAUCAUUGGAAUAUACAAGCCAAGUUAUAUAAGGAAAAUUUCCCACUAGCUAUAUGGUGGUGAUAAAACGAGAGACUCUCAAUCAUGAAGAUCAUGGUGCUUAAUAUGCACAAGUGUUGAAAGGUGGUAACAUUGUCCCUUCUCUCUUUUUCUCUCAUUUUUUUGGCACUUUGGCCUCUUUUUUUUGGUGGGCAUCUUUGGCCUAUUUUAUUUCCUCACAUGGGACAAUGCUCCAUCAAUGAUGAUCAUCACACUUACAACUCAAAACUUAGAGCAAUGAUGACUCUAUAUGGAAUGCCUUCGGUAGCGUACCGUGACAAUGAUCUAGCAUGGCAUAGACAUUAAUGGAAACAUCAUGCUAGCUAUCUUACGAUCAUGCAAUGGCAAUGUAGACGUGGUGGCACAUGUCAUGGUGGUAGUUGCAUGGCAAUAUAUCUCGGAAUGACUUGAAAAAGGCAUAUUAGGUAGGUAUGGUGGCUGUUUUGAGGGAGGCUAAUGGUGGGUUUUGUGCACCGGCAAAAGUUGCACGACACUAAAGAAGAUAGUGAUGGUGGAAGGUGAAAGUGCAUCUAAACCAUGGACUCAACAUUAGUCAUGAAGAACUCAUAUACUUGUUGCAAAAGUUUUAUUAGUAAUCGAAACAAAGCAUUCAACGCAUACUCCUAGGGGAAGGGUUGGUAGGUAUAAACCAUCGCGCGAUCCCGACCGCCACACAAAGGAUGACAAUCAAUAGACUAAUCAUGCUCAGACUUCAUCACAUAACGGUUCACCAUACGUGCAUGCUACGGGAAUCACUAACUUCAACACAAGUAUUUCUAGAUCCACAACACCUUACUAAUAUAACUUCAGUAUUACCAUAACCACAACUCAAAACUAGUUGAGAUGAAUCAAACUUCUCUAACUAUUCAAUGCACAUGAAGGUGGAAGUUUUYGUAUCCCUUUSGAUAMCUACCCMUUUUGAGACUASUUUMAWAGCAUAGAUCAACUACCAAGCCACGCACCACYGCWRCUCUAAAAURAUAUAAGUGAAGCACAUAGAGCMAAAUYAWCUAGCUCAAAAGAUAUAAGUGAAGCACAAUGUGAGCUGAAUUGUCUACCAAARGAUAUAAGUGAAGCUCGACAAAAUCACGGUGWGUGCAUGUMUCUCUCUCUAGGUGUGYAGCAAGGAUGAUURUGACACAACGAAAAAUAAAAGACUCCUACGAUACAAGACGCUCCAAGCAAAACACAAAACAUGUGGUGAAUAAAAAUAUAGCCCCAAGUAACGUUACCGGUGGAUUGAAGACGAAAGAGGGAUGCCUUCCGGGCAUCCCAAGCUUAGGCUUUACGACAUCCUUGAAUCAUCUGGGUGCCUUGGGCAUCCCCAAGCUUGAGCUCUUGCCACUCUUUAUCUUUUUGUCCAUAAGAACUUCACCCAAAACUUGAAAACUUCACAACACGAAACUUAAACAGAAACUCGUGAUAACAUUAGUAUAAGAAAGCAAACCACCACUUCCUUAGGUACUGUAGCAAACUUAAAUUCUACUUAUGUUGAUGUUGGGUUACUGUAUUUUCAAUCUUCCAUGGCUAAUACCCCCCGAUACUAUCCGUAGUUUCAUCAAAAUAAGCAACCAACACAACAAAAAGAAUAUGUUAAUAGCAGACCAGUCUGUAGCAAUCUGUAUACUUCGUAUACUUCUGGUACUUCAAAAAUUCUGAAAAAUUACGAGAUUUUGAAGAAUUUGUGUAUCAAUCAGCAGAAAAAUAAUCAACUCAAAAUCGCUUACAGAAAAAAAGAAAAUUCUAAUUCGUGAGCAGAAAGUUUUUUUAGUCUUUUCCAGCAUGACCAAACGAUCAUCCCCAAGACUAAUCAUAACGGUUUUGCUUGGCACAAAGGCAAAAGAACACAAAAACACAAUCAGAACAGAAUUAUGAAAGUGUGACAAAACACAAAACAGAAAUAAAAAGGAUAGAUUCGUGGGUUGCCUCCCAACAGCGCUAUUGUUUAACGCCUUAGCUAGGCAAUGGUGAUGGAAUCACGUAUAGUCAUCUUUGGUGUCUAAACCUAUAAGUAGUGUGAUCAUUUAUCAUCUUAAGAUCUUCAUCUUUANNNNNNNNNNNNNNNNNNNNNNNNNNNNNNNNNNNNNNNNNNNNNNNNNNNNNNNNNNNNNNNNNNNNNNNNNNNNNNNNNNNNNNNNNNNNNNNNNNNNUCGAUCUCCACCAACCAAUUUCGGGAUUUGGGAAUUUUAGGGUUUGUUAGUUGACAUUUUAGUACCAACUAGCUAUAGAUAUCUUUAUCACCUAAUAAUAAAAAGGCUAUCGCUUCCGUCGGAAACCCACCUCGGUGAUUUUAAAAAGUCCUUGAUGUUUUUAAAAUUAAACCAGCAAUCCAAUUGAUAAGUGAAGCUAAAUCGGUAUGUACGUACGUACGUGACCAGUUGCCGCUGCUUGAUCGAUAGUGGCAUAGAUCAGCAACCAGCCGGACAAUGCACGGGCCGAAGUACGAGCGUGCACAUCGAUCAGCGUCGGAAGCUACGCUGCGGGCGCGGCGUCUCGCCGUUGACGUCAGCUUGUACAUGCCGGCGCCGCACACCGAUCAAUGUGGCCCGUCGACAAGAUGAUGGUCGUCACCGUGAGGCCCGCGUACGCCGCGUUCCGAAAUGGCGAGAUCACGCCACCGUACUUCUGGUUCACGAUCGGCGCCGCCAUCGCGAAGAAGACGAGGAUGAACGUGCCGACGAACUCCGCGCCAAGCUGUACCAAUGUAAAUUCAUUUUUUUAUCUCUCCCUCUCUCCUUAAUCUUUACCUAAUAUAUAUCUAUACCUAAUAAUAAAGCGGCUAUUGCUUCCGUCAGAAAACCCAUCACGGUAUUUUUAUAAAAAACCUCUGUAAUUUUUGUUAUUCAACCCGCGCUCCAUCAUUUAUCUGCAACACAAAAGGAAAAAAAAUGAUUCGCUGCAAAAAUUAUACCCGUACGCAUCGCCUCCUCCCGUCGACCCUGGGCCACCCAGGCCUGUGCCCAGGCCGCCGCCACACCACUCGCCGCCGCGGCCGACCUCAGCCGCCACCGCUGCCGAUCUCAACCCACCCGCCUCCGGGGUUGUACCUCUCCCCGCUCACAACCCCCGUUGCGACGCUCGAGCGCAUCGCGUCGACCCUGAUCCACCCUUGGCCUGUGCCCAGGCCGCUGCCACACCACUCGCCGCCGCGGCCGACCUCAACCACCACUAUUGUCGAUCUCAACCCACCCUCCUCCGCGGUCGUACCUCUGCCGCUUGCUGCCCGUUUCGGCGCUCGAGCACAGCUUCUGGAUCAAAUCAACGCGACAACUACAGCGACUUGGGAUGAUGCGUCUGCUCGAUGCAGAACGGCGGUGGCACGCGGAUAAGGCGCGGCGGAGCGAAGUACUUGCAGGUGGAGGCGGGCCUCCAUGGCUCACACGGGGAACUCCGAGGUUAUGGCGUGGCAACGACGACUCCUUAUGGUCAGAUAGAGGCGCCUAACCCUUGCUUCCCUCAUCGCAUCCCCUCCUCCGGCAGGAACUCAUCAUCUGGUGAGAUCCUCUCUCCAUGCCUUCAACCGUGUACCAAGCACCGGCAAGAAAUUUUGUUUUGUGAGAAUUUGUUUGCUGAUGAAUGAAUGUAUUGAAUGUAACAUUGCAUUGUUGUAAAGAAAGAGAAUGGAACACCACCUUGAGUUUGUCAUCUGAUUCCACAUUCUCUACCCCGUGAGUGAAAUAAGAUAACAGUCCAUUGAUCAAUUCAUGUAGCCUCUUUGUUUUGCUUUGCUUGUCCCGUUUAAUUUCUCAUCAUGGUGAAAUUAACAAUGGACGGGUUGAUUUCUCAACAAAAUAGGAUAGGACUGGCUACAUUAGUUAGUUAGUUUAUUAUUUUAAUAAUCAAAAUGAUUAUAAAAAAACGUAGAAAUAUGUGGUAUUUUUUUCUUCUCGUUGCAACGCACGAGCCCUUUUGUCUAGUACGUGAAAAAAUAGUGCACCGCAUCAUUCGGAUCGCGUUCCUUUGAUUUACUCCAUAGCAACUCCCCCACCAGCUCCAACCCUGUAUGUACCUAACUUGCUAUAUAUACGUGCACCAGCUCUGCACAGGGACGGUCACACUCCAAUCAGGCACAGCACACAAAACAAGUCUCGUCAUAUCGAGAAACGGAGCUAGCUCGACCACGGGUGGUGUUCGGCAGCAGCUCUAGGCCGUCGUCCUCGGCCGGGUGGCGCCGAUGGCCACACACAUAAAUUAUCCUUAUGAUGAGGUUUCGAGAUCAACGAAUGCGCACGGUCCACUUGUUUGUUCUUGCAUGUCCGACAUGAGGGGCAGCUGUCAGCGUUCGUACCACCAACCAAGAGCGAUAUUCACGUGCAGACAUAAAUCGGAUCAUUUAAUUUUCCCAUGCGAUCCACGAGGGCACUAUAUAUACUCCUCCUGAGAGUAACCACUAAGAUAGCGAACGGAACUCCUGAUUCUUUUUUUAGGAAUUUAUUCUGUAUAUGGAUGGAUGUACUACCCAUGGACGUCUUUUGUGAUUGACGGNNNNNNNNNNNNNNNNNNNNNNNNNNNNNNNNNNNNNNNNNNNNNNNNNNNNNNNNNNNNNNNNNNNNNNNNNNNNNNNNNNNNNNNNNNNNNNNNNNNNUGGAGUAUCACCUGAAAGUGCAGUCAUGCCUUUAAUACGUGUUUUGGUGUUGCUGACAACACACAUAUAGAUAACUAAUCACUAAUACCCCUUUAGUUGUUAAAAAAAAGUUUGAUCAUAUGUUGAUAAGGACAAGCUCAUGUGCUAACAAGGACAAGAUCAAGAUAAGCAUUCCUGAGUACUACAUGCUUGAAUCUUGUGGAUGUUCACAUGGUGGACAGAUGAAGAUGAAUACACAAGCUAGGCCUUCCACAUUGUGUAUGGGAGAGCUUCUUGAAGACUUCAUCAUGUCUUGCUUUCAUCUUGAGUCAAGAAGGAACAACAACACCAAGCUCAAGUGAAAGGGCUAACUCAAAGGUAUCAGUUCMUUUGACGUUARUGGUGCGGAGUGAUGAUCAGCGAAUAAAAGUAUACACGCAAGUAUAGAUCAUCGGACCCUUUUUUUUAUGUUUCUUGAGUCUUUAGGGAUCCCGCACUAUUAAGAGGGGAUCACUGGGUAUUGCGAUAAAUUUGCUCAAACUACAUCUCUACUUCUCUGCUCAUGCCACAUCUCCACUGCUCUGCUUUGAUCCCAAAAGAGAACCAAAGCCUCGGACAUCCGCCCCCUUCGGACGUCCGAGGGCCGGACGCCCGACCAGUUCGGAAAUACGGAACCCUAUACCAGAGCCAAAGUCUCGGACAUCCGGCUCCCUCUAUCCGAGGACCGGACGCCCGACCACUUCGGAAAAUCGGAACCUUGCACCAGAGAAAUCCAGAGUCAGAUAACUCGGACUUCCGGCCUCUCCCUGUCGUCCGAGGGCCGGACGUCCGACCACUUUUGGAAAUCCGGUGCCCUUGAACAGAGCCGUACUCUCGGACAUCCGGGGCCGUCCGGACGUCCGGAAACCGUCGGACGUCACUACAAGAAGUAUGCUCAUACAUGAUGUUUUUAAGACGUCGUUGAUGAAUUCGUCAUAAAUCUAUGACGAAUUCAUCCGAGAUUGUCGUAAACCGUUUGAGGGGAUCAAAUCUACAUAUAAAUUACGACGAUGUGAGUCAAAAACGUCGUAACCACAUAAGAUGAGAUCGUCAUAACUUUUACGACGAUUAUAAAAAUGUCGUAACAUGUUCUAACUAUGUUGACAUGUCACUCGUGGGUCCAUUAUAUUCCACCUCAUCCAUGUAUUGAACUGUUUUUAUACCACUUUUUGUUGGGCUAUUUUUUCAUCUUACUUUUAUAUUGGGCUGGUAAUUUAUCCUCCAUGCUUGCUAAUGGGUUGGUUUCUGGUCUGUCAUAAUAUUUUAUAUUAUACAUAAUAUAUUGUCUAAUAUUUUUAAAAUGAGUUGCUACAUUUUUACAACAAAGAUUUGGUAGGUUCUUUACAAAAAACCUAUUUUCUGGCACUUCGAAAAUAGAAAAUGAUUUUUUUGUGCAAACAAAAUGUAAAAUCUCUUUGACAACGUUGUUUGUCAUACCAACAUACACACAUGUGGACAAUAUUGGGUCAUUGUAACAAACUAUAAGAGGAUAAAAUAUAAGAGAAACAAACAAACAACUAAAAAUUUUAUAUAAGCUUAAUUCUGAUUGGUGGGUAUGUGCUAUGGUCUAAAGAAUAUGAAAUUGGACNNNNNNNNNNNNNNNNNNNNNNNNNNNNNNNNNNNNNNNNNNNNNNNNNNNNNNNNNNNNNNNNNNNNNNNNNNNNNNNNNNNNNNNNNNNNNNNNNNNNCUAGGCGUCCCACAAUGCACAGUGCAUGUAUGCACCCUUGGUUCCGUUGUUGCCAUCUUCUGCCCUCCCAUCUUUAGGAGGGAUCAUUUCACACACGUUGCGUGGCCCAUCAGUCGUCGACUUUAGCACGAUGCCGAACAACGCCAUCAACCUACGCGCGUCCAUCAAACCAUGUCCAACACCGAGACUCCAAUAUUGCACACCACCGAGCCCCGUCGUCUUCAAUGUGGUACUGAUACGUCUCAAACGUAUCUAUAAUUUUUGAUAGUUUCACGCUGUUAUCUUGUCAACUUUCGAUGUUUUGUUUACCUUUUAUAUCUUUUUUGGGACUAACUUAUUAAUUCAGUGCCAAGCGCCAGUUCCUGUUUUUUCUGUGUUUUUGACUCUUUUCAGAUCUGGUUUUGGAACGGAGUCCAAACGGAAUAAAAUCCCCGAAAUAAAGUUUUCCAGAACGGAAUAUCGGGAGGCUUGAGGGCCAAGCAAGUGGGCCCACAUGGGGCCCACAAGCCCUGUUGCCGCGGCCAGGGGGGAGGCCGCGGCAACCAAGCUUGUGGCCCCCCUGGCGCUCCCCUUCCCUAGGUCUUUGGCCUAUAAAUUCCAUAAAAAUCCAGAAAAAUCAGGGCAAUCACGAAAACACUUUUCCGCGGCCGCAAGCUUCCGUUUCUGCGAGAUGUCAUCUGGAGACCCUUCCCAGUGCCCUGCCGAGGGGACUUUGGAGUUGGAGGGCUUCUUCAUCAACAUCAUCGCCCCUCCAAUGACUCGUGAGUAGUUCACUUCAGACCUACGGGUCCGUAGUUAGUAGCUAGAUGGCUUCUUCUCUCUCUUGGAUCUUCAAUACAAAGUUCUCCAUGAUCUUCAUGGAGAUCUAUCCGAUGUAAUCCUCUUUGGCGGUGUGUUUGUCGAGAUCCGAUGAAUUGUGGAUUUGUGAUCAGAUUAUCUACGAUAUAUAUUUGAGUCUUUGAUGAUUUAUUAUAUGCAUGAUUUGAUAUCCUUGUAAGUCUCUCCGAGUCUUGGGUUUUGUUUGGCCAACUAGAUCUAUGAUUCUUGCAAUGGGAGAAGUGCUUGGUUUUGGGUUCAUACCAUGUGGUGACCUUUCCCAGUGACAGUAGGGGCAGCAAGGAACGCAUCGUGUAGUUGCCAUCAAGGGUAACAAGAUGGGCUUUUAUCGUAGAUAUGAGAUUGUCCAUCUACAUCAUGUCAUCUUGCUUAAGGCGUUACUCUGUUCUUUUGGACUUAAUAGACUAGAUGCAUGUUGGAUAGCGGUCGACGUGUGGACUAAUAGUAGUAGAUGCAGAAAGUAUCGGUCUACUUGUUUUGGACGUGAUGCCUAUAGAUAUAAUCAUUGCCAUAGAUAACGUCACGACUUUGCGCGGUUCUAUCAAUUGCUCGACAGUAAUUCGUUCACCCACCGUCUACUUGCUUUCAUGAGAGAAGCCACUAGUGAACGACUACGGCCCCCGGGGUCUAUUCCGACACCGUAUCGUUUCCGACUUUUGCUUUUACGUUUGCUUUCGUUAUUUUUUGCUUUCAGUUCUCACUUGGCAANNNNNNNNNNNNNNNNNNNNNNNNNNNNNNNNNNNNNNNNNNNNNNNNNNNNNNNNNNNNNNNNNNNNNNNNNNNNNNNNNNNNNNNNNNNNNNNNNNNNCGUGGCGGGCGGGCUCUGCUCGCGCCAGCCGCGAUGAGCGCUGAGCGUAGUGGUCUGGGAGCUGCCGCCGUGCAGGUGCUGGCGCGUGAUGGGGCACGUCGCGUUGCCGCGGUCAAGCCACUCCUGUAUGGCGCGGCGCUCGUACGUUUGGCCGGUCUCGAGCGUGACGGGGUCGUCGAACACCUGGCUCGUGAUCGGGCACACGAAGUCCUUGGGCGUCGUCGCCGCCUGCUGCUGAAGCCGCGACAGCUCGGCGUCGCCGGCCAUCGAGGACCUGUAUGUAUUCAAAUCCAUCAGCGCGUGUCUCCAUCGAUGGCAUCGGUGCAAUCUAGGUUGCGGGAAAUGCUGUAUCCGGAAGCGGGUGACAUGGUUACCUUGAGUGCUCCGGAGAGAGGCGGGCCCGGCUGGCGCCGUCGUCGCCGCGUGGCUUGGACAGUGGGGACGCCGCUUGCUUUUCCUAAGAGACAAGGCAACAACAUUGGGAACUCAGCUUUGGAGAGAUGGCUCAUCAGCAGAUCAGCCGGAGAAGCAAACGAGGGUUGUGUAGUACUCGCUCCGUUCCUAAAUAGGGCUACAUACGGAUGUAUAUAGACAUACUUUAGAGUAUAGAUUCAAUCAUUUUGCUCCGUAUGUAGACCCUUAGUGAAAUCGCUUAAAAAACUUAUAUUUAGAAACGGAGGGAGUAUUUUUUUCCCGGGUAAGUUUACAUGUCUUCUUUUACUGAGCUUUUUCUAAAGAAGCUAAGAACUCAAUUUCAUAAUUAUUUCUAUUUAGGCCACCCUAAGUAUUACACAUCUAAAUGACAUAAUCAAAAUGAAAAGGAAAAUAAAAAGGAACAUACCAACACGAAUCUCCGCUUCAAAUCAAUGCCGGGUACAUUUAGACGUGUUUUUAUCAAAAACAUAUUUGAAAAUGGACAACUCUAGUGAAAUUGGGUGACUAAGGUCAUCUCCAAUGCUUAGCCAUUUGUUUAGACGCUAGAGAUAAAAAAACAAAUUGAAAAUUCACCAUAGAGUCGUUCUCUAUAAUAAACAAAAAAACUCAAAUUGCAAAUCCUGUCAACUUACAUAAAAAUUGUCAAAAAUAAAAUAAAAACUUGAAUCGCAAAUUUGUCCUCCUCAACACCAAGCCGACCUAGCAGCCAAAGAAACCGGAAAACCAGCGAGUUAGUUGAAGAAGCCUCCAUUGAUAUUCUUUGGGAAUUAAUUUCUUUGGCAUCCAGGAUAAGGUUUAAAAAUCUCAACGAAAUUUCACACAAAUUUUUGAAAUUUUGCAUAUUUCAUUGGGGUCUGAAAUAUUUUUUUCCCUGAAAUUAAGAUGCAAAUUCAAACUGAUUUCAAAAUAAAUUUAAAAUUAUGUUAAAAUUCAUUGAAAUUAGGUGAAUUUUGGAAACUCAAAAUCAAAAUAUUUCAGGAAAUAUGUAAUUUUUUGAACUUUUGUAUAUUUAGGUGAGGUCUGAAAUUNNNNNNNNNNNNNNNNNNNNNNNNNNNNNNNNNNNNNNNNNNNNNNNNNNNNNNNNNNNNNNNNNNNNNNNNNNNNNNNNNNNNNNNNNNNNNNNNNNNNUGUUUUUAAAGUUUGCUCGUUUCUCUGCUUACCAUGCUAGCUAACACUAGCCUACCUGAUGCAAACUUGCUGAAUAUAUGUAUGGGUAGUUCCUGGUGGUCACUUAUUAUCCAAGGGAGUAGUUUUGGUACUUAACGAAUGGUGUUUCAGCUAGCUUGCACCUCAUCUAGCUACUCACUGUUAUUGUUACACCUGAGAUGAUAUUUUGUUCUUCGAAAGACGUUUUACAAUUUAGCAUUGCCAUCUAGUUCCUGCGCCUCAAAAAUACAUUACUUUGUUUGUAUGCAGGUAUACUAGAGCCCAUAAAAGCUGGUAUCAGUGAUGCAAAACUAGGAGUGGGGAAGCAAGAGCAGGAUGACUUCUUCACAGCGAGUGCUAAUUUCUGUAUUUUCUUUUGAGAUUCUUUUGGGUUGAUGCUUCAGUUGUGAAAACUGGUAUCUGAUUGUCAACUGUGAAUUAGAUGAGUUAUUGAAUUAUGUAAACCUGGAGAUGUAUUAUGUGAUGUUAUAUGAUGAUUUUAAUUCGACUUGGAGUUUUCUUGAUUUGAACAUGAAAUAGUGCUGCAUUUAAUAUUGGACAAAUAAUUGGUUGAAAAGGCCCAAUAAAUAGAAAUGAAAUCAAGUUCUGAAAAAAAAGUUGCUGAAUUCAAAAAUGAAAAAAGGCCAAAACUGAAACUGGACCAAAUGUAUUUGGACACUAAAAGGCGAGGGCCCAAAAACAAUUCAAAAAGAAAACUAAAAGUGGCUAUAAAUGGGCUAAGGCCCAAAAGAAGCCCAAAAAUAAAACCAGCCCAUGUGAUCAAUUGAAAUGGGUUGGGCUGAUUUCAAUUAUGAUGUUUUGAUUUCGUCGUAAUUUUGCCACGUAGGACUGCCAUGUAGGACUGGGUUAGAUUGUCAACGACGAUUUAGGAUCGUCGUAAAGGUUACGACGAUCCAUGAAUCGUCGUAGAAGUUAUGACGAWUUUGUAUCAAAACGUCGCUCGUGUUCAUUUGUGACGCUCCGUUUUCGACGCUUGGUUUUUCGUCGUGAGAUCGUCGUAAACUAAAAACUGUGACGAUGUAGCGAAGAAAAUAUAGCGUCGUGUAUUAGCANNNNNNNNNNNNNNNNNNNNNNNNNNNNNNNNNNNNNNNNNNNNNNNNNNNNNNNNNNNNNNNNNNNNNNNNNNNNNNNNNNNNNNNNNNNNNNNNNNNNCUCACGAAGUGGGAGGGGGUAUUUAUAGUGGGGAGAGAAAACCAGCCGUUGGGUACACUUUAGGUCACACAGGGUCCGGACGUCCGACAGUUUCCGGAAGUCCCGGCGUCCGUGAGGGGUCGGACGUCCGACAGGGGUCGGUCGUCCGAGAGCUGUAGAUAUGUCUGGAAACACUGUGAGUUGAACAGGCACCGGACUUCCGAAGAAGGCCGGAAAUCCGAGUUAUUCGACUCAACUUCUUCUAGUGCAAAGUUCCGGAAUUCCGAAAGGGGACGGACGUCUGGCCCUCGGACGUCCGGAGGGAGCCGGAAAUCCGAGCUAUAGAGCUCAUGUUCUUCGGGUGCACGGCUCCGGAUUUCUGAAGCUGGUCGGUCGUCCGACCCUUGACCGGCCCUCGGACGUCCGGAGGGAGCCGGAAGUCCGAGUUAUAUGGUUCAAGUUUCUCUCGUGCAUAGUUCCGGAAUUCCAAAGCUGGUCGGAUAUCCUGGCCUCGGACGUCCGGAGGGAGCCGGAAGUCCGAGUUAUAUGGCUCUGAUUUCUCUGGUAUAGGAUUCCGGAUUUCCGAAGCAGUCGGUCGUCCAGCCCUCGGACGUCCGGAGAGCCGGAUGUCCGAGGCACUGGUUCUGUUUUCAGANAAGUGGGAGGGGGUAUUUAUAGUGGGGAGAGAAAACCAGCCGUUGGGUACACUUUAGGUCACACAGGGUCCGGACGUCCGACAGUUUCCGGAAGUCCCGGCGUCCGUGAGGGGUCGGACGUCCGACAGGGGUCGGUCGUCCGAGAGCUGUAGAUAUGUCUGGAAACACUGUGAGUUGAACAGGCACCGGACUUCCGAAGAAGGCCGGAAAUCCGAGUUAUUCGACUCAACUUCUUCUAGUGCAAAGUUCCGGAAUUCCGAAAGGGGACGGACGUCUGGCCCUCGGACGUCCGGAGGGAGCCGGAAAUCCGAGCUAUAGAGCUCAUGUUCUUCGGGUGCACGGCUCCGGAUUUCUGAAGCUGGUCGGUCGUCCGACCCUUGACCGGCCCUCGGACGUCCGGAGGGAGCCGGAAGUCCGAGUUAUAUGGUUCAAGUUUCUCUCGUGCAUAGUUCCGGAAUUCCAAAGCUGGUCGGAUAUCCUGGCCUCGGACGUCCGGAGGGAGCCGGAAGUCCGAGUUAUAUGGCUCUGAUUUCUCUGGUAUAGGAUUCCGGAUUUCCGAAGCAGUCGGUCGUCCAGCCCUCGGACGUCCGGAGGAAGCCGGAUGUCCGAGGCACUGGUUCUGUUUUCAGAUAACAGCAGAGCAGUGGAGAUGUGGUCUGAGCAGAACAGUGGAGAUGUAGUUUGAGCAAGUUCAUCGCAAAACCUGUGAUCCCCUCUUAAUAGUGCGGGAUCCCUAAAGACUCAAGAAUCAUAAAAGGGGUACUGAUGAUCCAUACUUGAGUGUAUACUUUUAUUCGCUGAUCAUCACUCCGCAUAACUAACGUCAAAGGAACUGAUACCUUUGAGUUAGCCCUUUCACUUGAACUUGAUGUUGUUGUUCCUUCUUGGCUCAAGUUGAAAGCAAGACAUGAUGAAGUCUUCAAGUAGCUCUCCCAUACACAAUGUGGAAAGCCUAGGUUAUGUAUUCAUCUUCAGUUGUCCACCAUGUGAACAUCCACAAGAAUCAAGCAUGUAGUGCUCAGGAAUGCUUAUCUUGAUCUUGUCCUUGUUAGCACAUGAGCUUGUCCUUAUCAACACAUGAUUAUUAACAAUAGUUUCAAUGAUAUAUUCGUGUUGAUCCAGUUGAACUUGCACACCACAAUUUGAUGACGAUCACCACUUGACGUCAUCCUUCAUGAGUUGUAUGAGAUCUUCCUUUUGACGCAAGCCCAAUGGAAGCACACCUAACCCCCACAUAGGACUCUCACAAAGACCAUGGGUUAGUACACAAACACGUAAUGGACAAUGCUUACCAUACCAUGGGAUCACUUGAUCCCUCUCGGUACAUCUUAUACGCUUUGUGUGUUGACCAUCUUGAUUUACUCUUUGUCUGAGAUCUUGAUCAACCUAGUGUCUCUAUGACCAUUCUUUGGAUAAUACCUUGAAUAACAUCUUGGUCAUCAUAUAAACUCCUUGAACCCAACAGAUGGACUUCAAGAAGUGCCUAUGGACAAANNNNNNNNNNNNNNNNNNNNNNNNNNNNNNNNNNNNNNNNNNNNNNNNNNNNNNNNNNNNNNNNNNNNNNNNNNNNNNNNNNNNNNNNNNNNNNNNNNNNGUGGAGCAGGGGAGGGUGCGGGGGGUCGGCGGCGGCGGUGGAGUGGUGGCCAUUAGUAGUUUCAUACAACUCGUAAGAGCCUAAACACUUGUACUCGUAUAGAAUACUAGGUAAACGAAUAUCCUGGUACAAUGAACCUGCCCUACCAAGAUGCGUCCGGGCAGAUCGGUGAAUUCACGGACAGAGAACCGGCCAGAUCUCCAAACGCUCACCCCCCACCGGCGACGUCGAGCCCCGAACCCUACUACUGGGCUCCUCAUAGGAUCGCGAAAUUCCGGCGUUACUACUCGCGACACCACCUCCGCAAAUCGCGUGAUGGAUUCAGGCGAGCGCUCGCGGUUCAGAGGGCUCAACUGCAGAAGACCGCUCUAGAGAGAGGCCAGUCGAGGGGAGGGGCCGACGGCAUACGUACGUGGGCUUGGGCCUCGACGGAGGGAACGUGGAAGGCGUCGAGCGUGGAGGCGGCGGCGCAGGCAGCGACGAGGAGGAGCGGCGUCUCCGUGGACGAGGGCGAGGGCAGAGGAGAGGCGAGGGUGGGUGAGGGUGUGGGCACCGUCUCCGUGGACGAAGGUGGGGGAGGGGGAGGGCGGGGCAGCGGCGGCGACGUCUCCGUGGACCCCAGAGAGGUGCGCCAUUGGAACUUUUUUUUUGGAUAGCAACGGCGCUCGAGGGGAGGGAGGGGUGGGUGGUGCGCUCGGUCGAUUCCGUUCGGGGGAACCGAGCGAGGAGACAGGGGAGGGUCCAGGGGGUCGGCGGCAGCGGUGGAGCGGGGGAGGGUGCGGGGGGUCGUCGGCGGCGGUGGAGCGGGGGAGGGUGCGGGGGGACACUAUUGGGACACUAUGAUGCAAGAAUAUGAGACACCCGAGACAAGCUUGGAGGAGGAGGUGGAGAGAAUGAAAGUGGGGAAAGUGAGUGUGGUAGGUGGUUGUCCAAAAUAUCUAGCUAUGAUGCAAGAAUAUGAACCAUGAUCAAUGAAAAAAGACAGAAUUUGUUAUGCUAUUUCUCUGCGGUUGUAGUUGUAAGCCAGGUAUUUCUACAUGUUAGAACAUGCUUGGAUAUAGAAAAUUCGAAGAAAACUUGCAUAAACCGGCCUACUUCUGCAUAGGGAAAAUGAUUUUAUAUGAUAUAUUGACAUUACAAAUAUUAAAUACGUAGAAAAAUAAACAUCAUAUGGCCCAUACAUAUUUCUUUUAGAGAUUGGCUUCUGGCACAUUGCCCAUAAAUAGCAAAGAUCAAUCUGAUGUAAUUCAAAAGACGACCUGAAAUAGAUAAAAAACAUCAUAUUGUUUAUAGGCAAGGAGAAUUGUUUUUUUAGCAGAUUUCUCCAUUUCUAGGUCUUCAUGAAAGAGCGAGGAAAAUGUGCAGGAUAGGUGGAGCAUAAGAGGUGUCAAAAUAUGGAGAAGCUGCUGCUGAAAGAGGUCUGCAUUUGCACAUGAGGAAGAUGCUAGGGGAUGAUGAGGACUCACCGCAUCCUUCAAUCCUCUAGGUUCAGAACAAUUGGACAGACAACUCAAGUGAACUAGCAGCAAGGGAACACAAAUUUUCACCUCAUCAUCUUCCACCUCCUGCCAAUCCUCAUCGUCCCAUCCUUCAUCCUGCAAAAUGGCAGAGCAUUACUUGUAAAAGGUUCUUUCCAGCUCCAGCACAAAUGGGGUGCCCGAGAUCCUACAGCCAAGAACUCUAAAUCCCCACCAGUUGGGCACAAGAAACAUGCCAAGAACGGCAUAAAGAACACCCAGACGCGCCAAAUCUCACAAGACGAGUGAGAUUUUGGAGAAAAGAUCGCCGAGCAAUCAUCACCCAAGGUACUGGGAACUCACCGUAUCCUUGUCGGCGGGACGCGGCGAAGGUCCUGGCGGCUGAGGCGGGGGCGCCGAGGUGGGAGGCGCCGAAGCUCGAGAGAUGGCUACAAGUAAUGGAGCGCAGGGUGCGGUCGAUGUUCUCGUGGGCGGUGCGGACGACGUGGGUGUGGAGCUGGAUGGGGCGCAUGGCAGCGUCGAGCAAGGAGAGGCGGCUGUCGAAGGGAUUCCCGCAGCAGCGCUCCUCCUCCGUGACCCUCCAUCCCGCUACCCAAGGACGGAUGCUCCUCCUCCUCCUAGAGAGCUUGGGCCGGAGAGGCGGGGCGGAUCUGGGGGACGGGAUCCGGGGCUGCACGCAGGCACAGCGGAGCGGGGCGGUCUGGGGGACGGGAUCCAGGGCGGAUCCGGGGCAGGCACUGCCGGUUAGCAAUGGCGCACCCCGGAGCGGUGCGCCAUUAGAUUUUUUUGAUAGCAAUGUCGCAUCCCCAUGCAGUGCGCCAUUAGUAAAUAUAUUUUUAUAUAGCAAUGGCGCAUUUCACAGAGGUGCGCCAUUAGUAAUCUUUUUUUUGGAUAGCAAUGGCGCACCCCAAAGAGGUGCGCCAUUAGUAAUAUUAUUUUUUUUGGAUAGCAAUGGCGCUCGGGGGGGAGGAGGGGGUGGAUGGUGCGCUCGGCCGAUUCUGUUCGGGGGAACCGAGCGAGGAGACAGGGGAGGGUGCGGGGGGUCGGCGGCGGCGNNNNNNNNNNNNNNNNNNNNNNNNNNNNNNNNNNNNNNNNNNNNNNNNNNNNNNNNNNNNNNNNNNNNNNNNNNNNNNNNNNNNNNNNNNNNNNNNNNNNUAGGGCGAAUUCUUUGAAUACCCAUGAUGCUAAUGAUAUGCAAAUCCACAAGCUUGGGGAUGUGAUGUUUCAUGAAGAUGAUAUUUUUAGUUCCCCCACUUUGAAUGAUGAAAAUUAUUAUGAUGAAAGCAUGCCCCCUAUCUAUGACGAUUAUUGUGAUGAUACUUAUGCUAUAAAGAAGAAUGAUAAUAAAACUUGUCACAAUUAUGAGUACCCUCUUACUGAACAUUACUCUUCUAAUGUGGAAACAAUUCAUAGUGUUCAAGUCUUUUACGAUACUCCCACUACUAUUGAUGAGAAUAAAUUUCCUUAUGUGGAGAGUAGUAAAAUUUCUAUGCUUGUAGAUCAUGAAAAGAAUGCUUUAGGUGCUGGUUAUAUUGUUGAAUUCAUUCAUGAUGCUACUGAAAAUUAUUAUGAGAGAGGAUCAUAUGCUUCUACAUAUUGCAAUAAUAUCAAGCUUCCUCUCCAUGUGUUGAAACUUUUGAAGUCAUGCUUGUUUUAUCUUCCUAUGCUAAUUGAUUCUUGCUCCAAUAAAUUGUUUGAUCAAAAAAUCCGUAUGCAUAUGUCACACCCAAGAUGCGACCCUAUCCUCAAUUUGGCACGAGGGCCUUGUCAGGGAUAGAAGCGCAUCUCGUCGUGUCGCAAGAAUGGAUAUCGUUACAAAUACAUGUACUGAAAAGAAGAGAUAUAUAAAUAGAAUUGGCUUACACUCGCCACAAGCUACAUUAGAGUCAUAGCAGUACAAUACAUAAUCAUCAUGAAGAAGAGCAGGGUUCGACUACAGACGAAAACAAACGACAAAAGAAGAACGACGUCCAUCCUUGCUAUCCCAGGCUGCCGGUCUAGAACCCAUCCUAGAUCGAAGAAGAAGAACAACAACAAGCAACUCCAAAUGAACAAUCAACACGGUCGCGUCGAGUAACCUUUACCUGUACCUGCCACUGGUGUUGUAGUAAUAUGUGAGCCACAGGGGACUCAGCAAUCUCAUUUCCAAAGGUAUGAAGACUAGCAAAGCUUAAUAGGUGAGGUGAGGUUAAGUGGUGAGGUUGCAGCAGCGGCUAAGCAUAUAUAUAUGGUGGCUAACUUACGAGUACAAGAAAUAAGGAGGGGGAAGAUCUACGCAUAGCGGACAUGAACUACAGUUGGUCAAAUGAAUGAUCCUGAACACCUACCUACGUCAGUCAUAACCCCACUGUGUCCUCGAUCGGAGAAGGAACUCACGAAAGAGACAGUCACGGUUACGCAUACAGUGGGCAUAUUUUAAUUAAGUCAACUUCAAGUUAUCUCGAACCAGUGUUAACCAAAGUUUCCACGUUGCCACAUAACUGCGGGCAUGGAUUUCCGAAAAGAUUUAACCCUACAGGGGUGCUCCAACUAGUCCAUCACAAAUUACCACAAGCCGCAUAGAAAUCCUCAAUCACGAAGCUCGCGAUCUCGUCAGAUUCCCUAGUGGAAAACCUAAACUCUGAGAUUACCCAAAGCAUCACCGAAAUCCCGAUGCAUAAGAUAUUUCGUCAAAGGUAAAACUAAUCCAGCAAGGCCGCCCGACGUGUCGACGAUCCCGAUAGGAGCCGCGUAUCCUAUUCUCAGGACACGAUGGAUGGAAAAGCCUACAGGUACCAAACCACGAGUUGCCCCGUGGUGGCCCUGCAGUCUGUCCAUUUUGGACCAACACUCAUGAGGAGCACUGGCCCGGAGGUUGAUUAAAUUUCCUCGGGUUAAUUACUCCCUAUGCAGUUCAUUGGUUGUUAGGCAAAUGUAGUAUCAAAGUUGGGCCUUGCCAGACCAGCUUUAAUCUAAAACCAAUUAUCAAGGGGGUCCCCAUAACAACCCCGAUCGUGUUAGGAGCACUCAAUUAUGGAACAUAACACCGGUAGCCAAAACUAAGGGGGCAAAGGUGGAACAAAACACCAGGCUAGAUAGGCCGAGCAUUCCACCUUUUAUCAAGUAUAUAGGUGCAUUAAAAUUAAAUAGCUUUAAUAUGGUGAUAUGACAAGGAACCCAUGUUAUUACAUGGAAGCAACUACACCUGCAACUAGCAACGCUAACAACAUGGUUAAGCAAGCAGUAACAUAGCCAAUCAGUGGUUUGCUAGGUUGAACAGUUGAGGUUCCAUGGCAUUGUUGAGAGGAUUAUAUAUAACAUGUAGUAGGCAAUGAGACAUAAACGGUAGAAACGGUAAAACUAGCAUGGCAAUGAUAGUAAUGGUAUCUGGGGAAAUGGUCAUCUUGCCUGAGAUCCCGCUUGGAAGAAGAACAACUCCAAGAAGUCGACGAACCAUCGUAGUCGAACGGGUGCUCACAUUCCGACAUGCUUGCGGAACUAUAUCGAGACGGAGCAAACCGGAAACAAACAUCAACACAGAUAUUCACCACACGAUGCACAACAUGAUGCACAACCUACUAUGAUGCAUGAGAAGGUUAAAAUGCAAGGGAUGGCAUGGCAAUUCACCUCACACAAACACUACACAUUAAGUGAAGCUCGAUAUGCAACGAGUUACAUAUCGACGAAACUCCACGUUUAAUUAUUUAAUUCACUCCCGUUAAUUUACACGGCAAUAUUAAAUUGUUGUUAACAUGGCAAGGGGUGAAGCGGGUGAUCCUACAUGUCAUCCUAGACGGUUAUCACGCGGGACAUAGAUCGGAGCUACGUGACAAGAGACAUGCAACACAAGGUAAUUAUGCCAUGAUUGUGUCAUGCAUGCAAGCUCAUAACAUCACGGGCAAGAAGAGAAAGAAACAUGUGUCGCCACGGCGAGCGAAAGGGAACCAUGUCGGCAAAACGGAAACUAAGCCACGACAACGUUCCUAUCCCGAUAACUCGUCGAGAUAUCGUGCCAACGUAUAGGAAGCUUGUGCGGGAACGCUAAAUAAAGAUGGGGUGAUCCUGCUACCGGGUUCCCAUGUGUCGAGGGCACGACGAAAAGGAAGACAACGUGCAACGGGCAAACAUACGGCGCAAACAUACAGUUACAUCUCAUACAACAUAUGCGUUCGGUUCACGACAAUGUCCCAUCGAUAUACCUUCGAAGCGUGCAUAUCGGAGCGGAUCGGGUCGUGGCGGUAAAGGCAAACGAAAGAUCGUCGUGGAAGUCGAGGUACUCGGGUCUCGUCGAAGGUAGUCGUUCGCUUGGCGUUGUGGUUCACGGGUCUUCGGCGUCGGUAGUCGAACAUGUUUUCGGGGGUCGUCGAGGACGCAGUUGUACACGGCGAACUUGUAGCCGACCCACGAUGGCGGGGAUGGUGCACGCGGUCUUCGGCGACGUUCCAACACGCAACCGGGCAAGGCAACAGCAAGCUAGAGAAGCAACUAGCAUCUGGCAGCAGCAAUCACAUCAGGGAGCAACACAUCGGCAAGGCAGCACAGCAGGCAAGCAACAGGGGCAGCAAGGCACGGCACGGCACAUCAACAGCAUCUCGGCAGCAACAGCAAGCUAGCAGCGAGCAACUAGCAACCACAGCUUCGGCACAGCAACACGGCAACACAGAGCAGCAAUCACAGGCAGCGGCUACAGCACAAGUAAGCAGCGAUGGCGAGCUCGGCAGGGCGGCCCACCGGCGGGGUUGAGGGAGGCCACGGCACGGGACGAGGGCGGCCAUGGCGGAAGCGAGCACCUGAGGAGGAGGGGCGAGGCCAUGGCGCGGCCAUGCCGGUGAGGUCGGGGACCGGCGGCUGCGCGGGGGCAGGGGGCUGUGGCGCUGGUGGAGGGCGCAGACGGGCACGCGGGGAACGGCGGCGCAGCGCGGGGAAGCUGCUGCACCGGCUCGGGGCUGGCGACCGGGGCACAGCGCGGAGGCGGCGCAGCUCAGGACGGCGGCGACCACGAGCACGGCGGGGAAGAGAGAGGCGAGGUCGAGGGCAAGGCUAGGGAUCAGGACAGAGGGAGGAACGAGAGGAGGGGAUCGAGGCAGAGGGGCAAUGGCGCACACGGGAGGACGAGGGGAUCGGGCUGCGCUAGGGUUGGGGGGACUUGGGCCUGCUGGGCCUUGGGCCUGGGGUCCCCUCUCUCCCUACGAGUUUUUAUUUUUAAAAACAUAAAAACUCAAACAAAAGAAAAACUUUUAACAAAAAUAUAAAAAAAUGCUUUUGGCUCCGUUGAAAAAUAUACCCCAACUAUAAAAAUAGAUUGGGCAUUUUUUAACGAAUAAAAAUAAAACCUUUUGAAGAAUAAAAUAAAACCCUUUUUUUAAAGAAUAAAAUAAAAGUUGUUUUAAAGGAGAAAAGAAAAUGAGGCUCUGUUUUUCUUAAAUAAACAAAACGAAAAAAUAAGGGAACCCAAGGUUUGCCCCCACAUUUAAUAAAAUGUUUUUUUAAAGAAGACAAACUUUUUAAAGGGGGUUAAAACUGAAACUUUAAAACAGCCACGAAAUAAAAACAAGAGAGGAGAGAAGGGAGUUACUAUCGCACUUGAGGCACACACACUCAAAACACCACACGCAAUAGAUGAUGCAAGAUGCCAUGCAUGAUGCGACGAUGCAAACUAAAUGACGAUGCAACAAACGGAAUAUAAUCACAUGACGGAAAUGGAAAUUAAGGGGAAUCUUCUAGGGCGUCGGUCUCGGGAUGUCACAGCAUAGGAAGUGGGUCAGACUUAAAUGUGCUAGUCAUAUCCUCCAUGAUGCUUCCAUUAUGUUUCAAUCCUUAUCUUUUAUGUGAGCAUCAUUGAAAUCAUCAUGCCUAGCUUGAAAAGCAUUAAAGAAAAGUACUUGGUGGGAGACAACCCAAUAUGUAUCCUUACUAUUUUUUUGUGUUCACAUGAUUAAGCUACUGUAUUAAUCAUGUUUUAUAGAUUUUAUUUCAAUAAAGUGCCAAGUAAAGCAUCUACGAUUAGUUUGGGUGAUAGUUGUUUGAUCAUGCUGAAAAAGACAGAAACUUUGCCUCGCGAAAUCAUUUAUAAUUCUAUCCAGAUAGUGAUUUUAGGUUGAUUCUUUUUUCUGCUGAUUUAUAUACAAAUUUCCUUAAUUUGCAUAAAUUUUUCGGAAUUUUUGUAAGUGUAGAAGUAUGGUUAUCAUUCAGAUCAUUAGAGACUGUUCUGUUUUUGACAGAUUUUGUUUUCAAUGCAUAGUUUGCUCAUUUUGGUGUUUCCAUAGAUUAUAUUGAGUAAUAUAAAUUGUGGAAAUAGUAAGAUACAGUAGGAAUUGUGUGAAAAUAAUUAUGAGUCUUUUUUUGACAGUUUUGGGUAGAGUUUCGAUGGACUAUGGAACAAGGAGUGGAAAGAGCCUAAGAUUGGGGAUGCCCAAGUCACCCCAAAGCCAUAUUCAAGGACUCCAAAUAGCCUAAGCUUGGGGAUGCCCCGGGAAGGCAUCCCCUCUUUUGUCUUCAAUCCAUCGGUAACUUUACUUGGGGCUAUAUUUUUAUUCACCACAUGAUAUUUGUUUUGCUUGGAGCGUCAUUUUCUUUUAUUCGUACUUGCUUGAUGUUAUUUAUAUUAAUGUUUUGCAUGAUUUAGUUCAAUAAAAAUGUCAAGGAUAGCCUUUACCAUGCUUAAUUUGCAAGUAUAGGAGUUGCUGUUCCAAAACAGAAAGUUUGCUUGCAGUGCAAAAAUUCUCUAGAAUUUUCUGUAUGUCAUAAUAACUUGAAAUUUGGACACAGUAUGCUCUUUUAAAUUAUCUGCAGCGUGGAAUUGUUUCAGAUUUUUUGGAGUUAAUGAAGUAUCGACCUUGCUGCAUUCUUUACAUACUGUUCUGUUUAGGAAGAUUGUUGUUAUGUUUGCAUUGUUUGCAUAUGUUUGCUUCUUUAAUGAUCCUAUUUGAGGAUAGGAGUUUUAAAUAUGCAGAGGCAUUUAGUAUGCAAUGUCAAAUAAUAAUUUUAGUGAUUUACUACAGUAGAGGAUGAUAAAGUUUUGCAUUGAUUUAUACUAACAUAUCUCACGAGUUCUUGUUGAGUUUUGUGUGGAUGAAGUUUUUAAGAUUUAGGAAACCACCAUAUGAGAGGAAUUAAGGAGACACAAAAGCUCAAGCUUGGGGAUGCCCAAGUCAUCCCCAAUUCAUAUUUAAAGAAGUCUCAAACACCUAAUCUUGGGGAUGCCCCGGAUGGCAUCCCACCUUUCUUCUUCAAACAAUUAUCGGUUAGUAUCGGUUGAACCUAAGUUUUUCCUUCUUCACAUGAUUCGUGCUAUCCUUGAAGUGCCAUUUUAUUUUGUUUGAAUAAGGUACUUAAGAUAUGAAAUUAUUAGAUGGGAGAGUCUUCACAUAGCCAAAUAAUUAUUUACUACUCACUGAUCUUCACUUAUAUCUUUUGGAGUAGUUUUUCUUUUACUCUCAUGCUUCACUUAUAUCAUUUUGAGAGUCUUAAAAAGCAUGUAAUUUGCUUAGGUUAUGAAUCUAGUCCUAAUAUGAUGGGCAUCCAAGAGGGAUAUAAUAAAAACUUUCAUAUGGAGUGCAUCGAGUACUAUGAGAAGUUUGAUUCUUUGCAUAUGGUUUUGAGACAUAAGGAUGGUGAUAUUAGAGUCAUGCUAGUUAGUAAUUAUGGAUUGGUAGAAAUACUUGUGUUAGAGUUUGUGAUUCCCGUAGCAUGCACAUAUGGUGAACCGCUAUGUUAGGAAGUCGGAGAAUGAUAUUUUUAUUGAGUGUCAUCCUUUGUGUGGAGGUUGGGAUCGCGCGAUGGUUAACUCCUACGAACCCUUCCCUAGGAGCAUGUGUCUAAUACUUUGUUUCAGUUACUAAUAAAACUUCUGCAAUAAGUAUGUGAGUUCUUUAUGACUAAUUUUGAGUCCAUGGAUUAUACGCACUCUCACCCUUCCACCAUUGCUAGCCUCUCUAGUACCGCAAAACUUUUGCCGGUGCAAUGCACCCACCAUAUAUCUCCUCAAAACAGCUACCAUACCUACCCAUCAUGGCAUUUUUAUAUCCAUUCCGAGAUAUAUUGCCAUGCAACUUCCACCGUUCCGUUUAUUAUGACGCGCACCAUCAUUGUCAUAUUGCUUUGCAUGAUCAUGUAGUUAACAUCGUAUUUGUGGCAAAGCCACGUUCAUAUCUUUCAUACAUGUCACACAUGAGUCAUUGCACAUCCCGGUACACCGCCGGAGGCAUUCAUGUAGAGUCAUAUCUUUUGUUCUAAGAAUCGAGUUGUAAGUAAAUAAAAGUGUGAUGAUCAUCAUUAGUAGAGCAUUGUCCCAUGUGAGGAAAGGAAGGAAGCAAUGAUUCCCUCACAAGUUGGGAUGAGACUCCGGACUAUAAAAAUAAAAUAGAAGAGGCCAAAGAGCCCACACAAGAAAAAAUGAAAAUGAAAACAAAGGGAAAAAAAGAGGCUAAAGAGCCCAAACAAAAAAAUGAGAGAAAAAGAGAGAAGGGACAAUGCUACUAUCCUUUACCACACUUGUGCUUCAAAGUAGCACCAUGAUCUUCAUGACAGAGAGUCUCAUAUAUUGUCACUUUCAUAUACUAGUGGGAAUUUAAUUAUAAAACUUGGCUUGUAUAUUCCAAUGAUGGGCUGCUUCUACAUAUUGCAAUAAUAUCAAGAUUCCUCUCCACGUGUUGAAACUUUUGAAGUCAUGCUUGUUUUAUCUUCCUAUGCUAGUUGAUUCUUGCUCCAAUAAAUUGUUAGAUCAUAAAAUCCCUAUGCAUAGGAAGUGGGUUAGACUUAAAUGUGCUAGUCAUAUGCUCCAUGAUGCUUCCAUUAUGUUUCAAUCCUUAUGUUUUAUGUGAGCAUCAUUAAAAUCAUCAUGCCUAGCUUGAAAGGCAUUAAAUAAAAGUGCUUGUUGGGGGACAACCCAAUAUGUAUCCUUACUAUUUUUGUGUGUUCACAUGAUUAAGCUACUGUAUUAGUAAUGUUUUAUAGCUUUUAUUUCAAUAAAGUGCCAAGUAAAGCCUCUAUGAUUAGUUUGGGUGAUAGUUGUUUGAUCAUGCUGAAAAAACCCAAAAUUAACAUGACAUAGAUGCGAAUGCCACACAUUUGAUUCACUAUUGUUGAAAACAUGAUUGACAACUUUGUUGCAAACAUGUGCCAAGCAUAAACGGAACAGGCCACCUGACUCAUAACCUUUACCAACAAAAGUUCCAUACUUGGAUAUUACAAGUUUACUCGACUCAAAGACAAGCGUGUACCCAUCUCUACACAGAAGAGAUCCGCUAACAAGAUUUUUAUUGACGGAGUGGACAUAAUGCACGUUCUUCAGCCGCACGAUCUUCCCCGAAGUAAACUUCAGAUCGACUGUGCCAACUGUUGGAAAUAUGCCCUAGAGGCAAUGAUAAAUAGUUAUUAUUAUAUUUCCUGUUUCAAGAUAAUCGUUUAUUAUCCAUGCUAUAAUUGUAUUGAAUGAAAACAUAGAUACAUGUGUGGAUACAUAAACAAAACAAUGUCCCUAGCAAGCCUCUAGUUGGCUAGCCAGUUGAACAAUGAUAGUCAAGGUUUUCUGACUAUAUGCAAGUGUUGUAGCUUGAUAACUGGAUCACAUCAUUAGGAGAAUCAUGUGAUGGACUAGACCCAAACUAUGAACAUAUCAUAUUGAUCAUGUCAUUUUAUUGAUAUUGUUUUCUGCGUGUCAAGUAUUUAUUCCUAUGACCAUGAGAUCAUAUAACUCACUGGCACCGGAAAAAUACCUUGUGUGUAUCAAACGUCACAACGUAACUAGGUGACUAUAAAGGUUCUCUACAGGUAUCUCCGAAGGUGUCCGUUGAGUUAGUAUGGAUCAAGACUGGGAUUUGUCACUCCGUGUGACGGAGCGGUAUCUCAGGGCCCACUCGGUUAUAAAACAUCACACACAAGCCUUGCAAGCAAUGUGACUAAUUGUAAGUCACGGGAUCUUGUAUUAUGGAACGAUUAAAGAGACUUGCUGGUAACGAGAUUGAAAUAGGUAUGCGGAUACCGACGAUCGAAUCUCGGGCAAGUAACAUACCGAAGGACAAAGGGAAUGACAUACGGGAUUAUAUGAAUCCUUGACACUGUGGUUCAAACGAUAAGAUCUUCAGAGAAUAUGUAGGAUGCAAUAUGGGCAUCCAGGUCCCGCUAUUGGAUAUUGACCGAGGAGUGCCACGGGACAUGUCUACAUAGUUCUCCAACCCGCAGGGUCUGCACACUUAAGGUUCGAUGAUGUUUUAGUAUAGUUGAGUUAUAAGUGUGGUUACCGAAUGUUGUUCGGAGUCCCGUAUGAGAUCACGGACAUCACGAGGGUUUCCGGAAUGGUCCGGAAACAAAGAUUUAUAUAUAGGAUGGUUCCAUUUGGUUACCGGAAAGUUUUGGGCAAUUCCGACAGUGUACCGGGAGUGACGAAUGGGUUCCUGGUGUUUACCGGGAGGGGCCCACCCACCCGGGAGUGAUCCCAAGGCCCUAGGGUGGCGCGACAAGUCCUUAUUGGGUUGGUGGAUUCAGCCCAAGAGGGCUAUGGCGCCACAUAAGAUAAUACCAAAAGAAAAGAAAAAGAAAAAGGAAAGAGGGAGGUGGGAAGGAAGAGGAGGACUCCUCCUUCCCAAACCGAAUUGGAGGAGGAGUCCUCCUCCUCCUGGCGGCCGGCGCACCUCGAGGGCCUUGUCCCUCAAGGCUAGCCCCUCCGCCUCCCUCCUAUAUAUAGUGGUGGUUUAGGGAUUUUUGAGACACAACUUUGCCACGUGCAACUCAGGGCUAUUCCACAUAGUUUUACCUCUAGAUCAGAUUUUUGCGGAGCUCGGGCGGAGCCCUGCAGGAGUAGAUCGUCACCACCACCGGAGUGUCGUCAUGCUGCCGGAUAACUCAUCUACUUCUCCGUCUUGCUUGCUAGAUCAAGAAGGCCGAGAUCAUCGUCGAGUUGUACGUGUGCUGAACGCGGAGGUGCCUUCCGUUCCGCACUAGAUCGGAAUGGAUCGUGGGACGGAUCGCGGGACGGUUCGUGGGACGGUUCGAGGGACGUGAAGACGUUCCACUACAUCAACCGCAUUUCUUAACGCUUCCUGUUGUGCGAUCUACAAGGGUAGUAGAUCUAAUCUCCACUCAUAGAUGGACAUCACCAUGAUAGGUCUUCAUGUGCGUAGGAAAUUUUUUGUUAUCCAUGCAACAUUCCCCAACAGUGGUAUCAGAGCUAGGUUCAUGCGUCGAUGUUAUCUCGAGUAGAACACAUAAGGUUUUGUGGACGGUGAUGUUUGAUUUUCUGCCCCCCCCCUAGUCUUUUCUCGAUUCGGCGGUAUUGUUGGAUUGAAGCGGCCCGGACCGACAUUACUCGUACGCUUACGAGAGACUGGUUUCAUCGACUGACAUGCAACUCGUUGCAUAAAUAUGACUGGCGGGUGUCAGUUUCUUCAACUUUAGUUGAAUUGGUUUUGACCGUGGUAGUCCUUACAUAGAGGUUAAAUAGCUAUUUGCACAUCUUCGUUGUUGUUUUUGCGUAAGUAAGAUGCGAUCGUACUAGAUACCCAUAGCAGCCACGUAAAACAUGCAACAACAAUGUGAUAUGGCCAAUGACGUGAUGUGAUAUAUUGGAUGUAUGAGAUGAUCAUGUUGUAAUAGUUAAUAUCGACUUGCACGUUGAUGCUACGGCAACCGGCAGGAGCCACAGGGUUCUCUUUAAACUAAAGUUUGUGUUUGUAGAUGCAUUUACUAUAUUGCUAGGUCGUAGCUUUAGUAGUAAUAGCAUAGAUAUCAUGACAACCCCGAUGGCGGCACGAUGAUGGAGAUGAUGAUGAUGAAGAUCCUGUCGGUGCUUUGGUGAUGGAGAUCAAGAAGCACAAGAUCAUGGUUGACUCCGUAACAGCAGACCUUCCCCUGCAACGGCACCAGAAGAAUGCUCCUAGCACUCUCCGGCAAUCGAAACUAGAAGAAUCUUGUUGACGGCCCACCAGCGCGUGGGAUCGUAGCAGUUUUCGAGGGUAGAGUAUUCGACCCAAAUUUGUUGAUACGCCUAUAGGAGGUGAGAGGAUACUCUCAAGUAUUAGCAGCUGAAUGUGUCAGAUUGAACCACACCUGAAAGAUUAGUAUCUGCAAGCAAAGUAGUAACAGCAAAGUAGUAUGAUAGCAACGGUGUCAGAAACGAUCUGUUGACACGGCAGACUAUUUCUAACGGUUGUAUCAAUGGCGCCAAGUUGCCUCGUUCACGGAAAUUGUCUGUUCCAUUCAACGACCAGCAAAUCAAGAUUGUAGCAGGUAGCAGCAGUGUAAUGAGUAAUAGCAGCGGCAAGGAACAGCAGUAGUGACAGCAGUAGCAAGUAGCAACAGUAGCAAGCGACAGUAGUAGCAACAGUAGCAGCAGAGCAAGACAAGUAACAGCAGCAGAGCAAGACAAGUAACAGCAGCAGAGCAAGACAAGUAACAGCAGCAGUAGGACAAACUCGUAGGCAAUGGGUCGGUGAUUUGUUUGGAUGAUAUUCAUCAUGCAACAGUUAUAACACUGAGAGAUAUGUGGCUAGCUCCCGUUCGUCAAUGUGAUGUAGGCAUGCAUUCCGUGUGUCGUCAUACGUGCUUAGGGAAAAGAACUUGCAUGACAUCUAUUGUCCAUACCUGCCGUGGCAGGGGGUCCAAAAGGAAACUAAGGGAUAUUAAGGUUCUCCUUUUAAUAAAGAACCGGACCAACGCAUUAGCACUUGGUGAACACAUGAACUCCUCAAACUAUGGUCAUCACCGGGAGUGGUUCCGGUUAUUGUCACUCCGGGGUUGCCGGAUCAUAACACAUAGUAGGUAACUACAACUUGCAAGAUCGGAUCUAAAACACACAUAUAUUGGUGACAACAUAAUAAUUUCAGAUCUGAAAUCAUGGCACUCGGGCUCUAGUGACAAGCAUUGAGCCUGGCAAAGUAGUAGCAACAUCAAUCUCAGAACAUAGUGGAUACUAGGGAUCAAUCCCCAUCAAAACUAACUCGAUUACAUGAUAGAUCUCAUCCUACUCAUCACCGCCCAGCGAGCCUACGAAUAGAUUACUCACGAACGACGAAGAGCUUCAUGGCAUUGGAGAGGGAAGAAGGUUGAUGAUGACGAUGGCGACGAUUUCCCCUCUCCGAAGCCCAAAACGGACACCAGAUCUGCCCUCCAAAUGAAGAACAGGAUGUGGCGGCGCCUCCGUAUCGCAAACGCGACAAAAUCUUCUCUCUUUAUUUUUUCUGGGACGAAAGUGAACUUAUAGAGCUGAGAUUGGGGGCGGCAGAGCCGUGUGGGCCCCACAAGCUUGCCCACCACCACCACGGGGUGGCGGUGGCAGGGCUUGUGGCCUACUGGCCCACCCCGUCAGGUGGAUCUUUGCGCAGGUAUUUUUCAUAUUUUCCAAAAAUGUUCCCCGUAAAUUUUCAGGACGUUCUGAGAACUUUGAUUUCUGCACAAAAAUAACACCAAGGCAAUUCUGCCGAAAACAACGUCAGUCCAGGUUAGUUCCAUUCAAAUCAUGCUAAUUAGGGUCCAAAACAAGGGCAAAAGAGUUUGUAAAAGUAGAUAUGAUGGAGACGUAUCAACUCCCCCAAGCUUAAAACCUUGCUUGUCCUCAAGCAACUCAGUUGACAAACUGAGAGAGAAACAAAAACUUUGACAAACUCUAUUUGAUCUUGUUGUUGCAACUAUGUCUAACUCAUAACCAGAAUUUCAGCAAGAUCACAAGUUAACCACAUAAGCAAGUGACACAAAGGUCUCACGGUAAACACAAAUCAAUGGCAUAAUCAGCUAACGAGCAAAUAAUAAUGAGUUUCAAAUACCAACACUUCAAUCAAAACAAGCAUGAAGCAAUAUGAAUAGGUGGUAUCUCGCUAGCUCUUUCUGAGACCGCAAAACAUAAAUGCAGAGCACUUUCAAAGAUCAAGGGCUGACUAAACAUUGUAAUUCAUAGCAACGAAGAUCCAGUCAUAGUCAUACUCAAUAUCAAUCAAAAGCAAAGCAUAAAAAUGACACACAUGCUCUCUAAUUGGUGAUUAUAUAAGAGGAGGAUGACUCGAGAGGAAAAUAGAUAGACAGGCCCUUCGCAGAGGGAAGCAUUGAUUUGCAGAGGUGCCAGAGCUCAAGCUUUGAAAACAGAGAUAAUAAUUUUGGGUGGCAUGCUUUCAUUGUCAACGCAAUGACCAAGAGUUCUCAAUAUAUUCCUUGCUACUCAUGCUAUAGGCGGUUCCCAAACAGAAAAGUAAAGUUUUAACUCCCCCACCACCAAUCAAUCACACUCCACGGCUAGCCGAAUCCUCGAGUACCGUCCAUACUAACAUCAAUCCGGGGGGGUCUUGUUUUACAGUUACGUUUUCGAUUUAAGCGUGGAACUGGGCAUUCCAAUUAACGGCCCCUUUCUCGUGAAUGACAGUGAAUAAACACAUGUCGAGGAUAACACUCCUAGCAUGGAAGAUACCAAUAGACCCCUGUCUAGCGGUUCGGGCAUGCAAAACAGAUUAUUUCUUGAAGAUUUAGAGAAUGGCACAUGCAAAUUUACUUGGAACGGCAGGUAGAUAUCGCAAAUAGGUAGGUAUGGUGGACUCUCAUGGAAAAACUUUUGGGUUUAUGGAAGUGGAUGCACAAGAAGUAUUCCGCUUAGUACAAGUGAAGGCUAGCAAAAGACUGGGAAGCGGCCAACUAGAGAGCGACAACAGUCAUCAAGAUGCAAUGAGUUUGACUAACAUUGAAUGCAAGCAUGAACAGGAUAUAAAUCACCAUGAACACGAACAUCAUAGAGGCUAUGUUGAUUUUGUUUCAACUACAUGCAUGAACAUGCGCCAAGUAAAGCCACUUGAAUCAUUCAAAGGAGAAUACCAUCCUAUCAUACUACAUCAUAGUCAUCUCAAAAUCUAUGUUGGCAUUCAAGACAAACCAUUAUAAACUCUCAGCUAAAUAAGCAUGGCAUCAGAAACUAUGAUCUCCAAGUUGUCAUUGCAAUCAUGGUUCUCCCACAACAAAGUUGAAUCUGGGAUGACAAGCUAGUCAUAUUUACAAAAACAAAAUAGAUAGAGUUCAUACCAGCUUUUCCAGUCUCAGUCACUUCAUCAUAUAUCAUCAUUAUUACCUUUCACUUGCACGAUCGAACGAUGUGAACAAUAAUAAGAGUGCUCAUGCAUUGGACUAAGCUGAAUCUGCAGGCAAACACAAAGGAGAAGACAAAGUAAUAUGGCUAUUUGAAAGCUAAUCAGGUAUGCAUGCAAGAACCACUAAACAUUCUAACCAAUAUCUUCUACCUUGACCCAAAGAAAAAGAAAACUAUUUACACGUGAAAGCUCCCAACGAGCAAAAGAAGAAAGAAAAAUCUUUUUGGGUUUUCUCAAACUAGACAGACACACGAAAAGAAAACGAGAAAAAGAAAUAAACUAGCAUGGAUGAUACAGUGGCAAAGUGUGAACAUCGGCUAACAAAGUGAAAGCAUAAGUAUGAAUGUAAAGUCGGUGAGAACACGUACUCCCCCAAGCUUAGGCUUUUGGCCUAGCUUGGUCUACUCCCAUGGUGGGAAAUAACCAGCUCCAGGAUACUCCGGAGCAGACUGUGGAUGCCACUACUGUGUGAGCUCCUCUGGCUCCCACUGAUAAACUCGCGUCUGGUACUCGACUGGCGGCUCGGGCACGGGUGCCUGUGGUUGGGCCAAGCCCCAAUAUGCGUAGAUGUCCGAGGGCAUAAUAGUGUACCUGCCUUCAUGAAGAUCGAACAAAGAAGGAGCAGGCAAAGUAAUAGUCUCUCGAGUACCCUGACUAAAUACCAGGUUAUAUAUCAUCCGUCUACUAGCAUCUCUAUCCAGAAAGUCAUGGUGAACCAUGCUGUCAUAAUCCAGAUAUUUCUCAGGGAGAAGCAUCUCUCCUUCCUCUCCCAGUCUAAUGGGUAUCUCAAAGUAUCUCGCAAGACGGGUAGCAUAGAUACCUCCAUAGACGACACCCUUGGAACGGUUGAUGUUCAACCGCUGGGCCACUAUAGCACCUAGGCCAUAAGCCUUAUCGUUAUAAAGGCCUUCGCGCAAAACCGCAAGGUAUGGAGAACUACGUGAUCCAGCCUCCCCACGGCCAAUCAAACAUUUUCCCACAAAUAGUGAGAAGUACCGAAGCACAGGAAAAUGUAUGCUAGCAAUUCUAGCGCGAGACACUCCUCUCUCCUCUCCAACAGCAGUAGUACCAAUGAAAUCCUCCAAGUCCCGUGGACGAGGGUCACGAAUAUCCCCAACAUAAGGUAAUUUGCAUACAUUGCAAAAAUCCUGUAGUGUCAUGCACUGGGGAACAUCGUAUAUCAUGAACUCAACCAUGGGAGGAUUCUUCCUCGGAUAAAAGUUGAAGCUUUGAACAAAAAUAUUGGUGAGGAGGAGAUACUGUGAGCACUUAUCUUCAACGAACGCAGUAAGACCUUCGUUCUCCACCAAGUAAUAAAAGUCUUCAUAAAGCCCAGCGGCGCGCAAAAAUUCAUCACUUGUCCACUCGCACGCUCGAAAUUCUGUGACUCGAGGGACUACGUACUUGGGGUGGUUCUUCUAAUCCUCCUUGGGGUUACGGCUUGAGGAGCCUCUCAAGAACCUCCUCAUCUUUUCCUUUUUCUAACUCUGAAAAAUUCUGAAAUUUUUAGAGACUUCAAAAGAAAAGUGAAUAAAGAUUAACCCAACUUGUAGCAACUACUCCUACUAGUGCCUAGAGACCGUAUCACGCUCUAGAACUACUUGGGACCAGCUAAAAUCAACCUUUCUAGCUUAAGAACAGGGUCACCAUGGUAGCAAGAAUACGCGAAGGAUAAAGCACUAGAGCAAAAACUAAUUGGACCAAUGGAGGAGUCACUUACCAAGGAGUAAUUUCCCCAAAACGAUUCGGAGAAUGGUGCUUUGAGCAAGGAGAUCGAAAAUCACAGCCAAAUGAGCAAGAACACGGGUUUGAGCUGCGAAACAAUUUUUUCUGGAGGUGGAAGAAGAGGAUGGGAGCUGGAAUGAGUGGAGGGGGUCCCUGUGGGCCCCACAAGCUUGCUAGCCGCCACCACGGGGUGGCGGUGGCAGGGCUUGUGGCCCACUAGUUUGGCCCCCAGGCCAGCUCUCAGGCCCAAUAAUUUUCAAAAAUUCCAGAAAAAAUCAUACUAAAUUUUCAGGACCAUCGGAGAACUUUUAGUUUCGAGGUAUUUUCUCCGGGACGCUAAAACAGAAAACAGGAAAAACUAAACUAAACCAUCAUUUUCUUAUAUGAAACAGAACAUGAAAGCUCAAAACAGAGGUAUGUGACUCUUUGAUUCAUCCAUUUCAUGGUCAUCGAAAGAAAUCCGUCAAUGGGGUUGAUCAAGUCCUCAUGAAAAAACCUUCUCGAAUCGCAAGAGAGAAUGGAGAAUUUUCGAGUAGCCACUGAGUCACCUCAAUGGGGAUACGUAUCUCCCCAACAAGCAAAUCAUACUUCAUCUUGACACGAGGAAUAGGGCAUUCAAAGCUCCCAAUAAGAAUCGAUGAAGUCUUUUUGAUAGCAUUGAUGCAAUGUACUUGAUAUCGUUUCUUCGAAAAGUGCGUUGUGUGCUCCUUACCGUUGACAUGGAAAGUGACAAUGCCUUUGUUGCAAUCUAUAACUGCUCCUGCAGUGUUUAAAAAGGGUCUUCCGAGGAUGACAUCCAUGGCAUCGUCCUCGGGAAUAUCCAAGAUAACAAAGUAUGUUAAGAUAGUGGUGUUAGCAACCACAACAGGCACAUCCUCGCAAAUGCCGAUAGGGAAAGCAGUUGAUUUGUCGGCCAUUUGCAGAGAAAUUUCAGUGGGUGUCAACUUAUCCAAUUCAAGUCUACGAUAAAGAGAGAGCGGCAUAACACUAACACCGGCUCCAAGGUCACAUAAGGCAGUUCUUAGGUAGUUUCCUUUAAUGGAGCAAGGUAUAGUGGGCACUCCGGGAUCACCAAGUUUCUUAGGAGUUCCACCUUUGAAAGUGUAAUUGGCAAGCAUGGUGGAGAUCUCAAGAUCUGGUAUCUUCCGUUUAUUAGUCACGAUAUCUUUCAUGUACUUGGCAUACGGAGACAUCUUGAGCAUAUCAGUUAACCGCAUCUGUAGAAAGAUGGGUCUUAUCAUCUCAACGAAGCGCUCAAAAUCCACAUCAUCCUUUUUCUUGGAUGGCUUAGGAGGAAAGGGCAUAGAUCUCUGAACCCAUGGCUCCCUUUCUUUACCAUGCUUUCUAGCAGUGAAGUCAUUCUUAUCGUAUCUCUUAGGUUGUGGGUUAUCAGGAUUACCGUAGGUUCAAUCUCCACAUCCUCAUCAUUGCUAGGUUGAGCAUUAUUAUGGACGCCACUGUCCAUAUUGUCACCAGGUUCAUGUUCAUCACCAGAUUGUAUUUCUGCAUCAGACGCGGAAAUAUCAUUAGGUUCUUCAGGUGUGACAGUAUUUGGUGAACUGGCAUGUAGGUUUCUAGCAUCCUUCUUCUUCUCCUUAGGAUGACUGGGUGUAUCAGCAUUGAUUCCUUGAGAAUCUUGAUCAAUUCUCUUAGGAUGACCUUCAGGAUACAAAGGUUCCUGAGUUAUUUUGCCUCCUCUAGUAAUGACUCUGACAGAAUUGUCAUUUAAUUCAUUGAGCAGGUCAUUCUGAUCUUGAAGUACUUGUUCUACCUGAGUAGUAAUCAUAGAGGCAUGUUUAUUCAGAAGCUUCAGAUCAUUGACAUUUCUGUCUACACAAGCACUUAAAUCGCUAAGCAUACGAGUACUUUGUUCCAAUUGUCUGCUAACAUAAUCAUUGAAACUGUGUUGUUUGGACACAAAGUUGUCAAAUUCAUCAAAGCAUAGGCUAGCAGGUUUUUCAAAAGGAAUAUCACUCUCAUCAAACCUACGCAGAGAAUUUACUUCCACUACCUGUAUCGGGUUAUCGAGACCAUGGAUCUCUUCGAUAGGAGGUAGAUUUUUGACAUCUUCAGAUCUAAUGCCUUUCUCUUGCCUAGAUUUCUUGGCUUCUUGCAUAUCUUCGGGACUGAGGAAUAGAAUACCUCUUUUCUUCAGAGUUGGCUUAGGAGGUGGUUUGGGAAUAGUCCAAGCAUUAUCAUUGAUCAAGAUGUUAUUCAGUAGGGUCUCAGCUUGUUCUACAGUUUGUUCCCUAAAAACACAACUAGCACAACUAUCUAGGUGGUCUCUAGAGGCAUCGGUAAGUCCAUUAUAGAGGAUAUCAAGUAUCUCGUUCUUCUUAAGAGGGUGAUCAGGCAAAGCAUUCUGUAGCUGGACGAGCCUCCCCCCAGCUUGUGGGAGACUCUCUUCUUGGAGUUGAGCAAAGUUGUAUAUUUCCUGCAAGGCAGCUUGCUUCUUAUGGGCAGGGAAAUAUUUCUCACAGAAGUAAUAGACCAUAUCAUGGGCACUACUCACACAUCCAGGAGCAAGAGAGGUGAACCAGGCUUUAGCGUCAUCCUUUAGAGAGAAAGGAAACAACUUAAGGAUAUAGUAGUGGCGGAUCUUCUCCUCAUUAGUGAAAAGGGUGGCUAUAUCGUACAGUUUGGCAAGAUGGGCUACGACCGUCUCAGACUCAUAACCGUGAAAAGGAUCAGAUUCGACUAGAGAGAUUAUCUCAGGAUUGACAGAGAAUUCAUAAUCCUUAUCGGUGAUAAAGAUAGGUGAAGUGGCAAACUUCGGGGCGUAUUUCAUCCUAGCUUUCAGAGAUUUUUCCUUCCACUUGAGAAGUAAUUUCUCAGCGUCAUAGGCAUCCUUACACGCAAGAAAAUCCUCAACUAUCACUCCCUCCAUAAUGUAACCCUCAGGUAUAUCAGGCAAUUCAUAUCUAGGAGAGCUAGAUCUAGCAGGAGCAAAAGCAGGUUCUAUCUCAAUAGUAUCGGCAGUUUCAAAAGCAUCACAAGCAUUGGCAGUAACUCUAGCAAUAUGAGCAUCAAGGAAUACCCCUAGUGGAACAUCAGGAAAAGUAGUGUCUCUAGCAGUAUCAAGCAUAGUAUCAUCAGGCAUAGCAUCAUAAGCAUCAUCAGGCAUAGCAUCUCUAGCAGUAUCAGGCAUAGCAUCUCUAGCAGUAUCAUGCAAAGCAGUAUCAAGCAUAGCAUCUCUAGCAGUAUCAGGCAAAGCAGUAUCAGGCAUAGCAUCUCUAGCAGUAGCAUCAUCAGCAUCAUCAAGCACAGGCGACAUAUCAAGAUUUCUAGCAGGAGGUGAUGUCGCAAACUUACUCAUAACUGAAGGUGAAUCAAGUGCAGAGCUAGAUGGCAAUUCCUUACCUCCCCUCGUAGUUGAGGGCAAGACUUUGGUUUUCGGAUCCUUCAGAUUCUUCAUAGUGACCAGCAGAUAUAAAUCCCAAGUAACUCAGAGAAUACAGCAAUACCUCCCCGGAAAUGGUGCCAGAAAAAUGUUGACUCCAUAACAGCAGACCUUCCCCUGCAACGGCACCAGAAGAAUACUGCUAGCACUCUCCGGCAAUCGAAACUAGAAGAGGAUUCGACCCAAAUUUGUUGAUACGCCUAUAGGAGGUGAGAGGAUACUCUCAAAUAUUAGCAGCUGAAUAUGUUAGAUUGAACCACACCUGAAAGAUUAGUAUCUGCAAGCAAAGUAGUAUGAUAGCAACGGUGUCAGAAACGAUCUGUUGACACGGCAAACUAUUUCUAACGGUUGUAUCAAUGGCGCCAAGUUGCCUCGUUGACGGAAAUUGUCUGUUCCCGUCUGAAAAGACCUCGAUGACGCCUAGAGGGGGGGUGAAUAGGCUAUUUAAAAACUUCUUCAGAUUUGGCUUGAACCUAAUGUGGAAAUAAACUAAGAGGGUACUUGUCAAGCACAAAUCCUAAANNNNNNNNNNNNNNNNNNNNNNNNNNNNNNNNNNNNNNNNNNNNNNNNNNNNNNNNNNNNNNNNNNNNNNNNNNNNNNNNNNNNNNNNNNNNNNNNNNNNNNNNNNNNNNNNNNNNNNNNNNNNNNNNNNNNNNNNNNNNNNNNNNNNNNNNNNNNNNNNNNNNNNNNNNNNNNNNNNNNNNNNNNNNNNNNNNNNNNNNNNNNNNNNNNNNNNNNNNNNNNNNNNNNNNNNNNNNNNNNNNNNNNNNNNNNNNNNNNNNNNNNNNNNNNNNNNNNNNNNNNNNNNNNNNNNNNNNNNNNNNNNNNNNNNNNNNNNNNNNNNNNNNNNNNNNNNNNNNNNNNNNNNNNNNNNNNNNNNNNNNNNNNNNNNNNNNNNNNNNNNNNNNNNNNNNNNNNNNNNNNNNNNNNNNNNNNNNNNNNNNNNNNNNNNNNNNNNNNNNNNNNNNNNNNNNNNNNNNNNNNNNNNNNNNNNNNNNNNNNNNNNNNNNNNNNNNNNNNNNNNNNNNNNNNNNNNNNNNNNNNNNNNNNNNNNNNNNNNNNNNNNNNNNNNNNNNNNNNNNNNNNNNNNNNNNNNNNNNNNNNNNNNNNNNNNNNNNNNNNNNNNNNNNNNNNNNNNNNNNNNNNNNNNNNNNNNNNNNNNNNNNNNNNNNNNNNNNNNNNNNNNNNNNNNNNNNNNNNNNNNNNNNNNNNNNNNNNNNNNNNNNNNNNNNNNNNNNNNNNNNNNNNNNNNNNNNNNNNNNNNNNNNNNNNNNNNNNNNNNNNNNNNNNNNNNNNNNNNNNNNNNNNNNNNNNNNNNNNNNNNNNNNNNNNNNNNNNNNNNNNNNNNNNNNNNNNNNNNNNNNNNNNNNNNNNNNNNNNNNNNNNNNNNNNNNNNNNNNNNNNNNNNNNNNNNNNNNNNNNNNNNNNNNNNNNNNNNNNNNNNNNNNNNNNNNNNNNNNNNNNNNNNNNNNNNNNNNNNNNNNNNNNNNNNNNNNNNNNNNNNNNNNNNNNNNNNNNNNNNNNNNNNNNNNNNNNNNNNNNNNNNNNNNNNNNNNNNNNNNNNNNNNNNNNNNNNNNNNNNNNNNNNNNNNNNNNNNNNNNNNNNNNNNNNNNNNNNNNNNNNNNNNNNNNNNNNNNNNNNNNNNNNNNNNNNNNNNNNNNNNNNNNNNNNNNNNNNNNNNNNNNNNNNNNNNNNNNNNNNNNNNNNNNNNNNNNNNNNNNNNNNNNNNNNNNNNNNNNNNNNNNNNNNNNNNNNNNNNNNNNNNNNNNNNNNNNNNNNNNNNNNNNNNNNNNNNNNNNNNNNNNNNNNNNNNNNNNNNNNNNNNNNNNNNNNNNNNNNNNNNNNNNNNNNNNNNNNNNNNNNNNNNNNNNNNNNNNNNNNNNNNNNNNNNNNNNNNNNNNNNNNNNNNNNNNNNNNNNNNNNNNNNNNNUCCUAUAAAUAUAACUUAUGGCAACCAUUAGUCCAUAGGAAUUGUCAUCAAUUACCAAAACCACAUAUGGAGAUAUAUGCUCUAACAAUCUCCCCCAUUUUGAUAAUUGAAGACAACCACUUCAAGAGAGUUUAUAUAAGGAAAUAAGCAUAACCAAGCGCACACAUACAAGGUAAUAAUGCAUGUGUGCAAGAUGUAAAUGCUUACGCAAUAAAAGCAAAACCCUCUAAACAUAUCCAAAGUAAACUCUCUAAACUUCUCCCCCAUUGGCAUCGAUUGCCAAAAUGGACGAAAAGUUUAGAAAGCCAAAAUAGUAGGUGGUCCUCCAAAAAGUGUGUACUUCUCAGCAAAUGAGUGCAGAAAAAUAUACAAAUACAAUGAUAAGUAGUUGGAGGAAAACAAACUAUAUUGAGGACCCAAAGAUUGCAAAUAAAAGGAUCGUAUGCCACAAAGACAUACAAAGAUAGAGGCAAGCAAUCAAAGGAUUCCAGAUGGAACAAAAAAUCAUAUGGUCCUUCGAACCACAUGAAUAAAAGAUAUUAUGAUAAAGGCAACAUAGUGCUUUAUCAAAAACUAGAGAAGCUCCCCAUGAUUUGUGCACUAAUAUGAGAUUUUUGUAUUUGACACAGGUGCACAAAAUAGGAUCGUUGCUCCCCCAGAAUUUAUAAAGCACACAAUGCAUGCAAGAAGAUAGAUGAGACAAUAAGCAUAUCAAUUCCACAAAACAAAUGGUUGAGCAACAGGUAAUAGAAGCAACUUAAGAAUAGGCUCAAACAAAGUAAUGUGUGUGAGUCAUGGCAAAACACUUGAGAAGACUAAGAUAAGGAUGAGCAUUACUCAUCAACAUAGUCUUGAUGGAAUGAGAUACAAAGUGCAAGACAUAUCAUUCCCACACACACAUACUAGAAAAUGGGUUCACAAGCUUACUAAUAAACAAAAUAAGAACCAACGCUUGUGACACCCCAUUGUGAAGAUAGGAAGUAAGAACCUUGUCAAGAGGACAGAUACUAAUUGAAAUGGGAAAACCCUCAUCAAGACAAGCAUGAGGAAAAAUAAUCUUCACGGCCAAAGAGUGCAUCAAGAUGUAGGAAAAUAAGAUACGCACUCAAAUUGAAACUUUUCACGAAGCCACCAAAAGCUGAAAAAGGAAAUGCAAUGAUGAUCGUGAAAGAAAAGAGGAUAUUAAUUAGAGAUGUAACUUAUCUCAUGUGUAAAAGAUUCUAAGUAGAAGACAAUCAUGAUGAUAUAUAUAUCCACAAAGAAGAAUGUACACACGAAAUGGUUACAAGAAGGAACAAACUAGAUAUCCAAAAGUAAGUCAUAAAUAUAUCAAUGAGAUCUUUUGCUUGGAAGCAUAGCACAUGGCCUAAUAUUUUCUUAUUGUACAAUAUGAACUUCCAACUGGUAGUAAGACAUCAUCGUUCGGAUGCUUUGAGAAAGCAAACAAGUACUACGAGAACAAAUCAAGAGAUUCAUGCCAUGAUGCAACCUGGAAAAGAAAAGACAGGUUGGGUCCAUUGCAAGAAAAGAAUGCAUGAAGUGGAUACUUGUUACCGAUACAACAUUGGAUUGAUGUAGUAGAUAGUUGUUCUUUGAUCAUCCUAACGUGGCUCCAAUAAUUACAUGGUCUCAACAUCUUCCUUAUAGGUGAGCCGAGCAUCCAAUGCAUCUCUAGUUGUUCCUGGAGCAACAAAACAAACAAAAUGGUGCCCAAACUCAUUGGGACCAAAGACUUAGAAAACUAGCAAUACAUAGGACAAACUCCACAUACAUAUGUGCAUACAAAUAUGAAUUUGAAUUUCAUGCACACUUUAGCCAAUUUAUGAGAAGUUGGAGUUUCUCCUAUAUAUUGGGUCAAAGAAGGAAAGCAAGCAAAAGAAGUUGUAUAUAGUAGCUAGAUACGCAUGCUCAAGACUCUCAAGAAUCAACUCAACACAAAGUUGAUAAGUCACCAAAAGACAAGGUAUCAAGUGAUAAUAAGAUCCUAAAACAAAAGAACUAUCACUUGAAGGAUAUCAAUUAAAAGAUACCUCAAGGAAUGAGAUAUCCAUUGACACAUGCCAAAUAGAAGGCAACAAGAAACCAAUUGAAGGAAAACAAACACGAGGUAUCUAGUUUCCAAAAGAGAGCUAGGUUCCAACAAACCAAGCCCUCGACAAAUUUUCAUGAUGGCACAAAGCAUCAUAAAGAGCAAGACUUGCCUCCCAUCAACACAUAUUUGAUGGGGAUCAAAAGAUUUUAUGAUGGGUGAAUAAAGAGAGUGUUCUAAAGAAAAUAGGAUAGCUCCCCCAAGGGACGUGCAUUAUAUAGAAUUUGCAUUUGAAUACAAAACGCACAUGAUGGGAUCAUCACUUUCUCUAUACCUAUAAAAAUACUAGACAUGUUAAAAUACAUUCAUAAGAGGCAAGGAAGACAAACGAAACACAAAAUCCAAUGUAAAGAUGAUUAGCAAUUCCUAUCACAUGAUGGGAAUACCAAUUGUCAAGGACAAGAAGUAUUUUCGAAAGGAUACUCAUUGGUAGAUCAAAAAUAUAUCCAAGAUCAUCUUUACCCAUAAAACGCAAGCAAAUGACACUUGUAGAGCUAACAUGCCACCUAGGAACAAGAUAAUUUACAAUAUCAACACUAAGUGGCAACACGUCAAAUGUACACAUUUUCUAGGUUUGUAAUAUGCACAUAGCAUGUUACUCCCCCAUAAUGUGAUAAACCAUCAAUAUUAACAAGUGGCAAAUUAAAACCAACGAGAGAUACUUAAUGGACCAUAUAGAAUUUGAAUUUCUCAUGAGUAAGACAUACCACAUAGAAACUAGAUAAUCUUGAAAUAUCAAAACUAAGUGGUAUUCCCCAUGUAUACACAUUUAUAGGAUUGUGAGGUGUGCAAAGCACAUCACUCCCCCACAAUGGGAUAAUCCAUUAAUCUCUCACAAGAGCCAACAAAAAUACAAACAAGACGCAAAAAGGCUCAAUACAAGACUCACAUGUACAUGAUAUGCAAAUCAACAUACCCAUACUCGAUUACUCAAGAUAAGCAAGUUGGAAGCACAACAUAUACAAACGCAUGCAAGGUGCAAAGGGGCAAGCACCUAACAAUGUAAACAGUUUAAGUAUAAGUUACCGUAAGGAGGCACAUUGGAUAUAAGAUAGAAACUCGAUAUUCCAAAUGACUUGGCUUGAGAUAAUAUGAAUGAUGAAGACCCCUUAAUUCUUUAUUAUGUAUCCAAGUCUCUAAUGUCCUCCAUAGUCACCUAUUGAUCAAGUUUGAGCUUGUUGGUCCCCAACUACGUUGGGUCCUAAGAGGUUAAUCACAAUAGGCUUGGCAACCCAAAUGGUUCUUUUCUUGACACCAUUUUGAGUACCAACUAACUUGGCAAACACAUUGCCAACCUUAUCCUUCCCAAGGGAAUAGAUAUCAUCAAUAGUGAUUGGGUUGGAUAAGUUACCUCUUGUGCAAGACGAAGCGACGUGACCCUUCUCACGACAUAAGUAGCAACAUCUACCCUUUGCUUUCUUCCCAGUUGAUUUCUCACCUCGGGGAGUGUAGGCUUGGGUCUUAUUGGGAAGAGGCCUUCCUUCAACUUGUAGUUGAAUAUGUGAUUGAGUUUGUGGACGCUUCCCUUGUUGCUUGUGACUUUGAGACUUCGUCUUCAGAGGGCAAGAUCUAACAUGGUGCCCUUUAACUUUGCACUUGAAGCAAAUGAUUUUGGCCGAAUUCUUGACUUGUUCUAGGCCCCUCUUGUUCUUGUUUGAGUUUACUCCAACGUCAUUUUUGUCAUUUAGAGAUGUUUGCUCACACAAGACGUUGUUGAGUGUGGACAUCCCUUCAUGACACUGUUCCAAGUCUUUCUUCAAAGAAGUGACUUGGGCCUUGAGCUCUUUGAUUUCCUCUGCACGGUUACUAUCAAUGCAAGUACUAGAGGAAGUGUAAGCUUCAAUGUUAGAGCAACAAGGCAAGGAAAGUAAUUCAUCACACGAGGUAGCAAUAUUAUGAGUAGACGAAUUACGAGGACUAGCUCAUGGAAAUAUAGUACUUUGACUAGAAGUAGUGCCAUUGUCCACAUGAGGCUCACUUGAUGUUACCUUGGUGAUGAUAGCCUCAUGAGCUAACCUUUGCACAUUAUAGGAUGUUAGAAGAUCGGCAUGAGAGCUUGUGAGCAUUACAUGGUUUUCUUCCAACUUCCCAUAAUUGCUAGUUAGUAAAUCAAGUUGAGUACGUAGCUCAAUAUUCUCCUUCAAUGUUGAUACUUCAAAUGAGGUAGAGUUAGAUGUACAAGUAUCAUCAACAAUAUGAGAGGAGUAAGUAGCAAAUAGAUACUUCUCAUGAGUAGAUUGAAGCUCCUCAUAGAUCUUAGAGGUUUUGAUGAGCUCUCGCUUGACAUUAUUGCAUUCAAGGAGAAGGACCUCAAAAUCCUUUUUAAGUUUAUCAUGAGCAACUUCAAUCUCUCCUUUUGAAGAUCUUAAGUCUCUACAUGCUUGGUGACUCUUCUCAAGUUCAUGUUCAAGUUGUUCACUUUUAGCUUGUUCAUGAUUAAGUGAAUCAUUACAAUUUUCGAAGUAAGCAAGAACAUCUUGGAAUCUUUGAAGAGCGUUAUUUUUAGCUUUAUGAAGAAUUUUACUGAUCACAUAGAUAUUUUUGGUCAAAUCAUCAUCAUCAUCCUCAUCGCAAAUAUCAUCGUUAUUGCACAGGGAAGAUGAUACCUCAUUAUUACCUCUUGCCAUGAGGCACAUGUGAACUGGAGGAGUUGAUGAUGAUUCUUUUGGUGAAUCGGAUUCUUCAUUAGUCAAAGGUACUACAUAUUUCUUGAUUUCCCCUAAAUGAUUAGUCAUAGAGCAACUAGGUAGAAACAAGAUAUUUUGAUCAAGAGGACACGAGGAAGCAGGCAUAUCACCACAGACAUUUGUCGAGGGAUCUUUAGGUGAAAUGCAUGACCUAUCAGCACAAUAAUUUACACUAUGUGUGGUGCUAUAUAUGCUCGUGUCCAUAGAGGCUAUGACAUUUUCAUCAACAUAUAUUUCUUCACUCACCAUGUCAUUACCUUGUGAGAUUGAAGAUGCUGGGGUGUGCAAGCAAUCGGAUAUGGAAGUAGUGGUGGACUCUUUAAGAUCGAAAAGAGUGAAGAGCUCAUGCACCAACUCCUUCAUCAUAAUACCGUAUUCAUCAAGAUUGGACCCACCAUGUAUAUCUUCAAGUUUAGUCCAAACUUCAUGAGCUGACUUGCAAGUCGAGAUAGACUUAAACACUUCAGGACUUAUGGUUCGAUGAAUGGCAAGAAAAGCCUCACAAUCAAGAUACAUCUCAUUAGUAGAUGAAGAUGCAUCAUCCUUUUUGUCGGCAAUCCCUACAAGAACAAUUCAUAAAGUAUUUGGGCCCAUGGCCCAAAAGUGAUGAAGCAUACGAAUUCUCCAUAGGGUAUAAUUUGUGCCAUCAAAGUCAAAGAUGCCAUUGUGCACUAAUCCAAUAGUCGACAUCGAUACUCUCUAGGUCGUGAAACCUAAUUAAAGAGAGACCUAGCUCUGAUACCAAUUGAAAAGACCUCGAUGACGCCUAGAGGGGGGUGAAUAGGNNNNNNNNNNNNNNNNNNNNNNNNNNNNNNNNNNNNNNNNNNNNNNNNNNNNNNNNNNNNNNNNNNNNNNNNNNNNNNNNNNNNNNNNNNNNNNNNNNNNNNNNNNNNNNNNNNNNNNNNNNNNNNNNNNNNNNNNNNNNNNNNNNNNNNNNNNNNNNNNNNNNNNNNNNNNNNNNNNNNNNNNNNNNNNNNNNNNNNNNNNNNNNNNNNNNNNNNNNNNNNNNNNNNNNNNNNNNNNNNNNNNNNNNNNNNNNNNNNNNNNNNNNNNNNNNNNNNNNNNNNNNNNNNNNNNNNNNNNNNNNNNNNNNNNNNNNNNNNNNNNNNNNNNNNNNNNNNNNNNNNNNNNNNNNNNNNNNNNNNNNNNNNNNNNNNNNNUCCUAUAAAUAUAACUUAAGGCAACCAUUAGUCCAUAGGAAUUGUCAUCAAUUGCCAAAACCACAUAUGGAGAUAUAUGCUCUAACACCGUCAACGACCAACGAAUCAAGAUUGUAGCAGGUAGCAGCAGUGUAAUGAGUAAUAGCAGCGGCAAGGAAAAGCAGUAGUGACAGCAGUAGCAAGUAGCAACAGUAGCAAGCGACAGUAGUAGCAACAGUAGCAGCAGAGCAAGACGAGUAACGGCAGCAAAGCCAGACAAGUAACAGCAGCAGUAGGACAAACUCGUAUGCAAUGGGUCGGUGAUUUGUUUGGAUGAUAUUCAUCAUGCAACAGUUAUAGCACGGAGAGAUAUGUGGCUAGCUCCCGUUUGUCAAUGUGAUGUAGGCAUGCAUUCCAUGUGUCGUCAUACGUGCUUAGGGAAAGGAACUUGCAUGACAUCUAUUGUCCAUCCCUCCCGUGGCAGCGGGGUCCAAAAGGAAACUAUGGGAUAUUAAGGUUCUCCUUUUAAUAAAGAACCGGACCAAUGCAUUAGCACUUGGUGAACACAUGAACUCCUCAAACUAUGGUCAUCACCGGGAGUGGUUCCGGUUAUUGUCACUCCGAGGUUGCCGUAUCAUAACACAUAGUAGGUAACUACAACUUGCAAGAUCGGAUCUAAAACACACAUAUAUUGGUGACAACAUAAUAAUUUCGGAUCUGAAAUCAAGGCACUCGGGCCCUAGUGACAAGCAUUAAGCAUGGAAAAGUAGUAGCAACACCCAUCUCAGAACAUAGUGGAUACUAGGGAUCAAUCCCCGUCAAAAAUAACUCGAUUACAUGAUAGAUCUCAUCCUACUCAUCACCACCCAGCGAGCCUACGAAUAGAUUACUCACGAACAAUGAAGAGCUUCAUGGAAUUGGAGAGGGAAGAAGGUUGAUGAUGACGCUGGCGACGAUUUCCCCUCUCCGGAGCCCAAAACGAACUCCAGAUCUGCCCUCUAGAUGAAGAACACGAUGUGGCGGCGGCUCUGUAUCGCAAACGCAACGAAAUCUACUCUCUUUAUUUUUUCUGGGACGAAAGUGAACUUAUAGAGCUGAGAUUGGGGGCGCCAGAGCCGUGUGGGCCCCACAAGCUUGCCUACCGCCACCAGGGGGUGGCGGUGGCAGGGCUUGUGGCCCACUGGCCCACCCCCUCAGGUGGAUCUUUGCGCAGGUAUUUUUCAUAUUUUCCAAGAAAGUUCCCCGUAAAUUUUCAGGACGUUCUGAGAACUUUGAUUUCUGCACAAAAAUAACACCAAGGCAAUUCUGCUGAAAAUAGCAUCAGUCCAGGUUAGUUCCAUUCAAAUCAUGCAAAAUAGAGUCCAAAACAAGGGCAAAAGAGUUUGGAAAACUAGAUACGAUGGAGACGUAUCAAUGGCCAUAUCAUGUCACUUAUGAAUUGCAUGUGAUGUUAAUCCUUUUAUGCACCUUAUUUUUCUUAGAACGGUGGUAGCAUUAUAAGGUGAUCUCUCACUAAAAUUUCAAGACGAAACUGUGUUCUCCCCGACUGUCCACCGUUGCGACACUUUGUCGUUUUGAGACACCAUGUGAUGAUCGGGUGUGAUAGACUCAACGUUCACAUACAACGGGUGCAAAACAGUUGCACACGCGGAACACUCGGGUUAAACUUGACGAGCCUAGCAUGUGCAAACAUGGCCUCGGAACACAUGAGACCUAAAUGUCGAGCAUGAAUCGUAUAGUUGAUAUGAUUAGCAUAGAGAUGCUUACCACUGAAGCUAUUCUCAACUCACGUGAUGAUCGGACUUGAGUUAGUGAAUUUGGAUCAUGUACCACUCAAAUGACUCGAGAGAUGUACUUUUUGAGUGGGAGUUUAUCAGUAAUUCUUCAAUCACUGUCACCUAGCUAUAAGGGCUUCGUGGGUACCAUGCAAGGAAUGAACAAGUCACCUGGCGAGUUAUUCGCGAUGCUGAAAGUCGCAGAGUCAGAACUCCGGAAAGAGCAUCAAGUGUUGAUGGUCAAUAAGACCAAUGGUUUGAAGAGAAACGGCAAAGGCAAGAAGGGUAACUCCAAGAAGAGCGGCAAGCCUGUUGCCAAUCCGAUGAAGAAACCCAAGGCUGGACCUAAGCCUGAAACAGAGUGUUAUUUUUGCAAGGGACUGGGUCACUGGAAGCGCAACUGCCCCAUGUAUUUAGCUGAUAAGAAGGCGGCCAAGGAAAAAUAUGGUAUAUUCGAUAUACAUGUUAUUGAUGUGUACUUAACCAACUCUCGUAGUAGUGCCUGGGUAUUCAAUACCAGUUCUGUUGCUCAUAUUUGCAACUCGGACCAGGAACUACGGAAUAAACGAAGGCUGGCGAAAGAUGAAGUGACGAUGCACGUGGGAAACGGUUCCAAGGUUGAUGCAAUCGCCGUCGGCACAGUCUCACUUCAGUUACCAUCGGGAUUAGUUAUGGACAUAAAUAAUUGUUAUUUAGUGCCUGCGUUAAGCAUGAACAUUAUAUCUGGAUCUUGUUUAUUGCGAGACGGUUACUCGUUUAAGUCACAGAAUAAUGGUUGUUCUAUUUCUAUGAGUAAUAUCUUUUAUGGUCAUGCACCCAAUGUGAGAGGAUUGUUCAUAUUGAAUCUUGAUAGUGAUGAUACACAUAUACAUAACAUUGAGACCAAAAUAUGUACAGUUAACAAUGAUAGUGCCAUGUUUUUGUGGCACUGCUGCUUAGGUCAUAUUGGUGUAAAGCGCAUGAAGAAACUCCAUUCCGAUGGUCUUUUGGAGUCACUUGACUUUGAAUCACUUGACACGUGCGAACCAUGCCUCAUGGGCAAGAUGACUAAGACUCCGUUCUCCGGAACAAUGGAGCGUGCAAGUGACUUGUUGGAAAUCAUAAAUACCGAUGUGUGCGGUCCGAUGAGUGUGGAGGCACGCGGCAGAUGUCAUUAUUUUGUCACCUUCACUGACGACUUGAGUAGAUAUGGUUAUGUCUACUUGAUGAAGCACAAGUCCAAAGUUGUCAGAAUCGUGACUCAAGUCUUAGAAUCUUAAGAUCUUACGAUCCAAAAUAGCCCCUCCUAUUCUACGAUUUUGCACAUAGAAUCUAAGUUUCUACGAUCCUGAUAGUUAAGAUUCUAUGAUUCACGAUCCUAGCAGUGGAGCUCCGAUCCGAUUCAGAAUCGCGAUUCUGACAACUUUACACAAGUCUGAAGCGUUUGAGAAUUUCAAGCAAUUUCAGAGUGAAGUUGAAAAUCAUUGUAACAAGAAGAUCAAGUUCCUACGUUCUGAUCGUGGGGGUGAGCAUCUAAGUUUCGAGUUUGGUACUUACUUAAGACAAUGUGGAAUUAUUUCACAGUUGACACCGCCUGGAACACCACAGCGUAAUGGUGUGUCCAAACGUCGUAAUCGUACUUUGUUAGAGAUGGUGCGAUCUAUGAUGUCUCUUACCGAUUUGCCAUUAUUGUUUUGGGGUUAUGCAUUAGAGACAGUUGCAUUCACUUUAAAUAGGGCACCAUCAAAAUCCAUUGAGAUGACACCAUACGAGGUGUGGUAUGGCAAAAGACCAAAGUUGUCGUUUCUUAAACUUUGGGGAUGUGAUUCUUAUGUCAAAAAGCUUCAGCCUGAAAAGCUGGAACCCAAAUCGGAAAAGUGCGUCUUCGUAGGUUACCCAAAGAAGACACUUGGGUACACCUUCUAUCUCAAAUCCGAGGGCAAAGUAUUUGUCGCUAAGAAUGGAGCUUUUCUUGAGAAGGAGUUUCUGUCGAAAGAAUUGAGUGGGAGAAAGAUAGAACUUGAUGAGGUUGUCGAACCUCCAGUCCCUCUAGAUGGUGGCGCAAGGCAAGGGGAAACCCCUGUCAUUGCGACGCCGGUUGAGGAGGAAGUUGAUGAUGAUGAUCAUGAAACUUCGGAUCAAAUUCCUAUCGGACCUCGCAGAUAGACUAGAUCACGUACUGCUCCUGAGUGGUACGGUAAUCUUGUCUUAUCAAUUAUGUUGUUAUACAACAAUGAACCUGCGAAUUAUGAAGAAGCAAUGGUGGGCCCGGAUUCCAACAGCCAUGAAGUCCGAGAUAGGAUCUAUGUACAAAAACAAAGUGUGGACUUUGGAAGUACUACCUGAAGGCCGCAAGGCUAUUCAGAACAAAUGGAUCUUUAAGAAGAAGACGACACCGACGAUAAUGUGACCGUUUAUAAAGUUCGACUUAUGGCAAAGGGUUUUUCACAAGUUCAAGGAGUUGACUACGAUGAGACAUUCUCACCGGUAGCGAUGCUUAAGUCCGUCCGAAUCAUGUUAGCAAUAGCUGCAUUUUUCGAUUAUGAAAUCUGGCAGAUGGAUGUCAAAACGGCGUUCCUUGACGGUUUUCUUAAGGAAGAGUUGUAUAUGAUGCAACCCGAAGGUUUUGUCGAUCCAAAGAAUGCUAACAAAGUAUGCAAGCUCCAGUGAUCCAUUUAUGGACUGGUGCAAGCAUCUCGGAGUUGGAAUAAGCGCUCUGAUGAGGUGAUCAAAGCAUUUGGGAUUAUACAAGUGGUUGGAGAAUCUUGUAUUGACAAGAAAGUGAGUGGGAGCUCUGUGGUGUUUCUAAUAUUAUAUGUGGAUGACAUAUUACUGAUUGGAAACAACGUGGAGUUUUUGGAGAGCGUAAAGGAUUACUUGAAUAAAAGGUUCUCUAUGAAGCACCUAAGCUGCUUACAUUCUAGGCAUUAAGAUCUAUGGGGAUAGAUCGAGACGCCUAAUAGGACUUUCACAAAGCACAUACCUUGAUAAAGUUUUGAAGAAGUUCAAAAUGGAUCAGUCCAAGAAGGGGUUCUUGCCAGUGUUACAAGGUAUAAAAUUGAGUAAGACUCAGUGCCCAGCAACUGUAGAAGAUAGAAAGGCAAUGAGUAUCGUUCCCUAUGCUUCAGCCAUAGGUUCUAUCAUGUCUGCAAUGUUGUGCACUAGACCGGACGUGAGCUUGGCCAUAAGUAUGGCACGCAGGUUUCAAAGUAAUCCAGGAGUGGAUCACUGGACGGUGGUCAAGAAUAUUGUGAAGUACCUGAAAAGGACUAAGGAAAUGUUUCUCGUUUAUGGAGUUGACGAAGAGCUCGUCGUAAAGGGUUACGUCGAUGCAAGCUUUUGCACUGAUCCGGAUGACUCUAAGUCUCAAACCAGAUACGUAUUUAUUCUUAAUGGGGGUGCGGUAAGUUGCUGCAGUUCCAAGCAAAGCGUCGUAGCAGAUUCUACAUGUGAAGCGGAGUACAUGGCUGCAUCGGAGGCAGCAAAGGAGGGUGUCUGGAUGAGGCAGAUCAUGACGGAUAUUGGAGUUGUGCCAAGCGCACUAAAUCCAAUAACUCUGUUCUGUGACAACACUCGUGCCAUUGCUUUAGCAAAGGAACCAAGGUUUCACAAGAAGACCAGGCACAUCAAACGACGCUUCAACCUCAUCCGCGACUACGUCGAAGGAGAGGACGUGAAUAUUUGCAAAGUGCACAUGGAUCUGAAUGUAGCAAACCUGCUGACUAAACCUCUUCCACGGGCAAAACAUGAUCAACACCAGAACUGUAUGGGUGUUAGAUUUAUUACAAUGUAAAUCGCAACGCGAUGUGAGGACUAUAUUAUUGACUCUAAUGCAAGUGGGAGACUGUUGGAAAUAUGCCCUAGAGGCAAUGAUAAAUAGUUAUUAUUAUAUUUCCUGUUUCAAGAUAAUCGUUUAUUAUCCAUGCUAUAAUUGUAUUGAAUGAAAACAUAGAUACAUGUGUGGAUACAUAAACAAAACAAUGUCCCUAGCAAGCCUCUAGUUGGCUAGCGAGCUGAUCAAUGAUAGUCAAGGUUUUCUGACUAUAUGCAAGUGUUGUCACUUGAUAACUGGAUCACAUCAUUAGGAGAAUCAUGUGAUGGACUAGACCCAAACUAUGAACGUAGCAUAUUGAUCGUGUCAUUUCAUUGCUAUAGUUUUCUGCGUGUCAAGUAUUUAUUCCUAUGACCAUGAGAUCAUAUAACUCACUGGCACCGGAAGAAUACCUUGUAUGUAUCAAACGUCACAAUGUAACUGGGUGACUAAGAAGGUGCUCUACAGGUAUCUCUGAAGGUGUCUGUUGAGUUAGUAUGGAUCAAGACUGGGAUUUGUCACUCCGUGUGACGGAGAGGUAUCUCGGGGACCACUCGGUAAUACAGCAUCACACACAAGCCUUGCAAGCAAUGUGACUAACACUACUAGGAAAAGGCUUGCUAAUGGCGCACCUAUUUUUGUUACUAAUGGCGCACUAUAGAUGCGCCACUAGCAUCACGCCAUUAGAUUUUUUUACUAAUGGCGCACCACAAGUGCGCCAUUAGUAUCUGAUAUACUAAUGGCGCACCAGGUAGUGCGCCAUUAGUAUUGCUCACGGUGCGCCAUUAGUAUGCCUCCCAGGUGCGCCAUUAGUAUGCCUCUCAGGUGCGCCAUUAGUAUGCCUCCCAGGUGCGCCAUUAGUAAUCCUCUCAGGUGCGCCAUUAGUAUGCCUCCGAGGUGCGCCAUUAGUAUGCCUCCCAGGUGUGCCAUUAGUAUAGCCCAUGGUGCUUCAUUAGUAUAUGGUAUUCUAGCAUAUAUAUGUUUUGUUUCAAAACCACAAAUUCAACAGCACAUAACAUAUAUAUCAAAUAUAUAAUACAUAAUAUGUGCCCAAUAAUUUUACUGAUCCACAACACAUAACAUAUAUGCAAAGUUGCAUAACAAAUUUCAUGAUCCAUAUAUCAAAACUCCAUAGCAUCCAUACAUCCAAAAUUCCAUAACAUCCAUAUAUACAUAUAGUUCCAUAGCAUCCAUACAUACAUAGCUCCAUAACAAAUAUAGUUCCAUAGCAUCCAUUCAUUAUUCACAUACAAUUUUUUGAGCUAGAAUAUUAUUUUGUUUGUAUUAAUAUGUUACCAUUAUUAUUUUAGAUGACAAAAAGACAACUAUGGCUCCAAAGGUUUGUUUAUGUCUUCACGCCACAUAAGUAAACGAAGUAGAAGGGGCGCAUGUUUAGGAGCUCAAGCGCGCUGUCCUUUUGAACUUCCCUUGGCAAAAGAAGCAUGAAUCAAAAGUGUUAGAGAAAGAAAACAGAUGAUUCAGAAUUACAAAUUUUGAUACAUAUUGACUUCUAACAUAACAACACUAGCAAUGUUUGUUACAAAAUUUACGAGGUAUCAAGAUACUUAAAUUGUCAACUAGUCACGACUACACACACACAGAGAGAGAUAUAUAUACACAUAAGCUCCAAUGAAUACAACUAAGAUUUUCAAGAGAACAUUCACAUACAAGAAUAAGCACAUGAUGUUUGGUUCCAAAUUAUAAAUAUAAGCUGCCGAUGUUGCGCUGAAUCCAAAGUAAUCCCAGCUACAUAGGUCACACGCUCGCUCUAAUGAGAUGUGAUACCAAAUGUUUAAGCCUGAAGGAAACAAGCAAUGGUAUAGGCACAAACUUUCCAAUCAUGGAGAUGAUACUACGAUCACAGUGUUCACCCUUGAUUGCAAACAAAAUCUAACUAGUAAACGCACACAAUCAGCAGCCCCUAUAUAUAAUUCCAUAAAAGUAUUAGAACAGAUGCAUCAUAACUGAAUUACCUGUGAGCAACAGCAUGAAUGAGCCUUCAGGCUGCGCGAGGAAGGAGACCGUCUUGGCAACCUUCUCCAAGAACUGCUGACUCUGCACCAGCAACGAAUCGCCAUUCCUCUCCACAAUUCAGUCAAACCUGUAAAUUCUACUCGGGAGCUAAGCAAAUGAAAGGGUUAUAGGUUAUUUCUAGAGCAGAGCUAUUUGAGAAGAUGGUCCAAAGUGGUCAUGAACAAAAUUUACACACGAAAUGACAAUGAAACAAAGGCAUUUAGCCAGCUUUGCAAAUCUACAUGAAAAAGUUAUGUAAAUUUGAUUUGCUUGCGGCACACACAUUAGUAGGAAUAGAACUAGCAAAUUUACAACAAACAAUAUAUGAUGGAUCCUACAGAUUAUUGAGAUCAGAAUGUUCCAACACAUCAAAGAUAGAUAUCCAGCAAAGCCAAGAUUUGAACUAUCCGGCAACAAGAAAACGUAUAUACACAAAAAUGUCUUGCAUUGCAGGCACAUUUUAUAUUUAAUGGGUGGUAUAAAGCAUAAUGCAAAGCUCAACAAAACUCGGUUUGCUCAUAUGUACAACUUUCAAUACUAACACAUAUAUUGAGCAAGGUAAACCACCAGAGAUGGCACUAUAUUUCUCAACUUCUUUAGUCCUCAGGAUUAGUAUAUCAUGCUUCCGGGAAAGCGAAGAGCGAGGAGCCCGAAGAGCACACAGAAUCUCCCAAUUUGCAAGGAGUUUACCUACAGUGCACAAGUGUAGAUCGAUCAGCAGUUGAAACUAGGAUUUACAAUUUCCUUUUUUUCAUAAACUACAUGAACGGAAUCUAUGAAAGGGGGGACAACACAAUGUAAGCUGAAAAUUAAGGGUUAAGAUUGGUACUAGUCAGUAGAAAUACUAGUCUCCCAUCGACAGAUGCCCUGAUAAACGCAGCAGAAUGGAUGAAGUCCUAAGCCCGUUUCGGAGCAUACAAAGACAGGUUAACAAUCCCACUGCAUUACGCCAAAAGAAACAGCGUUGAGUAAAGAGAUGAAAACAAACUAAAACUGCAAGACAAUGAAACUGCAGGAAUGAUUAGCUCUAGAGAUACUGGAAAAGGCGGUCCAAUGGUAUGGAACAUGGUAAAAUCAGGAUAGAAAAAUAAAUAAAAGAAGAUAUGUAUCGUACUUUCUAAGCACAUCGUUUGGUAUCUACUCUAUACUCUACAAGCAAAGUGCAAUGCCAACGGUUUUAUUGAUUUGAAUGGAGGGUUGUAGCAAAACCAUCAGUUUAACAUGUGAUAGAAAUGUGAUACAAGUGAUAAAUUCGUAGCUCGAGAAACCAAGUUAUGAGCAUCCAAGUGUCAGCAAACAGAACAAGCACCAAUCCAUGAAGCGAUAUGUUAUCUCUGACAGGAACAGAAGAAGAUUUCUAAACAUUGAUAACUGAUAAGUACCCUGAAAGCGCUAUAUCCUAUCCAUUGCCACAAUAUAGCAUGAGACGAGACGCAAUUGCCUCCAUAAGCUCAGUGAGAAAUAUCUUCUGCAAGUUACUGUUUCUUUAUUAUUAUAAACAGCACUUCUUGUCACACAGGUUGAAAAGAAAAAAAACAAGGACAAGGGGCUGUCAUCAUCUUCAAAUAAACCAAUACCUAUCAAUAAUAAUACAAACUACUCCUAUCGUCCGAGAGAAUACUCUGUAUGUAUCGGGGAGAGGCUCGCUGGUUUUCUUAAAAAAAAUAUUACAAUGUGUGUUUUGAUUCGUUAGGCUCUAGUUAAUUAACAGUUGUUCUAACAUGUAGAGUAAGAUUUUACUAUUUCACAAAAAGAAAAAAACUGAGUAGCGUGCAAGGUUGCACAAGGCUCAAGUCUGUGAGUCCUAAUUAACAACCACUGGGUACCUGUGCCGCUAUGCCUGGUGCUGAUGGAAGGCCAGAAUCAAAAUUGGUUUGGCUGCUGGAUAAGCAAGCGAAUGUGCACCUUUAGUACCUAAGGAGCCUCUACUGAUAAACUGGUAGAGAACUGAAGGAGCCUCAGUUGUGGCAUACCUGAACAAGUGAUCAGGCCGGACGAGGUAGCGAUAUGCUUGAGCCGAGGAUGUGUAUGUCCAUCUACACAUUGUCACCACCGUCCACUGGAUCUGCUCAACGGAACUAAUUGCAAAUCCAAGAGUAAAACAAAGACUAUGCUCCGACCCUUGAUGUAUUGUAUUGUAUUCGUCUCAAACUCAAGCGCAAGCUAAAACAAUAAUCCCACAAGACCCAACUUUAUUCGUUUCAAGCUCAAGCUCGUAUCUUGAUGUAUAGUAUGGUGGCCAUUAUUGACUUAAUUUAUUCCACUGGACGCAAAGAAGUGUGCGUGCACGCGGUAGGCAACUGGGUGCUGGAUCUAGCUAGGAAGGUCGCGGCGGAAGGAAGAUGGUGCUGGCGGGAAUAAACGCAACUACCUGCAGUGCGCGGGCAGAGCAGACGAGAACAGCUAACCUGGUGAGUGGCGGUUGCUUCCGGUUCAAGUUCCAGUGGACGGAGGAGUGGGAGAGGCGGCUGUCAGCGCGGAAAGGCGGCUGUCGAAGGAGCCGAGGAUGGAGACGACGGCGUCUGUGGCCGCCUGGCUCUGGCCCAGCGACUCCCGCAGCAGCGCGGCCCACUGCGCCAGGCCCUCCAUCUCUCUGCCCGAGGACGGAUGAUCCUCCUCCUCCUCUUGGAGAGCUUGGGCCGGAGAGGCGGGGCGGAUCUGGGGGACGGGAUCCGGGGCUGCGCGCUAGCUGCGCGCUAGCUGCGCGCAGGCACAGCGGAGCGGGUGGAUCUGGGGGACGGGAUCCGGGUGGAGAGAGAGGGAGUGGGCACGGGAGAGAGAGUGGCCGGUUGGAUUUGGGAGAGGAGAUGCACUGCCGGUUAGCAAUGGCGCACCGCUCCGGCUGCGUCAUUAGAAUUUUUUUUAUAGCAAUGGCGCAUCCUCAUGCAGUGCGUCAUUAGUAAUCUUUUUUAUAUAGCAAUGGCGCAUCCCAGAGAGAUGCGCCAUUAGUAAUUUUUUUUGGAUAGCAAUGACGCACACCAGAGAGGUGCGCCAUUAGUAAUAUUAUUUUUUUUGGAAUAGCAAUGGCGCUCGGGGGGAGGGAGGGGGUGGGUGGUGUGCUCGGUCGAUUCCGUUCGGGGAAACCGAGCGAGGAGACAGGGGAGGGUCCAGGGGGUCGGCAUUGACGGUGGAGCAUGGGAGGGUGCGGGAGGUCGUCGGCGGCGGUGGAGCGGGGGAGGGUGCGGGGGGUGCUCGGCGGCGAGGGUGGUGGUGCGUCAUUAGUAGUUUUACAAAAAAAAUAUAGUAGUGGCGCACCACCUACAUAUACGCCAUUAGUAACCCUGGUUACUAAUGGCGCACUAGCUGUGGUGCGCCAUUAGUAGUUUGCAAAAAAAACAAAAAAAAAAUAUAGUAGUGGCGCACUACUAACAGAUGCGCCAUUAGUAUUACUAAUGGCGCACCAGCUUCUAGUGCGUCAUUAGAACUUUUGCAAAAAAAUAAAAAUAAAAAAAAUAUAGUAGUGGCGCACCGAAAGUGUGGUGCGCCAUUAGUAUCCACCACACUAAUGGCCCACCUCACAUGGUGCGCCAUUACUAUAUAGUAGUGGCGCACUGCUUGUGUGGUGCGCCAUUAGUAUCUAUAUCAUCUAUAGCCCUUUUCCUAGUAGUGUAAUUGUAAGUCACGAGAUUUUGUAUUACGGAAGGAGUAAAGAAACUUUCGAGGAACGAGAUUGAAAUAGGUAUGCGGAUACCGACGAUCAAAUCUCGGGCAAGUAACAUACCGAAGGACAAAGGGAAUGACAUACGGGAUUAUAAGAAUCCUUGAAGCUGAGAUUCAACCGAUAAGAUCUUCAGAGAAUAUGUAGUAUCCAAUAUGGGCAUCCAGGUCCCGCUAUUGGAUAUUGACCGAGGAGUGCCUCGAGACAUGUCUACAUAGUUCUCGAACCCGCAGGGUGUGCACACUAAAGGUUCGAUGAUGUUUUAGUAUAGUUGAGUUAUAUGUGUGGUUAUGGAAUGUUUUUCGGAGUCCCGAAUGAGAUCACGGACAUCACGAGGGUUUCCGGAAUGGUCCAGAAACGAUGAUUGAUAUAUUGGAUGGUUUCAUUUCGUUACCGGAAAGUUUCGGGCAAUUCCGGCGGUGUACCAGGAGUGGCGAAUGGGUUCCGGGUGUUUAUCGGGCGGGGCCCACCCACCCGGCAGUGAUCCCAAGGCCCUAGGGUGGCUCCACAAGUCCUUCGCCCAAGAGGGCUAUGGCACCAGAUAAGAAAAUACCAAAGGAAAAGAAAAAGAAAAAGGAAAGAGGGAGGUGGGAAGGAAGAGGAGGACUCCUCCUUCCAAACCGAAUUGGAGGAGGAGUCCUCCUCCUCCUGGUGGCCGGCGCACCUUGAGGGCCUUGUCCCUCAAGGCUAGCCCCUCCCCCUCCCUCCUAUAUAUAGUGGUUGUUUAGGGCUUUUUUAUACACAACUUUGCCACGUGCAACUCAUGGCUAUUCCACAUAGUUUUACCUCUAGAUCAGAUUUCUGCGGAGCUCGGGCGGAGCCCUGCAGGAGUAGAUCGUCACCAUCACCGGAGCGUCGUCACGCUGCCGAAGAACUCAUCUACUUCUCCUCCUGCUUGCUCGAUCAAGAAGGCCGAGAUCAUUGUGGAGUUGUACGUGUGCUGAACGCGGAGGUGUCGUCCGUUCGGCACUAGAUCGGAACGGGUCGUGGAACGGAUCACGGGACGGUUCGUGGGACAGUUCGAGGGAUGUGGAAACGUUCCACUACAUCAAUCGCAUUUCUUAACGCUUCCCGCUGUGCGAUCUACAAGGGUACGUAGAUCUAAUCUCCACUCGUAGAUGGACAUCACCAUGAUAGGUCUUCGUGUGCGUAGGAAAUUUUUUGUUUCCCAUGCAACGUUCCCCAACACCAACACCACGAACAGAAGCACUUGAACCGUUUCCCAUCAGCACGGUGGAAGUCCCUGCGGUCUAAUAAGACGAAAACAUGGAAAUAUCACCGCAUACAUGCACAUUAGCACCCGUGUCAAUCAACCAACGAGGGAAAUGACAUACUGAAAGAAUAGUGGGAAAUAUACCAUACCCAACAUCCUUCACGUCAAUGUCAUCAAUGACAACAUUAGCGGUCUUGCCGCCUUUUCCAUGUUGACGCUUGUCAUAACGGUUAGGGCAGCUGGGUACCCAAUGAUAAGUAUCUCCGCAUACACGACAAACACCUUUCUUUUUGUCAGUCUUCUUCUUGAAGUUGGUGUGCUGCAAAGCCUUAUUAUUCUCAUCAAACUUUCCCUUACCAUCAAACUUUCCCUUAUUCUUGAAAUUGUGGGGCUCGAAGUUUUUCUUUUAUACCAGAUUGGCACUAGAUCCUCCCUCAAUAGCUCGAGCACGUGUCUUUUUCUCUCGCCUUUUCUUCCACAUCAAGAGUACCAAUGAGAUCCGGAACGGAAAACUCCUGCCUCUUAUGCUUCAGUAAUGUAGCAAAGUUCCUCCACGACGAAGGAAGCUUAGUGAUGAUGCCUCCGGCAACAAACUUGUCCGGUGGCGUACAAUUGAAGUGCUCAAGUUCUCUAGGAAAUUACUGUAUCUCGUGAGCUUGCUCAACCACAGAGUGCUCUUCACUCGUCGUGUAGUCAUAGAAUUGUUCCAUGAUGUACAGCUCAGUGCCAGCAUCCGAGACCCCAAACUUGGCCUCGAGUGCAUCCCACAUAUCUUUUCCAUUAUCAAUUGACGCAUAAGCAUCAACUAUGUUCUCACCAAGAACACUCAAGAGAGCAGCCUUAAACAGAGUAUCCAUUUUCUGAAAAGCUUGUGCCUGUUGUGCAUCAUAAUCUCCUUCAGGUUUGCCAAGAGUGGCAUCAUAGCAGCUCAUGGUUUGAAACCAUAGAACGGCUCUCACCCGCCACCUCUUAUAGUGGAUAUCCUCAAACGUAGGAGGUCUCAUGGUAGCAGUAAAACAACUUGGGGUAAAUUGCCUAUAAUAAGGUUUUUGGAUUGUUGGAAGUAUGAGCAAUUGACCAUAGGAUUUUGCAACCAGAAAAGGUAGUAAAUACAUGACAAACAUAAUAGAGAUGAAACAAGGCAGGUAAUAUAGAGAUGAGACAGCAAAAGGCAUGUGCACAUAUGAUCUAGAAGAGAACAUAUAUAGAGUCAUUCUAUAUAUGCAAGAAGGCAUCUGAAAGGAUGAGAAUAAACGGAACAUGUCUAGAAGUGAAACUAGAACAAGAAUUUAUGGCAUGAACUAAAAGAAAAACAACACGAGCACGCACUGAGUUGCAGCAGAAGUAGGGUUGGUGUUGGCGUUGUCGUUGGCCAUGUUACCGAAGAGGUGGUCGACGUCGGGGAAGAAGUCAUCGUCCGAGAAGUGGUCGUCGGUGUUCGUGAUGAAAGCCAGUAGUAGCGUUGAGCACUCCCCAAAAACCUUAUCGCCCUUCUCCCGUACAGAACUCAAAGAGAUGGAGUUUCGGAGGCCUACUGUCCAGACCUACGGUGCACGCCGCAAGCUGGGAUGAGGAAGAAUGUAGCAGUAGCAUAGAGAAUGGAACCGGUGGCGAGAGGAAGUUCUAAUGUGUAUCUCUGGAGAGGAGUGACCUCCCUUUUAUAGGCGCAAGGGAAGGAGGCGAGAGGCCAGCGAUGGGAGCCGAAGAGAAGGAGGGAUAUGAAAUGAACAAACAACAGCCAAAAGGUGCAGCGUUCGUGUUCGAUUUCCACUACAGCAAAAACUCGGCUCAUUGUCGCAACCCGCGUCGUGAUGAGGCGAGGCGGGCGGCGGAGGAGGAGGAGCGCGCGUGUAUGUCUCUCUUGUUCUCAAGCUCAUACAUGUGUGGAAAUAUCUUCCCUUAUAAGGAGGUCCAACUGCCACUAAACUAGAAAUGUGGGACUAAACUUUCCACCUCUUGCCUUGCACGAAUGGGCUACGUGGGCCUCUAGGAUUUAUUAGGAAUUUCUGAAAUUAUUGGGCUGGCCCAAAAUGGAUAAAAUUCCAGCAAUAAAACCCUCCACAACCCCUAACCCCCCCCAUUUAAAAAAAACUAGCGCAUGCGAGCUGAUGAUGCGUGGCUACAUUUUGGUCCUAGUUGGUGUUACCAACCGGGACUAACGGUCCUCCUGCCUGGGCGCCCCAUAUCGGCCAUGUGGAGAUCCUUUGGACCCGGUUCGUAAGCCAACCGGGACUAAAGGUUUCGGCCUUCGGUCUCGUUUGUUUUGUCCCAGAUGAAGAACCGGGACUAACGCCCCUCUGAAACCGGGACUAAAUCUAUGUUUUCUACUAGUGAGAGGGAGAAGCCGCACCAGGUUGGCGGUGUGUGUGUGAUGCCGGAGCACGGGAAGAGUGGAGCUACGCUAGGACUUGGAUGAACACAGAGCUGCAAUGAGACUAAGAAAUGAAGGAGUGAGAAAAAGAUUGGAUGAUAGCGAGAAGCAAGCAUGGAGUUAACAAGACCGUGGGGAGCGUCCGCGUGGUGCAGCUAGCCGAUGAGGCUGGGAUGCAAUGGAUGCGCGCCUCACUUCAUUGCGUCGGCCUAUCUUGCAGGUCAUUUCCUGAAGAUGUGAGUUGCAAAUACGUGGGCGAUACGAAGAUGAUACACUGAUGAUGAAAACUUUAUACCAGCCUUAAGUAUUGGAAUUACAAGAAUCGCGUGGUAACAUGCGGUGUGGAUACCCACCGCGCGUGGCUACAUCUCCACUCGCGAUUUAUGGCCACACACUUAAGUUAUCCUUAUGAUGAGGUUUCGAGAUCAACGAAUGCGCAUGGUCCACUUGUUUGUUAUUGUAUGUCCGACAUGAGGGGCAGCUGCCAGCGUACGUACCACCAACCAACAAAGAUAUUCACGUGCAGACAUAAAUACGGACCGUUUUAAUUUCCCAUGCGAUCCACGAGGGCACUAUAUAUACUCCUCCUAAGACUAACCACUAAGACAACGAAUCGAACUCCUGAUUCUUUUUUGUAGGGAGAAUUUUAUUUCUGCAUAUGGAUGGAUGUACUACCCAUGGACGUCUUUUGUGAUUGACGGAGGAUUGCGGAAUCAAUCGUCCCCACGACCACGAGGUCCCUAACCGAGACGACACAUCCAACAAUCGCAAGGGCCCGUGCACGUUCAAAUCGCGCGGCCUAAUGGCCCAUUUGUAGCCAAUAGAUAAAACUUUUGGUUUUCAUUAGCGAAAUGAAUGGACAGACACUAAGAUGGAUACGGGACGGGGUACGUGUGGUAGUGGCUAAGGGAACGGGCUCGUGGCACCGAUUCUCUGUGUAUUAUUGUUCUUUCAAAGAACAUGCUAAAUUUACGUGAUCGUGAGCCAACCACUUCAUCCCAUAAAAUCUUGUCCGUAAUAAAAAAAAUCUCAGUACAGACAUAGACAUUCAUACAUACGCGCCUAGUCAAGUACUCCCUUUGUUCCUAAAUAUUUCUAAAUAUAUGUCAUUUAAGAUACUUCACUAGGAGUCUAUAUACAAAACAAAAUGAGUGAAUUUACGUUCUAAAGUAUGUCUAUAUACAUUUGUAUGUAGUUCACUAGUGAAAUCUCUAGAAAAACGUAUUUAGAAACGGAGGGAGUAGUAAAAAAGAUUGCAGCCCUUGAGGCAAGGAUGGAUCAUGUUAAAUCUCCAUAAUAGAUUCAUCAUUGUACAUAUCUAUACUCAUCCCUAUAUAUAAAGACACGCAAGCACACAUGCUAUUCAUAUGAGCAUCUUGAAAAGAAUGAGACCCCACAUUAUCUCGAGAUUGAUGAGAACAUCACAAAUGCGUUCGUAGUCGAUGGAAAUGUCUCCUUCCAUUUAAUGAACAUCCCAAAAAGCCUCGAAAAAAGCUAGAAAUCUGAGCACCAAUGUCUAGGACUUGAACGCUCAUGACUUAGUUCCACCAUAAAUAACGAAACCGUUUAAGCAACGCUCACUUCGUGUAGGUAAUAAACCUUUUGUUGAUAUAAAGAGUGCAUAAACUACAAUGACACUCCUUCCAUUUUAUAUUUUUUGUCGUGGUUUUAGUUCAAAUUAAGAGCAUUGAUAUCUAAUCAAACACUCAUGUUUACAUGAAGAGACAACUCGUUUAUUCUGUUAAUCAUAUAUUCAUAUUUGCAUUAGAAAUACAAUCCAAAAAUGGUUUCUAAGAUUUAGUUUUGACCAACUUUUUGUCAAACUAUACAUGAGUUUUCUGGUUAUAAAAUUGAUAUACCAAUGAAAUGUAUUUUUAUACAACAACAACAACAACAAUAAAGCCUUUAAUCCCAAACAAGUUGGGAUAGGCUAGAGGUGAAACCCGCCAGAUCUUACGACCAACUCAUGGUUCUGGCACAUGGAUAGAAAGCUUCCACGCAUCCCUGUUCAUGCCUAGUUCUUUGGUGAUACUCCAUUCCUUCAGAUCUCUCUUUACAAACAUGUCAAGUUCGGUCUACGUCAGCCUCUUGACCUUAUCAACAUGCUUUAGUCGUCUGCUAUGCACUUGAGCUUUUAGAGGCCUCCGCUAGUAUGACGAAAAAGGCUUUCGUCCCGCUUUAUAGAUAAAACAUGAUCAACUUAUAACACUAAGAAGCCAACACACAACACACAACAUCACAACAGAACCCACACACCCGAGACAAGAUACACAGGUACCAGAGAACAACUACAACACCCCAUCCACCACCACAAAGACAAAAGAUAAACAAGAAGGAAUACUAUGGUGAUGAUGGAGCCCUCAAUGAAGUGAAGAUGUGAAGUUGCUGACCAAUGAACCGAGAGUGCCAAGGCGGUGUCUUCAGGAAGGUUACGGCACCGGAGUGCCGCCACCGCCCAAUCCAAAUAAUCUAGAUUUUCACUCGAAGCACGACGAAGGUCAAGAAGCAGCCACGACGAAUACUUCAAGAAGCUAACAACGUCCACGGACAUCGCCUCCGACAGUCUGGCCAACGCCAGACAGGGUGUAUACCCCGGCAAGAAUGCUUCACCUUUGACCACAAUGCAUCGAGAACGAUGUGAGCCGCAUCUCCAUCCCGGCCGUCGACCCUAGCCCCCAUGCUGCCCCACGGCCAUGGUAGCUAGCUCGUAUCGGAAUCACGGGUUCUGUCUGAGAACAGUGUCAUUCCCAAAAAAAUGUAUAUCAAAAAAUACAUACUUUUUUUUCUGCGAGGUAACCAAAAACAUACUUUCUCUUAACCAAAAAUACAUACAUACUUGAAGGAUCAAAUGUAUAUCAAAAAAUCUUGAUGGACCAAAAACAUACUUUUUUUCCUGUGAGGUAACCAAAAACAUACUUUCUCUUAAAAACAUUGAUGUCUCAUCAAGGGACUCACAAAACAGAAACUGAUCUCUUUUGCUAAGCGAUUAUCCAAUCACUUAAACUGUACAUGUUCUAAGAUGCUCUAGGAGAGAGUUUAUAUGAUGCGAGUUGUGUUUGCAGGUCAUAUUAUUAUCUACGGAUGACAUACACAUCCGAUGGUCCCUUACCACACCGGCAUCUCUACGCGAUCGAUCUCCACCAACCAAUUUCGGGAUUUGGGAAUUUUUAGGGUUUGUUAGUUGACAUUUUUAGUACCAACUAGCUAUAGAUAUCUUUAUCACCUAAUAAUAAAAAGGCUAUCGCUUCCGUCGGAAAACCCACCUCGGUGAUUUUAAAAAAAGUCCUUGAUGUUUUUUAAAAUUAACCAGCAAUCCAAUUGAUAAGUGAAGCUAAAUCGGUAUGUACGUACGUACGUGACCAGUUGCCGCUGCUUGAUCGAUAGUGGCAUAGAUCAGCAACCAGCCGGACAAUGCACGGGCCGAAGUACGAGCGUGCACAUCGAUCAGCGUCGGAAGCUACGCUGCGGGCGCGGCGUCUCGCCGUUGACGUCAGCUUGUACAUGCCGGCGCCGCACACCGAUCAAUGUGGCCCGUCGACAAGAUGAUGGUCGUCACCGUGAGGCCCGCGUACGCCGCGUUCCGAAAUGGCGAGAUCACGCCACCGUACUUCUGGUUCACGAUCGGCGCCGCCAUCGCGAAGAAGACGAGGAUGAACGUGCCGACGAACUCCGCGCCAAGCUGUACCAAUGUAAAUUCAUUUUUUUAUCUCUCCCUCUCUCCUUAAUCUUUACCUAAUAUAUAUCUAUACCUAAUAAUAAAGCGGCUAUUGCUUCCGUCAGAAAACCCAUCACGGUAUUUUUAUAAAAAACCUCUGUAAUUUUUGUUAUUCAACCCGCGCUCCAUCAUUUAUCUGCAACACAAAAGGAAAAAAAAUGAUUCGCUGCAAAAAUUAUACCCGUACGCAUCGCCUCCUCCCGUCGACCCUGGGCCACCCAGGCCUGUGCCCAGGCCGCCGCCACACCACUCGCCGCCGCGGCCGACCUCAGCCGCCACCGCUGCCGAUCUCAACCCACCCGCCUCCGGGGUUGUACCUCUCCCCGCUCACAACCCCCGUUGCGACGCUCGAGCGCAUCGCGUCGACCCUGAUCCACCCUUGGCCUGUGCCCAGGCCGCUGCCACACCACUCGCCGCCGCGGCCGACCUCAACCACCACUAUUGUCGAUCUCAACCCACCCUCCUCCGCGGUCGUACCUCUGCCCGCUUGCUGCCCCGUUUCGGCGCUCGAGCACAGCUUCUGGAUCAAAUCAACGCGACAACUACAGCGACUUGGGAUGAUGCGUCUGCUCGAUGCAGAACGGCGGUGGCACGCGGAUAAGGCGCGGCGGAGCGAAGUACUUGCAGGUGGAGGCGGGCCUCCAUGGCUCACACGGGGAACUCCGAGGUUAUGGCGUGGCAACGACGACUCCUUAUGGUCAGAUAGAGGCGCCUAACCCUUGCUUCCCUCAUCGCAUCCCCUCCUCCGGCAGGAACUCAUCAUCUGGUGAGAUCCUCUCUCCAUGCCUUCAACCGUGUACCAAGCACCGGCAAGAAAUUUUGUUUUGUGAGAAUUUGUUUGCUGAUGAAUGAAUGUAUUGAAUGUAACAUUGCAUUGUUGUAAAGAAAGAGAAUGGAACACCACCUUGAGUUUGUCAUCUGAUUCCACAUUCUCUACCCCGUGAGUGAAAUAAGAUAACAGUCCAUUGAUCAAUUCAUGUAGCCUCUUUGUUUUGCUUUGCUUGUCCCGUUUAAUUUCUCAUCAUGGUGAAAUUAACAAUGGACGGGUUGAUUUCUCAACAAAAUAGGAUAGGACUGGCUACAUUAGUUAGUUAGUUUAUUAUUUUAAUAAUCAAAAUGAUUAUAAAAAAAGUAGAAAUAUGUGGUAUUUUUUUCUCUCGUUGCAACGCACGAGCCCUUUUGCUAGUACGUGAAAAAAUGUGCACCGCAUCAUUCGGAUCGCGUUCCUUUGAUUUACUCCAUAGCAACUCCCCCACAGCUCCAACCCUGUAUGUACCUAACUUGCUAUAUAUACGUGCACCAGCUCUGCACAGGGACGGUCACACUCCAAUCAGGCACAGCACACAAAACAAGUCUCGUCAUAUCGAGAAACGGAGCUAGCUCGACCACGGGUGGUGUUCGGCAGCAGCUCUAGGCCGUCGUCCUCGGCCGGGUGGCGCCGAUGGCCACACACAUAAAUUAUCCUUAUGAUGAGGUUUCGAGAUCAACGAAUGCGCACGGUCCACUUGUUUGUUCUUGCAUGUCCGACAUGAGGGGCAGCUGUCAGCGUUCGUACCACCAACCAAGAGCGAUAUUCACGUGCAGACAUAAAUACGGAUCAUUUAAUUUUCCCAUGCGAUCCACGAGGGCACUAUAUAUACUCCUCCUGAGAGUAACCACUAAGAUAGCGAACGGAACUCCUGAUUCUUUUUUUUAGGAAGAAUUUUAUUUCUGUAUAUGGAUGGAUGUACUACCCAUGGACGUCUUUUGUGAUUGACGGAGGAUUGCAAAAUCAAUCGUCCCCACGACCACGAGGUCCCUAACCGGGACGACAAAUCCAACAAUCGCAAGGGCCCGCACACGUUCAAAUCGCACGGCUUAAUGGCCCAUUUCUAGCUAAUAGAUAAAAUUGUUGGUUUUCAUUGGCGAAAUGAAUGGACAGACAAUAAGAUGGAUAUGGGACGGGGUACGUGUGGUAGUGGCCAAGGGAACGUGCUCGUGGCGCCGAUUCUCUUUGCAUUAUUGUUCUUUCAAAGAAAAUGCUAAAUUUAGGUGACCGUGAGCCAACCACUUCAUCCCAUAAAAUCUUGUCCGUAAUAAAAAAAAUCUCAGUACAGACAUAGACAUUCAUACAUACGUGCCUAGUCAAGUACUCCCUUUGUUCGUAAAUAUUUCUAAAUAUAUGUCUUUUAAGAUAUUUCACUAGGAGUCUAUAUACAAAACAAAAUGAGUGAAUUUACGUUUUAAAAUAUGUCUAUAUACAUUCGUAUGUAGUUCACUAGUGGAACCUUUAGAAAAACAUAUUUAGGAACGGAGGGAGUAGUAAAAAAGAUUGCAACCCUUAAGGGGAGGAUGGAUCCUGUUAAAUCUCCGUAAUAGAUUCAUCAUUGUACAUAUCUAUACUCAUCCCUAUAUAUAAAGACAUGCAAGCACACAUGAUAUUCAUAUGAGCAUCUUGAAAAGAAUGAGACCCCACAUUAUCUCGAGAUUGAUGAAAGCACCACAAAUGCGUUCGUAGUCGAUGAAAAUGUCUCCUUCCAUUUAAUAAACACCCCAAAAAGCCUCGAAAAAAUCUAGAAAUCUGAACACCAAUGGCUAGGACUUGAACACUCAUGACUUAGUUCCACCAUAAAUAACGAAACCGUUUAAGCAACGCUCACUUCGUGUAGGUAAUAAACCUUUUGUUGAUGUAAAGAGUGCAUAAACUACAAUGGCACUCCCUCCGUUUUAUAUUUUUUGUCGUUGUUUUAGUUCAAAUUAAGAGCAUUGAUGUCUAAUCAAACACUCAUGUGUACAUGAAGAGACAACUCAUUUAUUCUGUAAAUCAUAUAUUCAUAUUUGCAUUUCGAGAAAUACAAUCCAAAAAUGUUUUCUGAGAUUUAGUUUUGACCAACUUUUUUCCAACUAUACAUGAGUUUUCUGGUUAUAAAAUUGAUAUACCCAUGAAAUGUGUUUUUAUACAACAACAACAACAACGACGACGACGACAACGACGAUGACAACAACAACAAGAAAGCCUUUAAUCCCAAACAAGUUGGGAUAGGCUAGAGGUGAAACCCGCCAGAUCUCACGACUAAUUUAUGGUUCUGGCACAUGGAUAGAAAGCUUCCACACAUCCCUGUCCAUGCCUAGUUCUUUGGUGAUGAAAGGACCACGAUGACGCCUAGAGGGGGGUGAAUAGGAUAUUUAAAAACUUCUUCGGAUUUGGCUUAAACCUAAUNNNNNNNNNNNNNNNNNNNNNNNNNNNNNNNNNNNNNNNNNNNNNNNNNNNNNNNNNNNNNNNNNNNNNNNNNNNNNNNNNNNNNNNNNNNNNNNNNNNNNNNNNNNNNNNNNNNNNNNNNNNNNNNNNNNNNNNNNNNNNNNNNNNNNNNNNNNNNNNNNNNNNNNNNNNNNNNNNNNNNNNNNNNNNNNNNNNNNNNNNNNNNNNNNNNNNNNNNNNNNNNNNNNNNNNNNNNNNNNNNNNNNNNNNNNNNNNNNNNNNNNNNNNNNNNNNNNNNNNNNNNNNNNNNNNNNNNNNNNNNNNNNNNNNNNNNNNNNNNNNNNNNNNNNNNNNNNNNNNNNNNNNNNNNNNNNNNNNNNNNNNNNNNNNNNNNNNNNNNNNNNNNNNNNNNNNNNNNNNNNNNNNNNNNNNNNNNNNNNNNNNNNNNNNNACACGACGAGUAGGUGAACGACACAAGAUACUAGAUCACACUAUAGCACACGAUAUAUCAAAAGCUACAAGUGUGAACGUGUGGAUAUAGAGGGUAUGCUUGAAUGAUUAAUCUUAUACAAGAAAUGGCCAACACAAUAUAAUGAGCACAAACAAUAUGCAAUGUAUGUAUGCUCAAGUAACACAAGUAAACCACAAGUGAGGAGUUAGGGUUAAGGAUAACCAAGGUCACUGAGACGAAGAUGUAUCCCGAUGUUCACUUCCUUGGAGGGAAGCUAGUCACCGUUAGAGAGGUGGAUGUUACCACGAAGGCACACCAAUGCCACGAGGGCUAACCCUAUUCUCCCUUUGAGAUAACACCACGAAGGCGUUUCUCAACCACUAGUGGUAAGCCUUUGAGGUGGCUUCCAAACCCUCACAAACUUUUCCGGGGGGUAAUCACACGGAUUGAUUCCUCUCCGAAGAACUCCUACCGCCUAGGAGUCUCCAACCUCCAAGAGUAACAAGAUCACGGGGAAUGCUCAAAACUUGCUCAAAUCUCAAAUAGCUUGGGUUGAGAGGAGGAGAGGGAGACGAUCUAUCUUUUGAUUGGAACAACUCUCAAGGGGGCUCAAAAAUGCUCUUGGGAUCUAAGAUUUGGUGUGAGAAAAUGUGUGUGAGGUAGAAGUGUGUUCUUAUGAGGAUAAGGCUGUGUUGGGCAACCCUNUUGGAGGGAAGCUAGUCACCGUUAGAGAGGUGGAUGUUACCACGAAGGCACACCAACGCCACGAAGGCUCACCCUAUUCUCCCUUUGAGAUAACACCACGAAGGCGUUUCUCAACCACUAGUGGUAAGCCUUUGAGGUGGCUUCCAAACCUCACAAACUUUUCCGGGGGUAAUCACACGGAUUGAUUCCUCUCCGAAGAACUCCUACCGCGUAGGAGUCUCCAACCUCCAAAAGUAACAAGAUCACGGGGAAUGCUCAAAACUUGCUCAAAUCUCAAAUAGCUUGGGUUGAGAGGAGAAGAGGGAGGCGAUCUAUCUUUUGAUUGGAACAACUCUCAAAGGGGAUCACAAAUGCUCUUGGGAUCUAAAAUUUGGUGUGAGCAAAUGUGUGUGAGGUAGAAAUGUGUUAUUGUGAAGAUAUGGAUGUGUUGGACCCCCUCUCACGAAGUGGGAGGGGGGUAUAUAUAGUGGGGAGACUAAAAUAACCGUUGGGGUCACUAAAGUCUGACAGUGGUCGGACGCACUACAAGGAAUAUGCUAAUACACGACGCUAUAUUUUCUUCGCUACAUCGUCACAGUUUUUAGUUUACGACGAUCUCACGACGAAAAACCAAGCGUCGAAAACGGAGCGUCACAAAUGAACACGAGCGACGUUUUGAUCAAAAUCGUCAUAACUUCUACGACGAUUCAUGGAUCGUCGUAACCUUUACGACGAUCCUAAAUCGUCGUUGACAAUCUAACCCAGUCCUACAUGGCAGUCCUACGUGGCAAAAUUACGACGAAAUCAAAACAUCAUAAUUGAAAUCAGCCCAACCCAUUUCAAUUGAUCACAUGGGCUGGUUUUAUUUUUUGGGCUUCUUUUUGGGCCUUAGCCCAUUUAUAGCCACUUUUAGUUUUUCUUUUUUGAAUUGUUUUUGGGCCCUCGCCUUUUAGUGUCCAAAUACAUUUGGUCCAGUUUCAGUUUUGGCCUUUUUUCAUUUUUGAAUUCAGCAACUUUUUUUUCAGAACUUGAUUUCAUUUCUAUUUAUUGGGCCUUUUCAACCAAUUAUUUGUCCAAUAUUAAAUGCAGCACUAUUUCAUGUUCAAAUCAAGAAAACUCCAAGUCGAAUUAAAAUCAUCAUAUAACAUCACAUAAUACAUCUCCAGGUUUACAUAAUUCAAUAACUCAUCUAAUUCACAGUUGACAAUCAGAUACCAGUUUUCACAACUGAAGCAUCAACCCAAAAGAAUCUCAAAAGAAAAUACAGAAAUUAGCACUCGCUGUGAAGAAGUCAUCCUGCUCUUGCUUCCCCACUCCUAGUUUUGCAUCACUGAUACCAGCUUUUAUGGGCUCUAGUAUACCUGCAUACAAACAAAGUAAUGUAUUUUUGAGGCGCAGGAACUAGAUGGCAAUGCUAAAUUGUAAAACGUCUUUCGAAGAACAAAAUAUCAUCUCAGGUGUAACAAUAACAGUGAGUAGCUAGAUGAGGUGCAAGCUAGCUGAAACACCAUUCGUUAAGUACCAAAACUACUCCCUUGGAUAAUAAGUGACCACCAGGAACUACCCAUACAUAUAUUCAGCAAGUUUGCAUCAGGUAGGCUAGUGUUAGCUAGCAUGGUAAGCAGAGAAACGAGCAAACUUUAAAAACAAAUAGUGGCAUGAUGAUUAUGAAAGGACUCUAGCAGCCUAACCAGACAGCCAUGGAACGAUGGCCAUAGACCCACACCAUGACCGUGGCUCGAAGGCCAUGAGGAUCAUCAGAGCAACCGGGGACAGGAGGCACGGAGCAGAGGAGGGAGAGGAGCUCACCGUGCCGAUGCCAAACAACGUCACCGGCAGCAACGGGGCAGUCCAAUGGAAGACGUCGAAGCUGAGCCUACCUCCAUGCACCUUGCCUGUAAGAGAUGGUAAAGUAGUUUCAGAUAUCACAUUAUUGAAUUGCUUGCAGUGUGACAUGAGCUAGCCAAAAGUAUUCAAGGGACUAAAAAAAUUAGAAGUGUAGAAUCAUAUAUGCCCCUAGCAUGCAUCUCUCAAAUAGUUAAUUAAUCAGACUUGCACUGUUGUACUAACAAGCAUGAGCGUUUAAUUUGUACUCAAAACUGAACCUAGAGGAUAUAUAUGAUAAAUCUCACUCACAGCUAACCAAAUCAACAACUAGAAAUUGGUGGUGUGCUAUUUAGAAGGUCAACAAUGAAGACAUGUUUGUGUCUUUCAAAAGAAACAUGUUUGUGGUGUUUUUUCCAACAAAAUAUAAUUAAGCGGUCCAAGUAAAUAUACUGAAGCAAUAAUUAUCUGAAAAAUGAUGUUUUCAUGCUGCUCUUAGCCUCAUUGUACAAAAAACAAAUGUGACUGAGAGAAGUAGGAGCAGUAGGCUGUGAUCCUAUAUGAAUGAUACUGAGAACAUUUGAGAGAAGUAGGACACCAGCAGCAGAAGGAAAAUCUAAAGUAGGACACCAACAGAAGCAGGAAAAUCAUGGGAAAAUAGACUGAGAGAAGUAGGGCACGAGCAGCAGCAGGAAAAUCUGAAUUUAUACUGAGAAAAUUUAUUUACAAGGAUAUGAAUAGGUGACUACAACCCCACACGUGUCACGCCCUUUGCCCCACAAAAGCAUCUCCGGCGAACUACUAGAGAAGCAAACGUGGUUGGAUUAUUUUGUGCUUUGUUGGAGAAGAGAUAAAAUUUACUUCAGAUAUACUACUGAUCGCUACCUUCAAUUUUCUUGUCUGCACUUUCUGGCCUUGUACCGAAUUGCAUAGAGGUAUCAUUUGAAUUAUGACAGGAACUGUUCUAAGUUCUGACCUAGCUUUGAAACAACCUCUUGUGUUGCUGCGCAUAAUUGAGUAGUAGAUAACUAAAGAUAACAAGAAAAAGUAAACAAGCAUGCCAAAACAAAACCCAUGUGUUUCGGAGCUCUAAUCAUGUUAUACUAAAGGGCUAGUGUUUACAUUCUGUUUUGCUGCAUUUUUAGGUUGAUGCUAUGCUUCAGAAAUUAGAGAAAGAAUUUUUAGGUUGAUGCGGCAAGGCCCCUCUGAUCGUUUGAAGUGGAGAAGAACGUGGCCAUCCGAUCCUCUUCGGAUGCAAAUGCAGUCUAUCAUCAGAAGGGUACCACUAUCGACGCUUGGGAAGGUUCAAGUUCUGUCUUGAGUGUGUCGAACUGAAGAAAUAGAGGAUUGGAAACUGUUAGUAAAUCCUGCCUACUAUUGUCAGAAAACGAUUUCAUCUUGCUCCUAAAUUCAAAUCACAGUAGCAAAUAGCAUAAUUAGUCACGGCGUGCAAGUGGAACUGUACUGAAUUAGGCAGAAGUGUGAUAUGAGUGGACUAGGCAAUAAUAACUGCAAAUUCAUUCAGAAAAUUACAAGAGAAAAGUGGAAGAAUUCUACUGCAAGUGAAGUAAAUCAAAAGGAAGGAAUGGAUCCAACAGAAUUGAAAGCAUGCAUCUACCUGGGAGAACAAAGUUCAGAUCACCGUACUUCCUUAACACACAAUCCCUCAGUCUUCUUUCUAAGGUACCACGUGCAUACAAAAAGAAACAGAAGCAUUUCCACUCAGCUGAUGAAACCAGCAUAUAAUUUCAGGAAAACACCAGUCCAAAUCAGUAGUACCUAUCAAGACUAAAAAAGAGCCUAACUGGACUAGACUUGACUUGAGAGAAACUAAGAGGAGGCAAAAAUAUUAGUCACCAUACUACCACUUAGCAAUUCAGAGACCGAACUUGCCGAGAAUCAGCUAAAACACGAAGCAGUUUUUCUAGUUGGUAUGAUGUUGUGCUGCUGCACCAGCCAAGGCGCCAACCACAAGUAGGUAAGCAGGAACAGAGAGCUCAACAAGAAAGAAAAGAAGCCACAACCACACCAAGAAUCCACACAGAAACACUAAAAGUCACAGUAGCACUAUCAUCAUUAUUUUCUGAUGGGCGCCACAGCCUGCAUGUAUUUGGCUAUCUGCACAUGAUAAACCAUCUAAACUGCAUCAAGAUUCAUGUUGUUGAUGUUGUUUGUUUUGUUGCACUGUAAUCGCAACUAACACUGGAGUAUUUGAAUUAAUUAUUUGAUUUUGGUUGGUAGCAUAAUCUGGAAUACAGUAGUUAAAGUCCACAAACAUGUUCUGAUACACAGCAAACUUCUAAAAGGAAAAUAAACCUUUUUUAAGCAUGAAAAGAAACAAUUAAAGUUAAAGAGAACCAGGAGAAACGCGGUGAGAUGUUUGCAUAUGACACAUUUCACAAAAGAUAUGCAGAUUCAAAGAAUAAUCUCCCAUACUAGAUCCACCAAAUUCACUUUUUACUUUUGAGUAGGAAGAAAUAAAACUGUGUCGCGCCUAGUUUUUCCUAACGCAACAUCAACCAUUCGAUUCAGAGCCAAAAUAACAACUAGGUCCUUGGCAUUUAUCCUAGAUUUCCAAAUAAUACCUCACUAGUUCCAUUCUAAAUGCUUGAUGACAGACAAACACGCAUAUCAUUGUUAAAUCAAGGCAGACGAGAUUAAUCCAGGUUAAUAAUAGAUGACCAUGUUACAAGCCAAUAAGAGCCAGAAGCACCCUACUAUUGACCAACCUGUAGUUAACUGGCGACGAGCGGCACAACCUCAAUCAAUGCUAUCUCCAGCCCGACCUCCAACAUCUGCAGCUAUGGGCUCUUGAGCUCGCAGCGCCUCCACGCCUCGUUCCACCAUCUCCUCAGCACUUGCAAACAUUCAGUUGGAAGAUAGUUGUUAGCACAAUUUCUGCAUUCGCUAGUAAGAAAAAGGCAUCAUGCUACUUUGGCUAGUCUAUUACAAGGCAUCAACUAAGCAACGCGUAAAGAACUGUAAGUAUCUACAUCAAAGACACAGCUAGUGGUUUUACACGUUUAUAUCAUGUUAACGUGGAGUUAUAGCCAGAGCCGGUGGGGUCAAAGAUGUGCAUCGCUCUGUCACAACAAAUUAAACUGCUGCUGCAAACAUGCACAUGGAAAUCAGAAACAAGCCGUGAAAACAAUUCCUGGCCCCAAUUUUCUUUCGCAUUCACUCGUAGAAUCAUCCCUUCUAACUAAUCCAUCCACUUACACAGCAGAAGCAAUUCACCAUGCACCACUACGUGUAUAACUGCACGGCGAUAAAAAAGCUACCUUUCCAUGGUGUAGGGGCCCUCGGGGAGGCGCCUCCCCUGCCGGAGGCAGUCGAGGAACCAGCAGUGGCUGACGAUGCGGACCCGGAGCCGCCUCGCGAUGUCGUACUUCUUCCCCUCGAGCCUCCAGCAAACCUAAUCGCGGCUCAAACAAGGCAACGCGAAUCAGCGGGUGCGGCGAAGACCGGGGUCGACGACGGGCGCGAAGAGAUUACCACGUGGGUUAUGGAUCUGCUCAUGGAACCGACGUAGCUGGCGCCGGCCUCCGAGAUGAGCUUCACGAGCCUGUGCCGAUCGUUGCCGUGGUAGCCGCUCACCGUCGCUAUCACCUUGUCCAUCCCCGCCGCCGGCAUGGACCCGCCGCGGGCGCGGGAGACUCCGGGGGCGGGGAGGUCGGCCCGCGCGGCGGAGACGGCGGUCGGGAGGCUGGAGGCGGCGGCGGCUAGGGCCGAGAUCGGGGGUGGGGAAUGGGGAAGGAAUGCUCCGAUUUUGAUCCGCCGGUGGCGUAAUUUCACAACUUGAUUCUGAUUUCCAUGCGCGGUGUUGAUGCGCAGCUCCCUCACCAUCGCAGUCGGCCGCCCCUGGGCAGGGGGGGUUCGUCGGGAGAAGGUGGACUCGGGAGGUGGAUCUCCGGCCAGUGAGAAGAGGGAGGUGGCACCGGCAACCGCCACUGGUGUUGGGGUCGCUCGCCAGCGGGGCUUGUUCCAUCCAUGAGAGGUGGGUGGGGUGGCGGCGGUCGGUGGGAGAUGGAGGCGGGGUGGAUCGAAUUUGGAGAGACGAGACGAUGGGAGGGGUGGAUCGGUCUGGGUGGGACGAGGGUAGGGUUUGCGCGGUUUUUCCCCCCGCAGCGUUUGGAUUCAUUGAGAGACGUUCGAUCUGUUGGCUUUAACGGCUCAGAUCAGCUAAAGUGGGGCUGACUGCCGUGUCACGUCAUUGAUCCGAGGAAAGGAGGUUUUAGCCAAUAGGAAAUCAGCAAACAAAAUUGUGUUUGUUUACCUAUUACUUUUGAUAAAAUAAACAUGUUAAUAUUUAGCAAAUUUCUCAAAUAUUUUUUCACACCUUCUAAAAAUGAUGAACCAAUACCAUGUCCAAUUUCAUAUUCUUUAGACCAUAGCACAUCCCACCAAUCAGAAUUAAGCUUAUAUAAAAUUUUUGUUGUUUGUUUGUUUCUCUUAUAUUUUAUCCUCUUAUAGUUUGUUACAAUGACCCAAUAUUGUCCACAUGUGUGUAUGUUGGUAUGACAAACAACGUUGUCAAAGAGAUUUUACAUUUUGUUUGCACAAAAAAAUCAUUUUCUAUUUUCGAAGUGCCAGAAAAUAGGUUUUUUGUAAAGAACCUACCAAAUCUUUGUUGUAAAAAUGUAGCAACUCAUUUUAAAAAUAUUAGACAAUAUAUUAUGUAUAAUAUAAAAUAUUAUGACAGACCAGAAACCAACCCAUUAGCAAGCAUGGAGGAUAAAUUACCAGCCCAAUAUAAAAGUAAGAUGAAAAAAUAGCCCAACAAAAAAGUGGUAUAAAAAACAGUUCAAUACAUGGAUGAGGUGGAAUAUAAUGGACCCACGAGUGACAUGUCAACAUAGUUAGAACAUGUUACGACAUUUUUAUAAUCGUCGUAAAAGUUAUGACGAUCUCAUCUUAUGUGGUUACGACGUUUUUGACUCACAUCGUCGUAAUUUAUAUGUAGAUUUGAUCCCCUCAAACGGUUUACGACAAUCUCGGAUGAAUUCGUCAUAGAUUUAUGACGAAUUCAUCAACGACGUCUUAAAAACAUCAUGUAUGAGCAUACUUCUUGUAGUGACGUCCGACGGUUUCCGGACGUCCGGACGGCCCCGGAUGUCCGAGAGUACGGCUCUGUUCAAGGGCACCGGAUUUCCAAAAGUGGUCGGACGUCCGGCCCUCGGACGACAGGGAGAGGCCGGAAGUCCGAGUUAUCUGACUCUGGAUUUCUCUGGUGCAAGGUUCCGAUUUUCCGAAGUGGUCGGGCGUCCGGUCCUCGGAUAGAGGGAGCCGGAUGUCCGAGACUUUGGCUCUGGUAUAGGGUUCCGUAUUUCCGAACUGGUCGGGCGUCCGGCCCUCGGACGUCCGAAGGGGGGCGGAUGUCCGAGGCUUUGGUUCUCUUUUGGGAUCAAAGCAGAGCAGUGGAGAUGUGGCAUGAGCAGAGAAGUAGAGAUGUAGUUUGAGCAAAUUUAUCGCAAUACCCAGUGAUCCCCUCUUAAUAGUGCGGGAUCCCUAAAGACUCAAGAAACAUAAAAAAAAGGGUACCGAUGAUCUAUACUUGCGUGUAUACUUUUAUUCGCUGAUCAUCACUCCGCACCAUUAACGUCAAAGGAACUGAUACCUUUGAGUUAUCCCUUUCACUUGAGCUUGGUGUUGUUGUUCGUUCUUGACUCAAGAUGAANNNNNNNNNNNNNNNNNNNNNNNNNNNNNNNNNNNNNNNNNNNNNNNNNNNNNNNNNNNNNNNNNNNNNNNNNNNNNNNNNNNNNNNNNNNNNNNNNNNNNNNNNNNNNNNNNNNNNNNNNNNNNNNNNNNNNNNNNNNNNNNNNNNNNNNNNNNNNNNNNNNNNNNNNNNNNNNNNNNNNNNNNNNNNNNNNNNNNNNNNNNNNNNNNNNNNNNNNNNNNNNNNNNNNNNNNNNNNNNNNNNNNNNNNNNNNNNNNNNNNNNNNNNNNNNNNNNNNNNNNNNNNNNNNNNNNNNNNNNNNNNNNNNNNNNNNNNNNNNNNNNNNNNNNNNNNNNNNNNNNNNNNNNNNNNNNNNNNNNNNNNNNNNNNNNNNNNNNNNNNNNNNNNNNNNNNNNNNNNNNNNNNNNNNNNNNNNNNNNNNNNNNNNNNNNNNAUAUGAUCAUUAACAACAGCUUAAAGGGGAUUAGUGAUUAGUUAUCUAUAUGUGUGUUGUCAGCAUAUAGAUAAUUCAUAGCAUAUCAUAUGAAUCAAAGCAUAUCAUAUGAAACAAUAAUUCAUAGCAUAUCAUAUGAAUCAAAGCAUAUCAUAUGAAUCAAUAGGAUAGCAUAAAACUCAUCAUCAUAUGACACAACGAUAAUAUCAUGAUAUCUCAUCACCACAUGAUAGUUUAACAAUACAUCAUCCAUAAGUGAUGGCAUAGCACAUCAUCCAUAAGUAUCGUUACGUGAUGACACAUCAUUAAGUUCGACAUACUACAUCAUACCAUACAUUAUGAGAGAAACAAAAAUCGAAACUAAGAUAAGAUAAUAUCCUCCCCCUUUGGCAUCAAGGACCAAAAAGGAAGGAACCCGACAAUGCUACCACAUACUCAAAUAUCACCCUCAUCAACAUCAUCAUCAUCAAGCAGGCCACUGCCACCAGCCUUAUGAAGGAAGUCAGCCCACUCAGGGCCAGAUGAGAAGCCAAAGUCAGAAGGAGGAGCAGCAGGAAGAUCCUCAUCAUCACUCACAUCAAGAGCGCCCGAGUAUCUCAGACGAGCCUUGAGGGCAUUCUUGGAGGAGACGAGGCAAAAAACCACAUCAUGAGUUUGACCGCACUGGAAAGAGAAAGCCUUCAUCAUGGCAGAAUGUGCCUUGCCAAUGAAUUUGGCAAAGCGACCGAGAGGAGCUGAGCUGGAUGAAGGGGUUGCUGACCGGGAAGCAGUGCGGCGAGUGGAGGUGCAUGAGGUUUUCUUAGGAGCAUAGUCAUCCGCCAUGUGAUUGGGAAUGGCCCACUUGUGAUGCGUGUGAGUGGGAGCAACAGUGAAUUCAGCAACAUGGUGAAUAAAGGCCUAGAUGAAGGGGGCAUGAGGGAAGGCUCGCUUGUAUUGAAGACUAGCGAGCCGAAUCUCAUGCCAGAGAAAGUGAGGCACAUUAAUCUUGCGCUUGGGGAAAUCGUGUAAAUGUGACAUGAUAUCAAUACAGUAGCCACUGCAGGUUCCCCUGUCACCCAUCUUGGGAUAGAUGGUGCGGAUAAGACAUUGAAAUAUGAUAAAGAAGGGAGAGCGCCAGAUGGAUACUUGGUUAAGAUCCUUCAUCCGUUCGUCUGCAUCAAGUUCACGAAGUGGUUUGAGGAGAGAGCCACAUGCCUCAAUGGGCUUAGGUGCAUGGUUAGGAUCACUCUUAUGGAUUUUGGUGCCGGAGUCUGGGAAACCGAGUGCGGCAACAAACUCAGCAUAAGAGGCUGUGAACUCAACAUCAGAAGUCAUCCAGCUAACAGUGUUGUUUGAGCCAAAGAAACACGUGGCAUAAAAUUGAUGAAUAGCGGCACUGUUAAAAUCGCACCGAAAAGCAAAGGGGGCAGCGAGCCCCGAUGACUCAAUGAGCUCAAUGGCACCCGGGUAUUUUGAUGGGUGAGUGCGAAUAUGCUCAAGAUCAAUAUAAUGAUGUACUGGGAGAUCCUUAGGAACGAUGACAGUAGAAAAGAUGUCCGCUUGGACGUGUGUGUGGAAAUGUGAGUCCAUAGAGUCACGUUUAACAGAAAAUUGGUUAACAUCGCGGCGGAAUGUAAAGUAGGAAGACUUAGGAACCUUGGUGAUGUCCUUGACUUCACGACCUAAAGCAGGAGAAGGUUCAAGGUAGAUGCGACGAGCAUCACCUUCGGGCUGUUCGGGAAGAGGCGAGGGCAUGUAAGAUGGCUUGCGAGAGCCCGUCUUCGGAAGAUUCUUCCACACAGCUACAAAUUCCGUCCGUUCUUGAACUUCAAGUUCGUCCUCAAAGUCUGAGCCUUCCGAGGGAGACGAGCGAACUGAGCGAACCGGACGCCGGGCGACCCGUUUAACGAGACGGCGGUAUUCGUCCGAGCCAUCCGACCCCGUACCAUGAGUGGCACGAGCGGAUGAACCGGCAGCGGGCUUGCGUGUUGAGUGCUUGAUCCGAGGCAUGGCGGAAGAUCCUGGCUGCGAGGAACGUCAGGAGGUGGAUCCGGCCAGGGUGGUGACCGGAGGGAGACGAAUCCGGUGAAGAACGGCCCACCAGCAGUGAGGAAGGGCCAGGGGAUGGCGCGGCGGCGGCUGGGGCGAAAUAGGGGAGGAGGAGGUGCGUGGUGGUUAGGGCAAAGCCCAGACCCGCGCCCUCCAGCUUCUAUUUAUAGAGGAUCCCCGAUGUGUCGGACGACCGACGGGCGCCGGACAUCCGGAAGCUGUCAACGAUCGGACGACCGAGGAUGGUCGGACGUCCGGACAGGAACAGGCGUCGGACGAACGAGCCGUGCCGAACGUCCGAGAGGGAGGCAGACAGGGCUGAACAUGAUGGUGAGAUGGUUCAAGUGAAUAGAGCAAAGGUAACAUCCAACAGUAUUUCAUAUAGUGACUAUACCUUCCCAACGCUCGAACAAUGGAGUGUGUGGUGGGUUUAACCACCAAGUUCGAGUGCUACCUCGAGACAGGGACACUUAAGCAUUUUCUGUCUUGCUCAUGAUGGUGAGGUGAUAAGGAGUAUUCUCGCAUGUGUAGCAACCAAGGGCCUCUCAACUAACAUAUUUUGGACAUGGUAUGAUGUAAAUCUUCUAACUCGAUUACUAUGAUAAGUGUGGGUCCAAAAUACGGUCAAACGCAUGAGUGCAUAGGAUCAUGCACAAGUUAUCCUAUUAUAAGAGCAAGGCACAUGACACAAGGGCCAUGACACAAAAUUUUCUCAUUCAUAUGACCAUGGAGUGCUAAGAGAACACCAACACUAAGCAUUUCAUUAGUGUGAUUGACAAGGACAUGCAGGAAAUUACAAAGUGGAAAAACUAUUAUGUUCAUGCAAUGAUGCAACCUACACAGGGUUGACUCUAACGUUAUACAUGCAUGAAGUAAAUACUUGUUACCGGAAAAGCAUUGGUAUGGCGUAGAAGUAGCCGAGUCCUGUCUUGACUCUAAUUUCUUCGUGACCAGCACCAUCUUCUUCUGAGAAUAAGUCAAGAUAGCAAUGCUUCUCCAAAGUACCUAAACCACCAUUUAAGCACAAUAUGGUCCCCAAACUUAUUGGGUCCGAAGUAGUUAGUCCAACUACAAUAUAUAUAGGGUAAGAUCACUCAAUUAUGUGCAUACAGAUAUAAGUUUUACUUUCAAGCACACCUUAACCUUUUAAAGGAUACGUCUGAUUUACCAUAUACAUAUAUCGGAUCAAAGAUACGAUAGACACGGCAUGUGCAUCUACACAUAGUAGAUAUGCCUACACAAGCCUAUCAAAAUCCAAGGAUAUAUAAUUUGGAUAAAUGAACACAUAAUUGUCAAUUACAGAACAUUCAUGUCGUCCAAAAAGGAUCAGGGUGACAAAUCAACAUAUGAUAGCACCCCAAGUUCAACACAUGAACCGGUCAAAGUAUCAAACCAUGUAAGGUAUGCAUUUUGCACAACCUUACAUGCAUGUCUCACCCCAUUAGAUGUAUAAGUGUAGGUAAUAUGAUUAUAACUCCCACAACAUUAUGAAAUAAAUAGUACGAGCUCAAAGACAUGCAUGGGAGAUUACCGGGAGACACAUGAAUUUCUCGGCAAGUUAUGUAGGUCAAAUGAAGACAAAGCCGAAAUAGAAUGACCAUGAAAAACACUACCAAGCCAGAGAUACCAUGUGUGAGAGAACACAAUGGUAUUUAGAAUUAUCAGUGGUGGUAGAUUCCAAAUGAGCACAAAGAUCGUUUUAUACUCACACAAGUGUGGUAUGGGAGUUUAACCAUAAGCAUAAUGUUUAGAUGUCGUACGUUAACAUCCCAAUUAGUUAGAUCAUAGUGUAGAGAAAUAAUUCGAAAGGCAUGCAUCAACUAUGCCCUUCUUUUAAGUACGAUCUAGCGGCUAAGCCAUGAGUAUUGGUGUAGUAGAACGUCAUACUCACGCACAUCUAAGGGAUUUAGACACCAACAGGGUUAUUAUGCGAAUUAAGACAUGUGGAGCAUGACACGCCACACAGUUAUAGAAUAACCCCAUGUGGUAGAUUCUGAGUGGCAUACAUCGGAUGUUUAUCUUACCAGGGGAUGUGACGUGCACAAAGCAUAUCACACUCCCUUAAUGUGAUAAUCCAUGUAUUUAUAAUACAAGGCAAUCAAUCAUCCAACUAAGCUGAUAAGUGGAUGCCAAUUUGAACUUCGGAUGGCUUUGACAUCCAACGAAAUGAUUGGAUAACCUUGCACCGUGAAUACUAGAUGGAGUCCAAUACAUAUAUACACAUUUUGGGUUAGUGAUGUGCGUAGAGCAGAACACUGCCCCUUAAUGUGAUGAGCUAUUAACGUCUCAAAAGACCCACACAACGGUGCAACUAGGAUGCAAGUAAUGAUCAGGACUACACACAACUAUAUGACAUACAUAACGACCUACACAUGAUAGAUAACACAUAACAAUCAUACUAGUAGGCGCAACAUGUCAAAGUACAUGCUAGGUACCAAACCUUGACAUGAGAAGGAGUGGGGCACGCAACUUUCAAUGUAAACAAUGUAAGUACAAGUUACCGCAAAGAGGCACACUGGAUAUGGGAUAUGGGCUUGAUAAUCCAAAUGACUUGGCUUGAGAUAAUACAAAUGAUGGAGAGUCCUCAAAUCUUCAUUGUGUAUCCAAGUCUCCAAUGUCCUCCAAAGUCACCUAUUGAUCAAGUUUGAGCUUGUUGGUCCCCAACUACGUUGGGUCCUAAGAGGUUAGUCACAGUAGGCUUGGCAACCCAAAUGGUUCUUUUCUUGACACCAUUUUGAGUACCAACAAACUUGGCAAACACAUUGCCAACCUUAUCCUUCCCAAGGGAAUAGAUAUCAUCAAUAGUGAUUGGGUUGGAUAAGUUACCUCUCGUGCAAGACGAAGCGACGUGACCCUUCUCACGACAUAAGUAGCAACACCUACCCUUUGCUUUCUUCCGAGUUGAUUUCUCACCUCGGGGAGUGUUGGCUUGGGUCUUAUUGGGAAGAGGCCUUCCUUCAACUUGUAGCUGAGUAUGUGAUUGAGUUUGUGGCCGCUUCCCUUGUUGCUUGUGACUUUGAGACUUCGUCUUCAGAGGGCAAGAUCUAACAUGGUGCCCUUUAACUUUGCACUUGAAGCAAAUGAUUUUGGCCGAAUUCUUGACUUGUUCUAGGCCCCUCUUGUUCUUGUUUGAGUUUACUCCAACAUCAUUUUUGUCAUUCGGGGAUGUUUGUUCACAUAGGACGUUGUUGAGUGUGGACAUCCCUUCAUGACACUGUUCCAAGUCUUUCUUCAAAGAAGUGACUUGGGCCUUGAGCUCUUCGAUUUCCUCUGCAUGGUUAGUAUCAACGCAAGUACUAGAGGAAGUGUAAGCUUCAAUGUUAGAGCAACAAGGCAAGGAAAGUAAUUCAUCACACGAGGUAGCAACAUUAUGAGUAGACGAAUUACGAGGACUAGCACAUGGAAAUAUAGUAGUUUGACUAGAAGUAGUGCCAUUGUUCAUAUGAGGCUCACUUGAUGUUACCUUGGUGAUGAUAGCCUCAUGAGCUAACUUUUGCACAUUAUGGGAUGUUAGAAGAUCGGCAUGAGAGCUUGUGAGCAUUACAUGGUUUUCUUCUAACUUCCCAUAAUUGCUAGUUAGUAAAUCAAGUUGAGCACGUAGCUCAAUAUUCUCCUUCAAUGUUGAUACUUCAAAUGAGGUAGAGUUAGAUGUACAAGUAUCAUCAACAAUAUGAGAGCAGUAAGUAGCAAAUAGAGACUUCUCAUGAGUAGAUUGAAGCUCCUCAUAGAUCUUAGAGGUUUUGAUGAGCUCUCCCUUGACAUUAUUGCAUUCAAGGAGAAGGACCUCAAAAUCAUUUUUAAGUUUAUCAUGAGCAACUUCAAUCUCUCCUUUUGAAGAUCUUAAGUCUCUACAUGCUUGAUGACUCUUAUCAAGUUCAUGUUCAAGUUGUUCACUUUUAGCUUGUUCAUGAUUAAGUGAAUCAUUACAAUUUUCCAAGUAAGCAAGAACAUCUUGGAAUCUUUGAAGAGCGUUAUUUUUAGCUUUAUGAAGAAUUUUACUGAUCACAUAGAUAUUUUCAGUCAAGUCAUCAUCAUCAUCCUCAUCGCAAAUAUCAUCGUUAUUGCACAGGGAAGAUGAUACCUCAUUAUUACCUCUUGCCAUGAGGCACAUGUGAACUCGAGGAGUUGAUGAUGAUUCUUUUGGUGAAUCAGAUUCUUCAUUAGUCAAAAGUACUUCAUAUUUCUUGAUUUCCCCUAAAUUAUUAGUCUUAGAGCAACUAGGGAGAAACAAGAUAUUUUGAUCAAGAGGACACGGGAAAGCAGGCAUAUCACCAGAGACAUUUGUCGAGCGAUCUUUAGGUGAAAUGCAUGACCUAUCAGCACAAUAAUUUACACUAUGUGUGGUGCUAGAUAUGCUCGUGUCCAUAGAGGCUAUGACAUUUUCAUCAACAUAUAUUUCUUCACUCACCAUGUCAUUACCUUGUGAGAUUGAAGAUGCUGAGGUGUGCAAGCAAUCGGAUAUGGAAGUAGUGGUGGACUCUUUAUGAUCGAAAAGAGUGAAGAUCUCAUGCACCAACUCCUUCAUCAUAAUAUUGUCUUCAUCAAGAUUGGACCCACCAUAUAUAUCUUCAAGUUUAGUCCAAACUUCAUGAGCUGACUUGCAAGUCGAGAUAGACUUAAACACUUCAGGACUUAUGGUUCGAUGAAUGGCAAGAAAAGCCUCACAAUCAAGAUACAUUUAUUUAGUAGAUGAAGAUACAUCAUCCUUUUUGUCGGCAAUCCCUACAAGAACAAUUCGUAAAGUAUUUGGGCCCAUGGCCCGAAAGUGAUGAAGCAUACGAAUUCUCCAUAGGGUAUAAUUUGUGCCAUCAAAGUCAAAGGUGUCAUUGUGCACUAAUCCAAUAGUCGACAUCGAUGCUCUCUAGGUCGUGAAACCUAAUUAAAGAGAGACCUUGCUCUGAUACCAAUUGAAAGGACCACGAUGACACAUAGAGGGGGGUGAAUAGGCUAUUUAAAAACUUCUUCGAAUUUGGCUUAAACCUAAUGCGGAAAUAAACUAAGAGGAUACUUUUCAAGCACAAAUCCUAAAUGCAAUAGGCACCGCAACGUGCACCAACAACACGAUCUACCAAGAUGGACACAACACGGUUACUAACAAGCACAAGUAAGUUACACAAACUUACUUGAGCUAUAUCACACGACGAGUAGGUGAAUGACACAAGAUACUAGAUCACACUAUAGCACACGAUAUAUCAAAAGCUGCAAGUGUGAACGUGUGGAUAUAGAGGGUAUGCUUGAACGAUUAAUCUUGUACAAAGAAAUAGCCAACACAAUAUAAUGAGCACAAACAAUAUGAAAUGUAUGUAUGCUCAAGUAACACAAGUAAACCACAAUUAAGGAGUUAGGGUUAGGGAUAACCAAGGUCACUGAGACAAAGAUGUAUCCCGAUGUUCACUUCCUUGGAGGGAAGCUAGUCAUCGUUAGAGAGGUGGAUGUUACCACGAAGGCACACCAACGCCACGAAGGCUCACCCUAUUCUCCCUUUAAGAUAACACCACGAAGGUGUUUCUCAACCACUAGUGGUAAGCCUUUGAGGUGGCUUCCAAACCCUCACAAACUUUUCCGGGGGUAAUCACACGGAUUGAUUCCUCUCCGAAGAACUCCUACCGCGUAGGAGUCUCCAACCUCCAAGAGUAACAAGAUCACGGGGAAUGCUCAAAACUUGCUCAAAUCUCAAAUAUCUUGGGUUGAGAGGAGGAGAGGGAGAAGAUCUAUCUUUUGAUUGGAACAACUCUCAAAGGGGCUCACAAAUGCUCUUGGGAUCUAAGAUUUGGUGUGAGCAAAUGUGUGCGAGGUAGAAAUGUGUUCUGAUGAAGAUAUGGCUGUGUUGGACCCCCUCUCACGAAGUGGGAGGGGGGUAUAUAUAGUGGGGAGACUAAAAUAACCGUUGUGGUCACUUAAGUCUGACAGUGGUCGGACGUCCGACGGUUUCCGGACGUCCGGACGGCCCCGGAUGUCCAAGAGUACGGCUCUGUUCAAGGGCACCGAAUUUCCGAAAGUGGUCGGACGUCCGGCCCUCGGACGACAGGGAGAGGCCGGAAGUCUGAGUUAUUUGACUCUGGAUUUCUCUGGUGCAAGGUUCCGGUUUUCCUAAGUGGUCGGGCGUCCGGUCCUCGGUCGUCCGGAGGGAGCCGGAUGUCCGAGACUUUGGCUCUGGUAUAGGGUUCCGGAUUUCCGAAGUGGUUGGGCGUCCGGUCCUCGGACGUCCGGAGGGGGCCGGAUGUCCGAGGCUUUGGUUCUGUUUUGGGAUCAAAGCAGAGCAGUGGAGAUGUGGCAUGAGCAGAGAAGUAGAGAUGUAGUUUGAGCAAAUUUCUCGCAAUACCCAGUGAUCCCCUCUUAAUAGUGCGGGAUCCCUAAAGACUCAAGAAUCUUAAAAGAAGGGUACCGAUGAUCUAUACUUGCGUGUAUACUUUUAUUCGAUGAUCAUCACUCCGCACCACUAACGUCAAAUGAACUGAUACCUUUGAGUUAGCCCUUUCACUUGAGCUUGGUGUUGUUGUUCCUUCUUGACUCAAGAUGAANNNNNNNNNNNNNNNNNNNNNNNNNNNNNNNNNNNNNNNNNNNNNNNNNNNNNNNNNNNNNNNNNNNNNNNNNNNNNNNNNNNNNNNNNNNNNNNNNNNNNNNNNNNNNNNNNNNNNNNNNNNNNNNNNNNNNNNNNNNNNNNNNNNNNNNNNNNNNNNNNNNNNNNNNNNNNNNNNNNNNNNNNNNNNNNNNNNNNNNNNNNNNNNNNNNNNNNNNNNNNNNNNNNNNNNNNNNNNNNNNNNNNNNNNNNNNNNNNNNNNNNNNNNNNNNNNNNNNNNNNNNNNNNNNNNNNNNNNNNNNNNNNNNNNNNNNNNNNNNNNNNNNNNNNNNNNNNNNNNNNNNNNNNNNNNNNNNNNNNNNNNNNNNNNNNNNNNNNNNNNNNNNNNNNNNNNNNNNNNNNNNNNNNNNNNNNNNAUAUGAUCAUUAACAACAACUUAAAGGGGAUUAGUGAUUAGUUAUCUAUAUGUGUGUUGUCAGCAACACCAAAACACGAUUAAGGACAUGACUGCACUUUCAGGUGAUACUCCAUUCCUUCAGAUCUCUCUUUACAAAUAUGUCAAGUUCGGUCUACGCCAGCCUCUUUUGACCUUAUCAACAUGCUUUAGUCGUCUGUUAUGCACUUGAGCUUUUAGAGGCCUCCGCUAGUAUGACGAAAAAGGCUUUCGUCCCGCUUUGUAGAUAAAGCAUGAUCAACUUACAACUCUAAGAACACAACACACAACAUCACAACAGAACCCACACACCCGAGGCAAGAUACACAGGUACCAGAGAACAACUACAAAACCCCAUCCACCACCACAAAGACAAAAGAUAAACAAGAAGGAAUACUAUGGUGAUGAUGGAGCCCUCAACGAAGCGAAGAUGGGAAGUUGCUGGCCAAUGAACCGAGAGUGCCAAGGCGGUGUCUUCAAAAAUGUUACGGCACCGGAGUGCCGCCACUGUCCAAUCCAAAGAAUCUAGAUUUUCACUCGAAGCACGACGAAGGUCAAGAUGCAGCCACGACGAAUACUUCAAGAAGCUGACGAUGUCCACGGACAUCGCCUCCGACAGUCUGGCCAACGCCAGACAGGGUGUAUACCCCGGCAAGAAUGCUUCACCUUCGACCACAAUGCAUCGAGAACGAUGUCAGCCGCAUCUCCAUCCCGGCCGUCAACCCUAGCCCCCAUGCUGCCCCACGGCCAUGGUAGCUAGCUUGUAUCGGAAUCACGGGUUCUGCCUGAGAACACUCUCAUUCUUAAAAAAUGUAUAUCAAAAAAUACAUACUUUUUUUUUCUGUGAGGUAACCAAAAACAUACUUUCUCUUAACCAAAAAUACAUACCUUGAAGGAUCAAAUGUAUAUCAAAAAAUCUUGAUGGACCAAAAACAUACUUUUUUUUCCUGUGAGAUAAACAAAAACAUACUUUCUCUUAAAAAUAUUGAUGUCUCAUCAAGGGACUCACAAAAAAGAAACUGAUCUCUUUUGCUAAGCGAUUAUCCAAUCGCUUAAACUGUACAUGUUCUAAGAUGCUCUAGGAGAGAGUGUAUAUGAUGCGAGUUGUGUUUGCAGGUCGUAUUAUUAUCUACGGAUGAUAUACUCAUCCGAUGGUCCCUUACCACACCAGCAUCUCUACGCUAUCGAUCUCCACCAACCAAUUUCGGGAUCUGGGAAUUUUUAGGGUUUGUUAGUUGACAUUUUUAGUACCAACUAGCUAUAGAUAUACGUGAAAAAAUGUGCACCGCAUCAUUCGGAUCGCGUUCCUUGGAUUUACUCCGUAGCAACUCCCCCACAGCUCCAACCCCUGGCUGUACCUAACUUGCUAUAUAUACGUGCGCCAGCUCUGCACAGGGACGCUCACACUCCAAUCAGGCACAGCACACAAAACAAGUCUCGUCAUAUCGAGAAACGGAGCUAGCUCGACCAUGGGUGGUGUUCGGCAGCAGCUCAUGGCCGUCGUCCUCGUGGCGGUGACGCUAAUGGCCACGGCGGCGGAGGGGUACAUCACUCAGAAGACGUGGGCAGCCAUCCGCCGGGCGAACCGCGCCGGGCCGUUCGUCGGCCUCGUCGUGCCCAACACCUACGAGAUGGUUCCUGUGCUCGAGUCGCCCAGCUUCGUGGCCAGCAAGAGCAUCCCUAACAUGGACAUCCAAGGUAAAUACUCUACUCAAAUGGUACGUUUUCAGUCUAAUCAGAUCAAGCAUCGUACGUCAUGUGCAAAAAUAAUCUGACAUGAAAUGACACUGUUGGUAAUACGUGAUCGAUGAUGUUUUCUUAAGCUUGAAAUGUCAACGGUUUGUUUGGGUCAAAGAAAUAAACGUAAUAAGAAACAAGCCUAUUCAUAAAUAUCACUGUCGGAGUCAGAAAUUCGGAAAGAAUAUGGUUGAAUUGAGUAACAAGCCUGCUCAUUUAUAAGAACCGGCCGAACUAUGUACUGUGCUGAAUUUGAAUGGUACUCGAAAGCAGUAACCUGACGAGCUGAAACACUGAGACGUUAAGUGUAUGCAUGACCUGAGAACGGACGACUUGCAUGAAAGCACACGGUGAUGGAACGCGGGACCGGAGAUUAUUAAUAUAUGGACGACUUGCAUGAAAGCACAUGGGAUGUGCGUAUUGAUGGAAGCACAUGCAUGAUAGGCACAGAUCUGCGAACUCAGUGAAAUUUUGUACGUACGAUCGAAGUGAAAAAUGAUACUCGUACGUAGAAGUAAAAGUCGGUCGUAACUACACCGUAAAGAUUAACGAAUGCAAUCAGCAUGAACGUCGUUGAUAAUUAAUACUAACAUUAUUGAAUGAUUUUUGCUUGAAGGGCGAAGGUUUCGCUUUGGAACCAUCGAAGGCCAAAGCGUCGUCAUGGUCAUGACAGGACUGAGCAUGGUAAGUUGGUACAUACCAUUAUAUCUGACUGACAAUGUUUAUCACAAAUACAGUCAGAACUUCCUUUUUUUUUUUUGCCGGGAAAAACACAGUCAGAACUUAACAUACUGUUGCACCAUGGUUGCAGCUCAACGCUGGUCUGACCACCCAGAUGCUGCUGAGCCUGUUCCGGGUGAAGGGCAUCGUCCACUGGGGCAUCGCUGGCAACGCCAACGAGGACCUCCAGAUCGGCGACGUCACCAUCCCCGAGUACUGGGCCCACGUCUCCCUCUGGAACUGGCAGGUAGUACAGAUUUAUCAGCGCUAAUAUUUUUGCACGUUUCACGUGUGUCAUGGUCGACCAAGAUUUGAUGUGUGGAUGAUUGAUUCGGGGGCCAGCGAUUCGGCGACGGCAAGGACAACGAGCUACCGCUGGAGGCCGCCGGCGACUACACUCGGGAGUACGGCGCCCUCAACUUCUCGGACUACACCGUGGGACAGAGCAACCCGGCGCUAUCAGCGAACCUCCUCAACAGCAUCUGGUACCAGCCGGAGGAGAUCUUCCCCAAGUCCGGCGAGCCGGAGGUGCGGCAGCACGCGUUCUGGGUGCCCGCUAGCAAGCGGUACUACGCGCUGGCGAAGAAGCUGGAGGGCAUGGAGCUGCCGGCGUGCGUGAACGCCACGACGUGCCUGCCCCGCGCGCCGCGGGUCAC
rnacentral:lncRNA from 1 species